GAUUGUAUGGAGCAGGAGAACCAGCGCUGUACAGUACAGAGGGAGCCAGUGUUAUACAGAGGCAGCCAGUGCUAUACAGAGGCAGCCAGUGCAAGGCAACCAUUGGACAGAGGAAGACAGUGCAGUGCUAUACAGAGGCAGGCAGCACUGUUCUGUGCUAUACAGAGGCAGGCAGCACUGUUCAGUGCUAUACAGAGGCAGGCAGUGCUGUACAGAGGCAGCCAGGACAAGGCACCAGGGGAGCAGAGCCAAGAGAAGAACAGUCAGGACGUCGGCACUCAGCUCCCAAAAUAAGAGAGAAGGAGUUAAAGCCCAGGCAAGGAGGGGCUACAACUGAUUGGAGAUAACUUUCCUGUUACUGUUACUUGUUUUGGGGGUUCUGAGGUCAGGAGCUCCCUCUUUACAUCUCUGGGGUUUGCUGGGAAGGAUAUGUCCUGGGACAUGUGAUUUUGGAGAGGAUUGGAGGAUCUGGAUCAUGAGGAUGUUGGGAGCUGGGAGCUAUCUGUGCCCAGGAUGGCUGAGCUUGCUGUGGGCACUGGGGGCACUCCAUGUGGCCUUUGGACAGUCAGGUAAGUGGCAUUGAGCACCCAAUUCAUGUAUAGAUGUCUAAUGCUGUCAUCUAAAAAAACAACCUGUGUUUGCUCUGUUAUGAAGAAUUCUGCAAAAUCCCUACAAGCCAACACUGCCAGCGGACCUCAGGGUCUGGGGUGGGGGGGGGAGGGGGGUAACUUUCCCAGUCUCCCCUAAAACAGAGAAUUCACUAGCUCACUGAGUGCCCUCCUAACAAAGGGCACCCCUAACCAAACAUUAAGCUGCACAAUCCUUACCAGGGAAGGUAACAUGUCAGCAAAUAUUUGUUUAAUUUAAGUCUCACCGCUUAACUCUUUCGAUGCCAGAGGGCACCCUUGCCUAAUCUGUUGCUGCUGGCUGCACCUGUCCCCAAGCAUUGCUUGUUCAAUUUCCACAAUUAACAAUGCAUAAAUAAAUCAAUCGAUUAAAUAAAUAAUUAUAGCGUUCCUACAAUUUUAGCCAUAUCAGUGAACCAGUUAAUAUAAAAAUAUACAUUUUUUUACACAAUUCUUCUUGCCCCACAAUAGUCUUCAAAGAUCUUCCCUCCAGCCCUUCCCAAUCUGUGUAAGUAAUACUGCUUCUGUUAAGGAAACCCGUCUGGGGCUGUUUAUAAAUUAGGGGCUGUGUGGGGUGCACUUUGCAAUAUAUGGGUGCCAAGUGGCUCUAUAAAUAAUCUUUAUCCCUUUAAGGCUGUUUGUAGAUAAUAUCAGACUGAGGCAUUGGAUAGUAGCCACUUGCCAACCCAUUUAAAACAUACAAGUUACCAGUCCUGGCUUUUGCAAACCAAAACACUAGAGUUCUAAAAUCGCGUGUCUUGUAACCCUUCAUGUCUGAUACAUAGAUGUUAUGUCACAAUGCAGUCCUUUAUUUGCAAAAAUCAAAUCCUAUAUUUUACCGGGGGGACUUUGGUAUGCUUUUGAACAGAAUCUGCUGAGGAUAUGACAUUUACAGGCAAAAAUGUGUUCGGAUUUGGGGGAUAUGAACAUGCAAUGGGUUAAUUCCCAGAAUGAAUGUUUUAAUGUAAUGGUGGGCUGCUGCAGCCCUGGGUCUCAGUGCUUUGUGUAUACUGGGCUACAGAGUUAUUUUCUCUUCCUUGUCUGUUUGUGUACACGCUGUGUUCUUCACUUCUGGUCAUGCCUGUUUGACUGGCUCUCAAGACUCCUGCUUGAGUCUGUUAGAAUGGGUUUUGCAGGGAGCAGGUGUAAAAGAGUGCAUGGGGUUGGUUCGCUGACUUCCUUUCUUAAGACAUGAUUGUUGUUUUCUGAUGGUUAAUGGCAGACCUUGUAUACUUUUUAAAGUUCAUAGGGUAUAUGCACUUGACCCUCGGAUGGCAUAAUGUGCGAGUGAGCCUUGCAUUGUAAUAUCAAGUUGGCCCCUUUACUCCUGUUAUUUAAAAGUCAGUUACUGUAAAUACCAGAUUAUUUAAGAUCUGGGGAGAUAAGUUUAUUUGUAAAAGCAACAUUUUGUGUUUGUGUGCAUUCAAAGUGCACACAUAGUAUACGUGUGUGAUUAUAUAUUAUACGGUGUUUGUAUUUUGCAUGUAGAUAGACAUGCUGAUUGGGAGGCAAGCUGGUCCAUAGAUAGUUCAGAUAAAAACACAAUGUGAAAGUUUCUUAUUGAAACAUCUAUCUAUCUAUCUAUCUAUCUAUCUAUUUGUCUCUGUCUGUCUGUCUGUCUAUCUAUCUAUCCGUCUGUCUAUCUGUAUGUCUAUCUAUCUAUCUAUCUAUCCGCCUGUGUGUGUUUAUCUCAUACAACUGGUACAUUCAUGCUUUUUAACCCUUUGAAUUUACAAGUUUGAAUAUAAUUCAUUAUUUAUUACACUUUUCUAUUAUUACAUGUAUCAGACAUCUGCCCCCAGGUAUUGAUUGAUCCCACUUGCUUCCCCCCCUCCCUCAAACCUCCCCCCCUUGUAUAAAUGUCAAUGUUAUGUAUAGUAUAGCUAUAUAUUUUGCAUUCCUAUAGCCAGCAUUACUAUUGAUAUAUAGUCAUUUACCAUAAUAUGUAUAUAUACCGUUAUUUAGUCCCUGACAACACUUCCUGUGGCUGUGCCUUUCUCAUUUUUUCUGUCCCUUAGACGGUUAAACAUAUGCAGCAGAAUUAAAUGAAGUGUAGACUGACUUCAACACCACCAGUCUGUUCUCCCCCAGAUUUAUUUCUUUUUCCCAAUCCAGCCUACUUGUACUCCCUUAUUGCCAGCUAUACAACUGCCAUUGGCCUCCUUCCCUGCAAACUCCUCAGUUUAUUUACACAGGGGCUGGCCUGAUAAACUAUUAACAGAUUAUUCUCAUUUAAUGAGAUGUGUAAUGUGUACACACAGUAUCACACAUACUAGGGACUUGCAGAGUGGCUCAUAUUGGAAUCACUGCAAAAAUACCUAGACACAUCAUUGCACAAGUUGUGAUGUCUGCUCCUAUUUGUAAUUAAUUGUGUAUAUAUAUUUGUGUAUAUAUAUAUAUAUAUACGUAUAUAUAUAUAUCAGAGUAUUGCAGUAUGCAAUGAUACCUUUUGUAUUGGACUUGCGUAAUACUUUAAAGACAAGGCUUCAAGCGUUUUGUUCUCCGACUUCAGACCUGAGGAAGAGAAGAAAGCUCUUUAAAUCUUGUCUUGGGAUUUUGGCAUUAUACAUAUAUAAACACACACACACACACACACACACACACACACACACACACAUACAGAAACAAACAAACAAUAACACGAGCAAUAUAAUUCAGUAGUGACAGUGUCAGUCAGUUUACUUGGUGACAUCAAAGUCUACCAUUUGAAAGUUGUGGCCCCAUGGAUCUAUCUUUAGCUUGUGACAUUGAAUCUCCAAUUAUCUGCCUUCUACCCAACGCUUUACUUCUUGACAUAUGACCUUAGAACUUCCUCCUUGAUGAACUCAAGUGACCUUUUCUUUUCACGUCUUCUUUCUGUUAAGGACUUAAUAUAUUUAUAUAUUUUUUGGGUGGGGGGAGAGUGCUGUUUAAUUAUAUAUUUAUGAUGUACUGUAGCUGUAUAGGAGGUGGCCCACGCAUGUAACUCCUCUGCUCCAGACUUUCUUGGAAAAGCAAUCCAUUUGUCGUCCAAAUACUACUUUUUUGGAAGUCGGAGGCGAGAGGAUACAAUAGAUGAAUUAAUAACACAGACCAGUCCAGUGGAAACAAAAAAAGACUGUUCCACUGCAAGAUGUCAUUAUUUUUUUCAAUACUAUUACAGUUGUGAAGAGCCUGGAAUACUAUCAAUAUGUUAUACAGUGUGUGCUUUAAGUGUUGUUCAAUAAAAAUGCACUGCCUGGCAAAUAUUGAGAAGGCUUAGGCAUGGACACACAUUGUGCUCCUAUAGACGAUGAUGCUGAAUGGAGCUUUUUUUUUUGCUGGUUUAGCCUCUAACUCCUUUAACCCAUUCCGCCCAGGACAGGCUCUGAAAUCCAGCAGCUAAUAGGUCAAUGCUUUUAAUCAAGUCAGAAAGCCAACUGUAUGCUUGUUGACUCAAUGACAGUUGAUUCCUGACAUAUCUGUGUGUCUGAUAGGAAUUUCUAUGAGGCUGUCCUAGGGAUGCACUCUCUGUCUAAAGCUAACAAGGAAUAUCUGUAUUAGCUUUCAUUAGCGAACCUCUUAAUUUUUUAAGGGUCUCAUGUCGCUUUCUUGGAUCUUCAAGGCACAGGCGGUGCAUUAACUUUCUAUUAAAUGCAAAUCCUUUCUGAUCAUUCUAUAGAUUUCGUCAAUGUGAUAUUGGGAAAAUAUAGGAUAUGAUAAACUAAAUGUGCAAUAAUAAGUGAAUUAAUAUUAGGAAUACAUUGCACACACAUGCUGUUACACUCACUAACGUCUAUCUAUCUAUCUGUCUAUCUAUCCAUCUAUCUAUCUAACCAUCUAUCUAUCUAUAUUAUUAUCAACUACUAUGCAGUAAUGAUUGUACAUAUACAAAAAUCCUGAAGCUCGGUGGUUUACAUUAAAUGAGGACAAUCUAUUAAUAUUUAUAAGUUUUAUAUAGCUAAACAAGGAAAUGAGAAACAUCUCAACAAUGUUUACAUGUAAAUAUAUUCUACUACUAUAACGUGUAGCAACAGCGAUUGUAUGUAAUAGAUGUAUUAUUGAGUACUAUGUAGUACAUACAUUAUACAUUACAUAAGAUACUUUAUUUACCUUGUAUAACAUCUCCUGCAUACUUCUAGUUAUUAAAUCAUGCAGAGUCUGUGUGUGUUUGUUUGUAUAAGGUUGUAAUGUGAUCUACGAUAGUGGUUACAAAUUUAAGAAAGUGCAAAGCACGCUUAAAUUAUAAAGGAAUAAGAACCACUUAAAUGCAAGAUAAGCUGGACAUAACGUUGUGUGUGUGUCUGUAUGUGUGUUAGACGACAGAAAUAGUGUGCUAAUAUUUUGUCACGUUUAACCAUUAGAACAGAAUGGUUUAAUUCUUAUUGACAUAUCUGGUCAUAUCUCAAAUCUUGUGUGUGUGUGUGUGUUAGACAACAGAAAUAAUGUGCUAAUAUUUUGUCAUGUAUAACCAUUAGAAUAGAAUGUUUUAAUAUGUUCAAUUUACAUCUACCAUGUACUGAUAAAAAUGCACACAGACGUGACAGUGGUUUACUUUUGAUCAGUGACAGAUAUCACGAUUUUAAAAAAAAUAUACACUUUUGUCACCGUACAUCCAGACCUUUGUGACUGGUUCUUCUGCAGUAGCUUUAGCCGUGCAAGCCUUCAUCCAUCGCAGGCCGCAUCUCAGUUUCGGGAAAGCAAGCAUAAUUAAUUGGCAACAGCACCAGAUUUAUCUGUUGAGCCAAAAACAGUGUUUUCCUCUCAGCUUUUAACGAGCAACUUUUGAAUAAUAUUUUAAUUAAAUAAUAGUUUAAGGGGGAAAAAAACUUUAAACAAAAAAAAAAGGAGAGAGACUUUUUGUUUCCCUUGUAUCUCCUGGGUACAAUAAUAUUACUGUUUAUUUAAACAUAUGUCCUCUUUACUAUUGGUUACUAUGUUUAUCUUUAAAUAAAAUAUAUUAUAUGCAUAUUAGAAUUAUUUUUCUUAGUAUUGAUUAAAAUGUAUUAAAAAUGCGUAGAACAAGAGGAGUCAAGACCAAAAAAGUGGGAAGUUUACAGAAAGAACAAAAACAUAUUGAUUUUUCUUGAGGCAGUAAUAGUUUGGUAACAUUUUUAUAAAGAAAUAAACCUUCACCCUUUCGAUGCUGGAGGGGGUCAAUAUCCUAUUGCUUUUCCAAUGAGAGUUGAAUAUAAAUGUUAUCAUCCCGUCACGUAGAUUGGAUUUAACGAUUCUAUUGCUGACCAAUUAAGAAAAUCUAUUUAAAUGCGGUUUGUGUUGGUUUUGCCCUGUCUACCCUAAACAGAAUCCCCUCCCUGCCCGUUUGCAGUUUACUGUAGUUUGUUUUGGUCCAAAUGAGGAAUUAAGUGCGGAUAAGUAAACCGCGCUGCCAGAGGGCGACAAGAUGUUGAGUGAAUUGCUUUUAGAUGAAACAAAUUAAAGAACGAGAGAAGACAAUCUGCUUCUCGCAUUAAUAGACACGCUCCGUGUUCAGGGGGGAAGUGGUACAUUUUGGAGAUGCUAAUUUUAUUAGGAGGGCGAGUGGAAUUCACCUUAGAUGUAUAGAUGAAACCUGUGCCAUUAUACCAGAUUUGGCAAAACAUUAGUGGGUUAUGUUACAUUUGCUGAAAACAUAAAUGUUGUGUAUUGCAACUAGCCUUACAAAAUCAUUCAAAGCGGUGACUCUCUAUGGCUAUUUCCAAUUUCAUUCUAAAAGGGUAUUGCAAGCUGUAACAGCAGUCCAUGAGCGGCUCAUAUUGUAACUGAAAAAAGAAAGCAUUUGGGGUAUAUUUAGGCAUUGUACACCAGGAUACUACAAUUCACUAAAUUGACAAUUGAAAUAAAGAAAGAAGUUCCUGGGAAAUUUGCAUGUUUUAGGUCAAAAUCGCUGAACUCAAAUUAAGAAAAGAAAAAAAAAACAUUUAUUUAGAAUGCUCAAUAGAAAAUAUAGAAACUAGAGGCCUUAGCCAGCAAUAUUCGGCAAAGGAACAUUUUUAUAAUGUUGUGUUAGUUUAUUACUCCCAGUGAUUCAAAGUAUAUGCAUAGUUUUCUUUUUUCUUUAUUGGCUACAUAUUUGCCCUUUUUUGCACCAUUUGUUAAUAACAGUGUGGAACAUGCUGAUAUUUCAAAUUAUGAUAAUAAUAAUAAUAAUAAUUAAUUAAUUAAAAAAAUACUAUGAUGUAUAUCUCCAAUUUGAAGCCAAAAAUAUUUCUUUAAGGUACCAAGCCACCUCUACCAGCCAAGGAUUUAGGGAUUACCCAGUUGUGUCUAAGGUGUUUUUAGCAAAAAAAAAAAACACUGGAUAAUCCCUAUAUCCUAGACUGGUAGGGGAUGUGAGGUCUGGCUUGGGAAGCACUGAUGUAUCUCAUUGUAGGGUAAUCAUGACCAUUCACCUUCCUGCAGCUGUUUUUGUACUGAAUAUUUUGUAAAGCGCCAAUGCUAUCUGUCAUUUUGGUAUUUACAGCUCUGGUUUGUACCUUGCACUCUGCUGCCAUACUUCAUUCACAGUUUGUCUUCAUUUUUAUGUUGGUAACUGUCUUCAAACACUGACAAUGGCUUGCGUCAUAUGGUGUUUGAUCAUCUGCUAUCGAUGACCCAUAAUCACAUUAUAAAGUCUAACAUAUUUGCUAUAUAAAUUUUAAAAUUUAAUUUAAUGAAAAUAAGUUAAAAGCAAAUACUGCAAUGAAAAAAAAAUAAAAACAUUGUUCUGCAUAACACGUUACAUGCUAAAUGGUAGAUAAUCCUAUCUUAGGUUGCCCACAUAGCAUGGAAUAUGUUAGACUUGAGCAAACAAAUUGACUAGAGAGAUAGCAUUAAUCACAGGUCUGAGAUCAUAACGGUAACCUUAUCAAGCAGGACCUCUUAAUUCAAAAUCCAAUGAAUAGACAAUUUCUGGUUCCGUUGCUGGUGAAUAAUGCCUCAAUUGAUAUUAAAUUCCCAAUUGAGACAUGGCGGACAGGGAAGCAAAAAUUGAAGAUGCCUUAUGCAUUUCUAGCCUUGAUGAACUUCUUCAGUCAAAUUUAAAGGAAUACUAUAGUGCGAGGAAUUCAAUUCUGUAUUCCUAGUACUAGAGUUCCCUCUUGCCCCCCCUCCCCCCCAUCCCCACUCCACUCCUGGCACUGCAAAGGUUAAAAAACCCUUGCAACACUUACCCUCUGGAUCGGUGCUCAGCCUUCUCUGAUGUCAUCCAAUGGAGGAGGGACUAAUGCGCAUGCACUGCGAGCACUGUGAGUGCAUUAGGCUCUCCACAUAGGAAAGCAUUGACACAAUGCUUUCCUGUGGGAAUCUAACUGACGCUGGAUGCCUUCAUGCAAUGCGUGAGGACAUACAGUGUCAGGUGACCUAAAGUCUGGUAAACUCUCUGAAGCACCACUAGAGGCUAUCUUAGUAUUGCAAUUUAAACAUUGUGGUUUCUCAUUGCAGGACUUAGUGUGACAGAGACACAGCACUGAGACCACUUCAGUGAGCUGAAGUGGUCUGGGUGCCUAUAGUAUCCCUUUAACUACAAUCAUACUAAUUUUAUUUGUGCAAGAUUUGUGACCCUUCAUUGUGUGAUUUUGGGUCAUCAUUAGCAGGCUCCAGUUUCAUACUCUGAAGGGUGCCAUUACCAACUAACUUCUAGAAUGCAUGUUAACAUGCCACUAUCAGUAUAUAUACAAAUAUUGUAGAAACAUCACACUUUUGCAGUCCCAGUGGAAUUCUACCUAGCCCCAGUGCUUAAGGAAUUGAGAAUACAUUUCACUCCAUGGCCUCGUUAGAAUAAUAUAAGCACUGGAGAUACAAUCGUCUCUCGAGUAUUCAACGAAUCACACCUUAAAGUAUUUCUGCUAAUGUGUUGUCAAACACACACUCACUGGAGACAUGUAAUUUUGUUUUUAGGAAUUGAAUGACUCACAGCAAAAUCGUUCGUUAUUAUUUAUUUAAAAAAUAAAUGAAUUGCUAGACAGUUACAACAGCAAGCCACAGAUAUGCUCAUUUGGAUAUUUUUUUUUUUGUAUUAUUCCAGAAUAUCAGCUGAAAAAUAUUGUAAAAACCAAUACUAUUAACAUAUCUAUCUAUCAAUCUAUAUCUCUCUCUAUAUAUAUAUAUAUAUAUAUACAUAUAUAAGAUGUGUUCCUUUAUCAUAAUAGAUCACUAGGCUCCAUCCCGCCCCCCAUCCCAUGUCGCUAAAGGGGUUAAAACCUCGGCGCUAGGUCAGGCCCAGCCCAGCCCAUUAUUCAAUGCUUUCCUAUGGGGAAAAUCUGACACUGGAGGUACGUGAGGACGUCCAGCGUCAGAUAAUCGACCAAACGUCCGUUAUGAAUCCGUAAGCGCCCCCACUGGCUGUCUGGCAGACAGCCACAGAGGGCAGACUUAGACCUGCAAUCUAAACAUUGCAGUUCUCUGGAACUGCAAUGUUUUACAUUGCAGAAUUAGGUGCAAAAGGGAAACAGCACCCACAUUACUUAAAUUAGCUGAAGUGGCCUGGGUGCCUACAGUGUCCCUUUACAAAAAAAAACAGAAAACGAAUUGUCACAAUCUGCCAAUCCAAUCGUAGCAUUGAACCCGAUGCAUUUUAGCCGUACAGAACCAAAUGUCAUCAUACUGUAUAUGCUGACGCAGGAUAUCAUUAGAUUCAAUAAUUGACUCUAUGUUAGUCCCAAGUCCCUAGUGAAAAAUGUAAACAGCGACAUUUCUCAGGAACAGCAUUGUUUACAACAGCAAGGUUACAGGAUCAGCAUCUAUGCCCCAAAUCACCUCAUUAAGCCACCUUUUCUUUUGUGCUUAGAUUUUUCGCUUUAAAAUAUGAUACAUCAUAUUUGAUAAUAUUAUUAUCAAUGUCUUUGUCUUAAGAUAUCCUAACUAAGCCUCAUUAGAAUAUAUUAGGACAAACGCUGUGUGGAUUUUACUCAUCCCUUGUGCAAAUAUAGAUCAGUUGAAUGUGCCACUCAAAAGAUAUUGAAAUGUGGUUAUUUCUGUGUUUAGUUUUUUUUUACUUGAAACAGCUUUCCAAGUUCUGGACUAUCAUUUGGAUGUCGCAGACAAUGGAUCACAAUUUAAUUUGUCUGCUUGUCAUAUCCAUUGGUUACACAAGAGAAAAUCAAUCAUUUUGAAGGUCUAAUCACUGUACACUAUACAAUAUUGGAUAUAUACUAAGCUAAUCCCACUCGGUAGGUUUUCUUAGCAAAGCAAUGUCCUGCUAUUUUACACAUUGCUUUUCAGCCAUUGAUUUUGCCUAGAGGGGCAAAACAUCUGUCAGUUGCUUGGCAGUGGUUUCUUUAUAUCUUUAUAUCUUAACUCGUGCUCCUGGCUGAAAAGCCAUGAUAGAUGUCUGUUGCACAGAAAAUUCUACAGAAGUUUGAAAUCCUAAGAUAUCCUAGCAUAGGAAAACCAUGAUCGUGUGUGUGCACACGUGGCUCCAGCACUCAAAGUCUGUGCCUGGAAAAGAGGGGAGGGCUUGCGAAGGCUGCAGACAUCAAGUCUGCAGCUUUUGCAAGCUGUUUUGAUUCAUAUAACUUACUGCAAAGAAAACUUGCAGACAAAAAACUCAUGCAUGGUUUCUUUGUGGUUAUAUCCAUUAAAAGGUAAAACAAAUAAUGAAAUAUUCCUUUAAAGUUUAUAAAGUUUUUAAAAGGGAGCCGUCACUUCAGAGGAUUUUUAAUAUAAUGUUUAGUUUUAUCGAUAUCUGAUAAAUAUGUAUUUGUGAGGUAUGAAAAAAACCGAAAUGUAGACUACAACUCUUUAUCCUUCUAACGGGUGCCUCCAUUGUCUAGUCCAGGCAUAGGCAACCUUUGGCACUUCAGAUGUUUUGGACUACACCUCCCAUGAUGCUUUGCCAGCAUUAUGGGUGUAAGAGCAUUAUGGGGGAUGUAGGCCACAACAUCUGGAGUGCCGAAGGUUGCCUGUGCCUGUUCUAGUCAGUCAUUGAUAUAAACUCUGUCCUUUGCACCUGCCAGUCAGCUUAGAAAGAAGAGUAGAAACAGAUACAAUAUUUCUUUUUGUCUACAUAUGCAAUGGUCGGCAUGUCUUUGCCUUGUUUGAAUCGUUUUUUUAUGUCAUUUGCUAAAUGCUACAUACAAAUUCAAAAGAGAGGAGACCACCUCAUGAAAAAAGGUCAUGCGUACUAGAGUAAAGUUUCAAUGAUUUAUUCAAUGGCGUAAUCAGAGAAGUGAUUGUUCCCUUUUUAAAAAGAUGUGACAUAAGGUAAAACAAUAAUUUUUUUAUGCACUGAAUUGACACUGUGCAACCCGGAACAGAGUUCUGGGCUGCCAAUGUCACAUUGUGAUGUGGGAGCAACUACCCCCCAUCACACAGUUACAAAUAACUCAGGCUGUAGUGUCCCUUUAAUUGGAAGGUACUACUCUAUCCAAAUGUGACAGCUGCUCUUUUGAGAUUCAUCCUACAUGGGACAUGAGGCGUUCUAAAAUUUCAAGGUUUAUAUUGAGCUCCGUACCUUUUUAUACACCCUGUCUAUUAAUUAACAGAUGUAAUCUUUUAUCUCACAUGUAUUUGAAAUCUGUAUAUGCAAACAACAACAAAAAAGCAAGUUUCGUUUUUACAAAUUUUGAGAGAAUUAAAGGAUUGGGAAAACUGUAAACUCAUUGUUAUAUUCUGAGCUCUCAGUGCCCCUUUAAGGUAAAUUUUCUGCAAUUGGGACCGGCAUACCUGAGUAUCUGUCUAAGUAUUUUAGCUAAAUAGCCAGAGAGGAAAGCAAAUAUUUAUUUGGCGAUCUGAAGUACAGUUUGAAUAAAACAUUAGCCGAAUGUUAUUUAGUCUUUGUUGUUUUGGGUGUAUACAAUGUGGGUGGAAUCUUGGUUUUGAGUGAAUGCAGUAUGUGAGAUUGAAAAGUUACUCCAAGCAUUAUGAGGUGAGUUUUAGUGUUUAUUACUUUUUUUUUUAAUUGGGGGAAAGAGGGAUCACCUCAGAAAGGGUUACUUUAACCAAAGCCACUGUUUUAUGAAAACACAUUUUUUUUAGUUUAGAGUAAUUCUUUAAAUCACUGUAUGCUAAACAUUUAAAGAAGUGAUACUCUUCUAAUAGAACUUUAAAAAGUUAUGGCGUUUUAUAGCUACUAAACGCUAUGAAAAAAGUGCACCUGAAGCCAUUCCUAGAACUUACUUUAAAAAGAAAAAAGAAAAAAAAUGAAAUCGUUGGCUGUAAAGAAAUUAUUUUAUGUUUUAAUUUGAAUAUAAGAAUUUGAAAGGCAAAGUAACAUUUAAUCAGCUCUACCAUCUUUAAAUAUCCCUCAGUACAAAGGUAUGGAAACUGUUGGCACAGAAAAUAAUUACAUUUAUAUUGUGUGAAUUGCAGCUGCUUUACUGCAAGAGGUUAUUUCUCAGCCUUUGUCUUUUCUCUAUAAAAUUAACAAUUAUAGCUGAUUUUCCGACAUUUUUUCCCUUCUCCUCUCCUGAUUGAUCUAAUUUGAUUUGAAUGGAACUGACCUUUAGAUGGAUUCUUUUUGAGUUGAAAUCAUUUUUUUUAUUCUUCGUAGUGUAUUCUUUUGCCUAUUUUUUUAUUGGUAUUUUUAUUACUAUUCAUAUAACGCCACCUUAAGUGAUUUUUUUUUUAUCAUAAGAAAUGUAUAAUACAAAAUAAUUCUCUAAAUAAAUAAAGUAAAAAUUAAAAGUGAAUUUCCGUUUCAAGGUAAAAAUAGUCAAAUUUGAAACAUUGAGCUAUGCUGCAGCUCAGCUACUUUGGUCUUAAAUGUGAAAUUCACUUUGGAUUCUCACUUUAGUCAAUAACUCUGUAAAUGUUGCUAUUCAAUUUAAUUUCCCUACAAUUUGAACUUUAGUGAGUAAACCUGCCUUUGUGUUGUUGGACUGUCCAGAUUUGGAAUAACAGAGAAAACGUGUAACAUUCCAGUGUUGAUAGUCGCAAAAUAAUUUAAGAGUUCUAUACACACUAUACACCUGAGGUCACAGUCUGUCAUGACGUUUGAUAAAGUUGUUUACUUUUUUUUUUAAAUUGCACACACCACUUAAUUUUCUGACUUUUCUUAAUUUGCUUGCUCAAACGCAUUUAUUUUUCACUAUUUCACUAAACUUCAUAUUAUUCAGUCCUAAGAAGUUAAUUCGGUAAAAUUUGAUAAAGGAAAAUUGUGUUUGUAAAUGUGAGGCAAAUUUACAACGCAUGUUUUGGCCUAGAUUUUGCUAUUCACAUGCUACUCUGUUUCAUCGCCAUGUGCUUUGAUGUGCUUUGCAAAGCAUAAACUAAAAACCUGAAUGAAAUCUAAAAGGUAAUCUAAAUACUUAACAUUCACCUCCAAUACAGGAGGGAGGACUUAGUGCACACUGUAGAGUGUAUUUGAAUGCUGCAAUAGCAGCAUGCAAAGCCCUUUGUAGUAUAAAUGACUAGUACAAUCUUUUUUUUAAAAACAAAAGCAAAAGUUUUAGGUUGUGUCAGAUUACCUGAAUUAAAUAUUAAAAACGAAAUUUUCUGUCUUUAACUUUUCAUCUGGUUAUUUUUGCUUCUUUAAUUAAAGUAAUCUUUAAUUAAAGUAAUAUUUCAAACACCAUAAUCACUACGGCCCUCUGUAGUGGUUAUGGUGCCAGGAGUCCCAAUUGUAAUCUGACAAACUUUUUUAGAACAGUAUGACACUUACUUAGAUCCCGCCGGGCACCCAAGCAACUUCCAAUCUUCUCAGAGUUGUAAGAACCGGAUGUCAAGUUUGUUCAAUACACAAACUCAUUUAACUCAUUCAUUGGCUUAGAGUUCUCACCUCACGUACAUCAGCAUCUGACCUCCUGCUCAAGAAGACCACAAGUAGCAGUGGUGUCCGGCAAGAUCCAGGCAGGUGUGAAACCAUGCUAAAUCAAUUUGACUCAUGACGUUCGGGCAGUGCCAGGGCAUUCCUUGCACCAUAACCACUGUAACGGAUUGUAGUGGUUAUGAUGCUGAGAGUGUUACUUUAACUCCUUUUGCAGGCAAAGUUGUUUUUAAAUGGAUAGUAUAACCACCAAGUAAGCCAAUACACAAACUCAUUUAACUCAUUCAUUGGCUUAGAGUUCUCACCUCACGUACAUCAGCAUCUGAACUCCUGCUCAAGAAGACCACAAGUAGCAGUGGUGUCCGGCAAGAUCCAGGCAGGUGUGAAACCAUGCUAAAUCAAUUUGACUCAUGACGUUCGGGCAGUGCCAGGGCAUUCCUUGCACCAUAACCACUGUAACGGAUUGUAGUGGUUAUGAUGCUGAGAGUGUUACUUUAACUCCUUUUGCAGGCAAAGUUGUUUUUAAAGGGAUAGUAUAACCACCAAAAUCACUUGACCCAAAUGAAGUGGUUUUGGGCAUAGCUAUUGAUUGUCCCUGCAGCCUUGGUGUUGAAAACAGUGCCAUUUCUUAGAAACAACGCUGUUUCUAUUUUGUAAUCGUCUCACCUCUAGUGGCUGUCAUUCAGACAGUCACCAGGGCUGUGGACUAAAAUAGAUUCAAUAACUUAAUCUUUUUCACAUGCAGCAUCAGCUGACACUGGACAUUGAGUGUGUAUCCACUGCUUCACAAUGAGAAACAAUAGAUUUAAUUCCUCUCCUAGACAAGCGUUGAGUGGUGGGUUUUGCUGAUUGGUGUAUCUUAGAUUUAAAGGAACACUAUAGUGCCAGGAAAACAAACUCGUUUUCCUGGCACUAUAGAGAUAAUAGGUCCCCCCCCCCCUGGAAUCAGGUAAGUAAAUAAAGGGCUUUUAACUCUUUAUUUACAGCUUUGUAUUCCUGGCACUAUAGCAUCCCUUUAAUGGAUUCCUGUGCAAUAACUGCACUGAUCUCAUCUUCUGGAUUCUUUUACAUUAUUACACGUUAUUAAACAAAAGUUUAAAACUUCCAUAAUUUGGGCUAAACCAUCAGAAUUUAAAAUAUUUUCCCAUGAAUUAAGCUGGAGAUUUUUUUUUUUUUUGCAAACAUGCAAUUUUGACUUUAAUUUUGCAAUGUUUUCUGCUCUCUGGAAUGCACUGUUUAGUGAACAUCCCCCAGAAUGUAGAUAAACAUAGUAUAAUAUACACACAUGCUGAAAGCCUAGAGGCAACUAACUGUGGCGCAGCAAAACUUCAAAUAGGUGCAUUUUUGCUGUCUGGAACAAGGGAGGGUUGAUUUCGAAUACAAUUUUUACGUCAUACUGCCCUUUUAAUUAUGCAGAAACACCAUUAUAUUCUACAUGCAGAUGGGUAUACUAGUGUAUUGAAAUUUCCGUGCAGUAAAUUACUCACAUUAAACAGACUGGAAAAACACUACAGACGGUAGGAGGGGAAGUGUUGACUCUAUUUGUGUCCCAUUAAUUGGACAUGGAGUUCUAGCUUAGCAUACAAACACAGAUACUCUCUUUCCAUAAGCCUUCCUUAUAUUUCUCCUCAAGUGACAUUCCAAAGAGAAGCUAUGGAAACUAGCAUUAAUCAUAAGGUUCUUUUUUAGAAGGACAUCUGACCUGAUGAAGUUUAAACUGUAAAUAAAUCCAUCUAAACAUUAUGACACACAAUUGGGUUGGUUUUCUGAUGUAAUAAAAAUACAAUUAUUACCCAACAUUCUAUUCUAGAUUGGCCAUAAACCGUUCAAACCUGAGCAUAAGCGUGGUUUUCCCAGGAUCCUCUCUGAUCUGUCCCAGAAAAUCUGGGGGUAUGUUUUUGAAAACCCUCUCUACCUAGUUGUGUAGAUAUACUUGGAAAAAUCCAAUGUUUAAACAAACGUGAAGUAAAGUUGUUUGAAAUUUCUAAUAGCCAAGUAUAGGAACAUGGAUUGCUUUAAGUCUCUUGAAAUAUUGUCAGUUUAUCUCAGCAGAUUAACUCAAGGCACAUAACCACUAGCCACUAAAGCUCAUGGAAGUAGUUAUGGUGUGAUAAGUCUAUUGGUGCUUUCCCCUGGCUGAACUGGCCUCAGCCCUCACAGCCUACCAUUUCAGAAGUCUACUUUCUUACUAUUGGUAUGGGAGUGGUUGGACUGUGGGUACUGGGGGAGAUCUCAUUUUUCAUCCAUCCACACACAAAUAGUUUGACUCAAAAAUAUAGCGCUGAUAGACUUAUAGCACUUUAACCAAUACAAAGACUUUGUGCCAUUUUAAGUAGUUCUUGUUGACAGCUAGCUGAAAUAUCUGUCAAAGAGCUGCUGAAUUGCAUCAAUCAUGCAGAUCGGAAAAUACAUAAAAUGAAAGCUGUUGGUCUGAGUGAUCCGGUUUCAUUCAUACUUUUAUAUCUUUUAACGUUCUUUCAGCACAUGUAAAGCUGUACAGACAUUGAGGUUGGGACAUCAAUAGAAGAAAUAGAAGAGGUUAAUGAAUAGCCAACUUUAUAUGCUUGCACUAGUAAGGUGGCUAUUUUUAAAAACUCUGUCUACUUUAACUAAGAACCCAACUUGCCUUUAGAGAAUCAUUCGCUUUGAAGAUGUUUCCCCAAGGCCGCUGUUUCACCUAACAUUGUGUAAAUCGGUUGAAAAACUGGAGCAACCUUGAGUCGAUAGUCCCCUCAGGCCGCAAACGAGUUGCCCUUCUCAUGUUAUAUCCGGAGGUUUUUCAACCAAUGUUUGAAUGUCACCGAAUGGGUGUAAAGAAUAUACCAAGGCUUCUCUCAAAUAUCUCUUCUCUCUGCUGUAUAGAUUGUUUUUAACUUGCCUUUUUGUGUGAUGAAGCAGUUUAGAUGAACACAAUUUAGAUUACCACACUACUGCAAACCAUUUCAUUUCAGAGAUCUUUCUACAGUCUGUACCUAACACCUCCAGUAAUAUCGCUUUCACCACCCUCCCUAGAACAAAGCCUUCUCCAUGGUUGACCGAGUGGACAAAUACCCUUCCCUUGGGUCUAUUUCAAGAGGAGAAUGAAAAAAAAUCUAGAAUAGGAUCAUUGUCUGCAAAGGCCGAAUCUCGCUCCAACAGAGUCCUUUAACUCUGCUGAGAUCUAUGAGAAACCUUUAAAAAAAAUAGAAUCCUAAUAUAAAAUAUUAUUUUGUAUAACACAGCAUACAGAAUCAUUCGCCAUCUACUCAGUUGUUCAGGGGAGAAGCAAGAAUUAUCUCUAUUUCAGCAUUUUUUCUGUUUUUUCAAGUAAGCCAAAUUGUAGAGAUUACGCAGGUGUGUUCUACUAUUUAACGUCUCUUGAUAGCAUUAAACGUUUCCUUCAUUAAAUGCACAGCAGCUUAUGAAUUCUUCUUUUUCCGGAGGUUCUGAAGAUAGAUCUGAAAACAUAAUAUAUAUAAUGUUUGUGCAGAUGUUUUCAUGGGUUUUAGUCACUGGUAACAGCGGAGUACCUCGUUACGCCAUACUGCAGAGUCAGCCCAGCUUUUAGCCACCAUUACUGGUGCACAAUGUUGUUGUAUGACAGAUAUACUCUAAGGGAAAAAAAAUAGAAUAUUCUAGAAGUAAUAAUGUAAAAAAGUAUAAAAACAAUACUUUAUUUAAAAAAAAAGAUAACUCAAAUACUAUUUCACUAACACGCCAUCUAAAAGAAAAGACAUUAAGGUUUAUUUAUUUUUUUAUUUUUUUAUUUUUUAUAUUAACUCCAGAAUAGUGAAGAGUGGACAAACAAAUUUAAACUUUUAGGCCAAAUAGUCAAACUGGACAUAUUUAAUACUCGGCUAUUUUUUAUUUUAUUUUAAAGGUCAUUCUCCACAAUGUCUCAUUUAGUGAAUAAGCCCUGUAGUCAAUAGUAAAAAGUCAGCAUUUUAAACUAAUCUGGCUCGUGGACCUUGAAAAGCUGAUUUGUUGUGAACUGGAGCGAUAUCUUAUUUGUCUUUAAUUCUUUUGAAAAACUCACACUGCUGAUUUGCGCUGACGUCGACGCAGCUCUGUUGGGUUGCCUGUAAAUGACUGCUUUUAGACGUGAUAUAUGGUAACUGUUCAACGACGCAGAAUUAAAUCUUUGAAUUAAAUCUUUGAAUUAAAAGCCUUUUUCUCUUUCUGCUCUGGGAUAUUAUUCACCUCUUUGGCACUGGAAGGGUUAAGAACCUGAGUUUUUGUUCUAAAAAUGCAUUUAAAGGGUUAAUGUACAUUAUGCAAAGCCUGCAUUGCACCCGACCUGUGUACUUUUGCAUAGAAAACAGAUUUGGACAGUUGCAGACAUGACAAUUUGUUUUGUUUGACUAAUCAGGGUCGAGCUGUUUGUUCAGUAUGACAAUUAACACAUGCAAGAAAUUGGUUUUUAAAUCGGUUUUGUGGCACAGUAUGAAAAAUUCACAGCAUGUAAAUGUACCAAGGUUUUUUUAAUACAUGAAGUUUGUUAGUGCAGAACGUUUUGAUGUAGUUUGAGCAAAAUCAAUAUUUGAUUUUUUAUAUUUUUUUUGUGCAUGUGUUACUUGGCCCAGUAAGUUUCAAAUGCUAACAUGUAGAUAACAAAUCUAAAUGUUGAUUUAAGAAUAUCUCAAAACAUAGAAAUAAAGUGCUUUUUAAAGAGACAUUACAAUUUAAGAACUUAAUUUACUCUCCCCCCCAACCCCUUCCUUUAAAAAUGUUUUUUUACUAUUUUUGUAAUUCAUAAAGGGAUGUUGUUGAUUGUACUGGUUUCGGUAUGCACAAGACUUUUGUCAUGCUUUGUUAUGCUGUAUCAACAAGUAUUGCUUUUGUAUUUUGUAUUUGAUUGAUGGUGUUUUGAAGAAUUUAUUUUAAAAUUGGCAGAUUUAAGAGGGGGGGGGAGCUAAAAACAGUCAUUGCCGUACCGCCUGAUCCAACUUUUGUCCGACACAUAGCAUGUUUUGCUCGACACAUAGCAUGUUUUGCUCGACACAUAGCAUUUUUUGUUCGACACACAGUAUAUUUAUAUCCUGAUGUGCAUUACAUGAAAAGUAUGUAGAAUUCAUAUGCCGUUGAAAUAAAAUCAACUAAUUGAUCAAGGGAAAUUCUUGAGGGAACUGCUUUGAUGAGUUUAUUGAUUCCCCCACCUUAUAUAUGAAUAUAGCAUACUGAUAUGCAUCACUUUUCAUGUACUGCUCACCAGCAUGAAUACAUUAUUAGAGCCCAGUAAAACAUGGUGGAUAUUGCAUCACUACACACCGUGCCACCCUCUUUACCUCUGUUUACUUCAAGACCGAGGGUUGAGCACCUAACCCUCAUGGACAUUGCAGCUUAUGUGGACUAUAAUUCCCAUCAUUCUCAGCAAGAUGUGAAUGAUGGACGUAAACAUGUGUACUCUCUUCCUCAUAAGUUCCCCAUACCCCAGGUAAACCCUAACUUUAGUAAAUAGAAACAUGAAACUAUGAGGCUUUAAUGGCUCUGCAAGAAACAAGCACAUACUCUAGCACGAUUAAAUCCAUCCAAUGCUGUGACAAAUUACUUGCCACAACACAUAUUAUGGUUAUAUUCCUUUAAGAAGGUUUGGUGGCUGCAACUCCAGCGGAAAUGGUUCAAUUUUUUUGUCUCUUGAACUACAGGAAUUAAAAGAGCUUUGUGUUUCUAUUACAGAAAUUUAUGAAGUGUGUGUCCUGUAACAGGAGGCUGACAUAUAUUAUGCCUCCUGCACAAACUGUUUUGAUUGCUACCUAAAUUAGCAUGCUGUGAGCAGAGGAGGCUUAAUAUACACAGAAAAAGCACGCAUCUAAUAUUGUACGGCAAACUCGGCGCUUGAUACCUGCUAUUUCAUGAUCUGUCUCUGUGCUGAUUCAGCGAUUCACUGUCUUGGUUACAAAUGAAAAAAGUUUAAUUUGAAUUAGGGCUUGAUGGUACGAAAAGGGGUAGCUCAUGUAUCUGUUUAAAAGGAACGGUAAGUGUCUGAGGAAGAAAACAGAUGUAGCUCUAACAUUUAUAACCACCUUCACGUAAAGUUAGCCAAUCAGUAGCUCCCUACUCACAAUAUAGCUUGAGAAAUGUACGUAUGUUUCUCAAGUAAUUUUGUGAAUUUUGAGCUACUGAUUGGCUUAGAGUGUCAACUCAUCAUUCUAAGCCAAUCAGCAGCACCCCUGCUUGCGACAGUCCAUGGCUUCCAUUUUGAACAUUUUCAGAAAGCAGAUGUUGGAGGGCACAGAGGAAAAUGGCUUUUGAGGAGACAUUGGGGUAAAUUGUUCGUAAACGAUUUAAUGCCUAAAGGUGCACCAGUAACAGGGCCCUCCUGGCACCGUUAAGUUAAUUUCGAUGAAGUUGUUAUGGUGCCCAUAGUGUUCAUUUAAAUUACCUGUCUGUUAGUCCACCCAUAGUACAGCGCUACUGAAUUUGCUGGCGCUAUAUAAAUAAUAAAACAAUAAUAAUAAUAACUGGUAGAACUUGGGAGCAGCCAUUUUGCCAUCUCCUCUGUCCACGAUGUCUGCAGGUUCCCUUCCGUGGGAUUGAUGUCACUAAUGGAUUGUGGAUAAAUGUGAUUGGCAACUGAAACACAUCCUUACUUUAAGCCCCGCCCAUUGUCAAGUUUUGUCAGCCUGAUUGCUAUAUAUGAGUAAAAGUAGUCCUUACAUUUAUUUAUGUAGUUAAUGAAAACUAGAGCCCUCAGGGAAUAAAUAAAAGGAGAUUCAGACGCAGGGAGUUGUGUAGAAACAUUAGAUAAAGUUUAUUUUUGGUGACAGAACAAUAAUGCAUAUUACACCUAACUAACCAGGGCUGAUCUAACAUUUUAGCCACAAAUUAUCACCAAACAGUACAUAUUUUUUAACGUGUGUACUGACAGGUGUUGUUGAACAGAAAUCAGUGUAUUCAUAUCUCUUUAUCCACAUAUGAAUUGGUGUUUUGCUUUUUUGUUUUGUUUUAUUUAUUUUUGUUACAUAUACAAUCCUCAUUUUACAUGAACAGUUUGCACAAUCCUGUUGUAAUCUGGUAACCACCAUCAGACUGUUUUAGAUUCAUAGAGUUAUGGUCUGAGGAGUAGAGUGUGACGGCGCAAAAAAGAUUAGCCCUGGUCCCGUGCGGUGAAUUAAUUACAACCCAACUCUGAGUGUGUGAACAUAGGGGCAAGAAAUCUUUCUGUAUUCCAGAAUCUCUGCGUCCCAUAAAGACAGAGAGAGAUUAGGCUGCACUGCACAGGAAUUGAUUUAUCGUGAAUUUAUUGCUUGGUUCUGGAAGCUAAACUGCGUCACAGAGGCGGUGCGCUCUAUAAAACCUUUUCAUGCGAAGCUUAGACAUAAAUUGGGACAGAGUGCAUGGCAGGCCAGGAGCAAACUUCUGGGAUUUUGCUGCUUUAUCGGAAUGGAGAAAUGGAAACAACAUAAAGAUUAGAAAAUGGACCUGUCACUUUCCGAAAUUCCCUUUACAGCUCUGUAUAUAUAAUAAACCUUUGUAAUUGUGUUUACUGUUUAAAAUAACCAGUAUUUGCAUUAAAUAACUAUCUUUUGUGAUAGAGCAGGUUGCGAUAUAAAGUCAUUUUGAUUUGUUUUGCAUGAUGCCAGAAUUGCAGAUGUUAAAAAAUAAAAUUAAAAAAAAAGCCACAAAAAACAACUCCUUAGCUCCACCCACUCGACAAAACCCCAGCUCCGUAGCUCCACCCACUCUGCUCCUUAGCCCCACCCACUCAUCUUUUUCUUUUCAGCUGAAGGAGACAGCAUAAAAGGUAUCAGACAGCUGUACGUUUUCUUAUCAACACCUGCUGGAACGAGGGAAGAAAAGGCUUCAGUAGCACAUAGAGGUCUUUCAUAUAUUUAUUGAAGGAAAUAAUUAAAGCCAUUGCUUAGUGGCUUAUAUUAACUAACUGAAUAGAUUUAUUCAUGUUUUUUUCGUUAAUGAAACUACUUGCAUACAUACAUAAGUACAGCUGAUAGGAUCCUUUAUGGAAGCUAUAAAUAGUAUACAUUAUUUAUUUGUAUAUAAUAUACGGGGAAGGAUGAAUAUAAAUAAUUAUAGAUCAUUUUCAGUUUUAACAGUUUGUGUAAGGCAAGAUCUGCUCUGGGACAUGGAAAUCUGUGAUUCCCCCAUGUCAUAAAUUGGGUGGAUGGAAAUUAAUCACAGGUGAGUUUAGGCAAUUGCACUGAACUAUAGAAAAAAAUGAAAUGAAAUAAACAGAGCUCCUUGCAGUGUGAACUGAGUAAGCAACAUAAAUUGUUAUGGUGUUUGUCAUGAUCCCUUUAAUCAAUUAUGCAAAUUUCCCUUCCAUGAAAUGCAUAGGUAGAAUAAGUCCUUCACUUUUAAAUUGAAUAUCUGUAAAACAAGUCCAUUGAUUGAAAAGAAUAAAACACAGACUGCAUAUUUAAUAAAUAUAUAUUUUAAUAAGGAGGCUAGAAUGUAAUAGAUGUACUUUAGCUACAUAUUACCAAAGGUCAAUCACAUAAUCCAGGGAAUAAGUCCCAUGUUCAGUAAUUCUAUACUUUGAUGUGAUUCCAUUCUAGAGCUGAACCACAAUAAGCAAAAUGUGUCUAUGAACAAUGACAGGUGUAUUCGUCUACACAUAAAAUCUAGAAAAAGGUGAUCACAGUUCAGAAGGCCAAGGAGUUUGCUCCAAAUGUGUAUUCUCUUUUUUAUUAAUUCCAACCAGAGCAAUUAUUUCAAAAGGUAUUGUAAGUUAUGUAUAAAGAUUUUGGAGCAAUUUCCAUAACAAAUUCUCCACGUUAAAAUGUUUUCUCUAAAAUUUAUAUAAAGCUCCAGUGUUGGCCUAUGCACAGAUAUGGUGCUGUCAGUCUGUCUGUCUGUAUAUCUAUCUAUCUUAUUAUACAUAUUUUAUUCUAAGUAAAACAUUAGAAAAAGUCAAACACAGCUGCUCUGAAAGAGCGUGUUUCCACAAGUCUCCCAGCAUGCCAUGCUGAAUAUGCAGAUUAGUGCAGACAGGUUGAAUAGUUGUUUUUUUUCAAUUUCCAGACCCACAUUUCGGCAGACUCCCUAAGCAGUGACACACUGAUUUUAAACACCGCUUUCAAAGUACUUCAGGAGUUAUGAUUCAAAUGGGCCAAAGACUAGCCAUUGAUUGAAUGUUCUUUUAAGAUCUCAUCAGUGUGAUGUGGCUCAGGCCCUGGCAGCACAUAUCUCAGCUUUCCUAAAUAUGGGUUAGAAAUCAAAAGGUGAUAGCUGUCUGUGCCUAUUUGCAUAUUCACCAUGGCAUUGUGGGAUCAGAGCUGCUGUAUCUGAGGCAUCAUUUUUCUUGAGGUUUGACUUGAGAUGUGUAUAUCAUGCACAACAGUAAUUUUAGAAUUAAAAAUCAGAUGGGAUUUUCUGUAGUUUUUCUAAUUUACUACAGCUUUAACAGCUUUUUACACUAUAGACACCAGAACCACUACAGCUUAAUGUAGUGAUUCUUGGGCAUAGAUACUAUCCCUGCAGGCAGAGCAUAGUAAAUGCUGCCUUUCCUUAAAAAAAGGCUGUGUUUACAUUGCUGUCUAAGUCCACCUCUAGUGGCUGUCACUUGAACAGCCACUAAAGGGACUUCCUGGGUUCUGUCCUGUAAAGAUUGUAAGACCAACAUUAAGCUUCUCCACACGCUGGAGACGCUGAACUCUUUCCAUAGUAAUACAUUGAGUCAAUACAUCUCUAUUAGGAGAUACUGAGUGGCUCAGUGUGGUGAUUUGAUCUGCAUGCGAACUAGCCUCCCAUUACUCCCCUAUGGGGAAGCCUUGGACUGGCUGAGGUCAUUAGGAUUGAUUAUCUCAUGCGGCGUGGCAACAUGUAGACAGACACGCUAGGGAAAAUAAGGUAAUCAAUGCUUACAGGUGGCCUGCUAAUCUAAAUACCGAGUGGAACACUUUAGUGUUAAGAAUAUAUGUUUGAAUAACUAACAAUAUACUAUUCCUUUAAUAAUACACAAAGGCACAUAUAUACAAACACCCACACACACAUUUGCUUUAACAUCACAUUUUUUAUUGGUAUUUUGGAAGUAUUUUGCAGUCUGAUGAGCAAUGUGAACAAGAGUAAUUAUUAAUAAUGUGUUAAAUGCAGACAGAAGAUUGUUUAAUGUUUCCUGAUUCUAAUAGUCAGAAAAUGUGUUAAAAAAGGCGCUUUCUGUGAUGGCUUAUUUCACAGACAGAUGAAUAAUACACACAAAUCAAUCUAAAUGUUGUAUUAAUCCCUAUGAAAUAAGUAUAGCAGUUAGUCUUGUCACAGUCAAUGAGAAGUCAAUGUGACUUUUCAUUUGAAUCAGCCCCUUGCAGGCCCGAGGAGAGAGAAGUUCCUAAAAUAGCCCAAAUGGAAACGUUUUCUAAGACCGCUAUUUCACAGCUUGGCCUUUAUGUCAUAACACUUUAAAUGUGACAGUUCUCAGUUUAGUGAAUAUACCCUGUAAAUUAACCUGAGAAUCCGGCUACACCCUAAAUAUCAGAAAGUAAUGUUAUUUGGCAGCGAGCGUCACUCGUCUCUUCUUAAUUCCACAAUUCUUGGCUCAACUCUUAGUGAAUAGCAUGAAACUGCUGCCAAAAUCCUCCUGCCAGACUGUGACAAAGGUGUCACGUCCAAUUUUAUAGCCAAUAUUGCCAGACCUUCAAAAAUCUAUCCCAGAGUGCCCAGAUUUAACGCACACCUCACGUUCAAUAUUGUCCUGCAAUGUUUUGGCUUCAGUUAUGUUUACUCUGCAGCAGCCUGUUCCUUCGUAUUACUGGGCUGGUCCACACUGCACAGUCAGACCUUGUCACCGCGAACUUUAACACACUACGCCAAGCCGUUUAUGAUGGCUCGAAUUAACCCUUCAUCCUAGGUAGAGGAAGGAGUUAAAAAGUAACAUGUGAUUUGAUAGUGUUCAAGGAACACAUUCAGGAUAUUGAUUUAGUCAACAAGAGACAGUUUUGUGGGUUUAGAUAUAAAGGUAUAUUUAUUUAUUUAGUGCCUCUUUCCCCCAGAGAGGCCUGUAAAGCACUUGGCAUAUGCUCUCAGGCAUAACCAUAUCUGAUGAUAGAUAUUAUUUUUAGCUUUUCAAAUUGUAUUUAUUGCAUCUGCCCCUGUUUCUUUGUGAAAAGACGCAAAUACUUGCCACUAUAUUUUUUUCAAUAUUUGUGAAAAAAAAUGUAACGUUUUCCACAGUGCUUCAAUGUUUCCCAAAUAAUUUGUUUUUAUGAAUGUUCCAUUGUUGCCACUGUUACUAUGUCCACAUUUAUUUAUUUUUACUUACUGGCUUUAAAUGUUUUGUUAUGGGUCACAGGCGAGAGAUCAAGUUCAGCCAUCUCCAAAAUAUAUUUAUAAAAGUAUAUUCAUGAAAGUGACAUUGCUUCAUUACCUCACCCUAAUACACACUACUAAAGCAUUUACCGGGAUGAAUAGUGUAACUGAGAUAAGUUUAAAAAAACUUACUUCUGUAGCACUUCUGUGUGCAUUGUGAUGUCAUCACACCAUGAUGCUCUGGGUGUGCUCGGGCCUACCCCUUAAGGACCAAACUUCUGGAAUAAAAGGGAAUCAUGACAUGUCACACAUGUCAUGUGUCCUUAAGGGGUUAAAGAGAAAUGAUGCAUGAGCACAUGAUCACAGUUAAUUUACAUUAUAGGCAUAAAAUAUAAGUCAAAAUACGAAAGCAACUUUUUUUUUUUUUUUAAGCGCAUCCACAGCUAACUUUUUGGUAGCUACUGUGCUGGCCAAGCAUUAAUGCAUCACUUUGCUAUAAUAAACUCCAGAGUUGGAGUAUUUCUCCUCCCCCCACCACCCCCAUGGAGGUCAGCUUACCCCAUUUAUUUCAGUUAAUUCUACUCUUGAAUCAUGUAUAAAACAAGACAAAGGAUCACUUUGCUGUAACAAAUCUAACAAAUGGUUUUAUAGAACAAGGAGUCUGAAAAAACACACACAUAUUUUAUAUAUCUACACUUUUUUUUAUUUUUUAUUAAUUUUUAUGACCUCACUCACUAGCACUGACUUAUUUUAUGCGUUGGAUCAUGACAGUCGUCCACUGUCCCAUGGUUUUAGCAUGUGUGUGUGUUUUUUUUUUUACAUUUUAUUUUUGCCUUACUGCCAAGUGGCUAUUUUUAGAGAACUGUGAAACUUUAGCAGACCCUUCUAUACAUGUAGAGCUGAUGUGCAAUGCAGAGCAUUGUCACUACCGAGAACACUGUAAAGUUUGCCACCCAGAGCAUAUAGAUUAGAGAGAGCAGCACAUUCUAAACAUGCAGAGCAUUCAAUGCUUUCAUGUUACAGAGCAAACUGUGUAGAGGUUACAGAGCAGCACAUUUACAGAAAAAAUUUGUAGCGUGCUGAGCAUUCACAGUAGAAGAUGAGUGGCAUUCUUAGCAGAGCAUGCGUAGCAUAGCAUUCAGUUCAGGCCGUGCAGCAGUGCUAGUGUGGAGGAUUAAGGAAUCCCCAUAUAUUGUUUCUAAAAUUCCUUUGAGUUCCAUUUACUGAAGUGUUAAUUUCAAUUUAUUUUUUCCCAACUAUGAAUUAUUAUUAACUUUCUUUACCAUGCAAAAAGCAAUGUCGCCCACACUGCACCCAUAAAUGCCUAAAAUUCUCUCUAAAUAGGGGGUUUAACAUGAGACAAAUUCUGAUGCAUUCCAUAUAGUCAUCCCAUUCACUAAAGGGAGACUUUAAAGUGAAUUUCACCUUUAAGGUCAAAAUAGCUGAACCGGGAACAUUCUUCAGUUCAGCAAUGCUUUCAUUUUGACUACUUCGGCCUUAAACGGUUACUCCAACCACCAUGAUCACUUCAGUGAUUUGAAGUGGUCAUGGUGAAAGUAGUUAGUAUGUGCAGUGUUUCCGCUUGAAACACUGCACAUACUGAGAUAUUUGUAAUUGUAGAACAUAAAGUGAACCAAUCCAUAAACAGAUACUCCAAGCACCAUAGUAUUUUUUUCCUUGUAUAAAUAUUGAUGUAAAAGGUGCUUUUGUGAUUGGCUCUCUGCUUUAGAUUCAUUAUAGCUGCAGUGAUUUGAGAAAUCGCAUAUAGUUAUCUGCCUUACAGGUUCCCAAGUUGGCUGAGGAUAACGGGAGUUGUAGCUCAAUAUCACCUAAUCACUUCCCCUUUGACUUCACCAAGGUUUAUGCUGCCUGCUGUGAUACAUUUAUGCGUUGGCGCAGAAUUUCUCCAGAAUUGAGAUAGGCAAAUGGGCCAUUGUUGGCGUUAGUAUUUUAGUGUUAUUACUUUUUUUUGGUCUAGUGGGAAGUAAUGAUUUUGCGGUACAAUGCAUUAAACUGAUGUCAACAUUUUUGAUAGAAAGGUUGUAAAUAAAUGGGUUAAAAUUCAUAUGCUGGGUGUACUGUACUAUAUCAUAUUAACACAAUAGUGUGAUAUAAUUAAGCUUGUAUGCUCUUGGGCAAGUUAAUAAGAGCAAUACAGUAUUCCGUAAUAGAUCUUAAGGGAACACACCAAGCACCAUAACCACUACAGUGCACUGUAAUGGUUAUGGUGUUAGAGUGAUACUUUAACUGGUUAGCAUAGCACUAGAGUGUAUUCCUUUGCUAGAGUUUUACAGAUUAUUAUGCGCUUCAUUUUAUAAAAAGCUCAGGCAGCUAAAAUGUAGCCCACAAACCUCUGCAGUACCAACGUUAGCCAUCGCUGCUCUGUAAUAUACAUUGUAAUGCAGAUGGUAGAUAUAAAUGAAUAUUUGAAAUAUUUUUUUUUUAACCUUUACUCAUAAAUCCUCAUCGCAAUUUUGGAUUUUUUAUUUUUACUUCUUUCAUUAUGGCAAACCUGGGAUUAGCAACCCUCCCGCAAUCUGAUUUAUGAAAUGUAAAAAUAAAAACCGUUGAUGAGAUGUUCCAUGGGUGAGUGCUUUCACUAUAUUAUGACUGCAGUAUACCUUUCUAAGUGGGCUUUUUGAUUUAAUGAAGAAUAGUCCAACCCCUGCCCGGAGACUAAAAAUUCUGGAAGUGCAGUGACAUUUAGAAGAAUAGAAUUAACAUUUUUUUUUUUUUUUCUUAGGGAAUUACCAACGGGUUUUUAUUUCUGCAGUAAUGCCCGUCCGAGCAGAAAAUACGGUCGCAGUGAUGAUUUCAAAUUGGCUGCAGCUUAGACUAAUUGGCCAAGGUGCCUUUCAGCUCUUGAGAAGAAAGGAAGUUUUAAUGGGAUUGUAUAAGUUUGGUCGUAGAACCAGUUCUGUUUUCUUGCACACAUUUUUGUAAUUCACACUCAUUUCAAUGAGAGAAGCACAUGUUAUAAUACUCGGUAAUGGCCAGGCUGGCCAGGUACAGGUCAAGGGCUGGGACUGCAGUGGCUGCUGUGGGCUAAUCUCCUCCAGUGUGGAAGUCCCUGUUCACAAGUGCUGGUGGAGGAAGUGAUGCAAACAGGAAAUUGGAGACUGCCUUUUAUAAUAAUCCUAGCCUCAGUGAGUGAGUGAGCAUUAAACCAUGCGUUUUCUAUGGGCGAAAUUAUAUAUUAUUACUUGGAAGUUUGUUCGAAGAAAGGGAUAACCCAACUGUUCUUUUCUUGUGUUUUGUAAACAGUGAAAAGUUACACCAGGAUUUUUGGUGGUGAAUUCAUCCCCGCCCCCGAGUUCCUACACCCAUGUUCGGUUGGCAUUAGCAGACAUCUGAAGAAGUUCCACUGGGACCCAUGUUAGGCCAUCACUAGGGGGAGAUCUUCAGAUGUCCGCAGCCUGGUUCGAUCUGCUAGCCUUGCAUUCGGAUCAUAAGAUGCCCCUCAAACAAAUGCUACAUAUUUGGGCUAAAUUUACAUGAAAAUACAUUUCCUUAAACCUGAGGUACAAUAAUGCAACUGAUGGAGAAUCACGUCAAAUAGUGCAGGAAUACAUAGGGAAAGGUGUAAAAAUGCAUCUGAAACAUUAAAGUGUAAAUUGCCACUUUUCUAGAAAUUACACCAUUGAUUCAGUUAUUGCUAAACUUUUUUUUUUUCAUGUGAUGCUCUGUUUUCUUUUCAAAUAUUUCUUAAAUAUUUAGCAAGUGACAUCACAAUCCAGUUGAGGCCAGGCAGAGCCAGGGCACAGUGCAUAUUAGAAACAGAACAGAGAGAUUCUCCUCAAUGUUUAAUGAACGAUUAGGACAACAUUUUCAGCGGUAACUGACAGGGAGCCAAGAUGGAGGCGAACAUUCCCAGGAUAUAUGUGUAAAUUUCUACACUUAGGUUUAUUGCUCAGACCUCACAAAACAUAUUUGUUAAAUAUAGAGGAUAAGUAAGCAGAACAUUAAAUAUUACUUCCCCUUUAAGAGAAACACAUUCAGAUUUUCUUGCUAUAAAUGGGCAAUAGAGGAAUUGGUACACUUGUAUAAAUGUGCCAUGGGAGACCCAGAAUUCACUUAAUUUUUCUUUUUUAUCUACAUACUGCAUUAUUAAUUGGUGGUAAAAUUACUCUGGAGUGUCUCUUUAACCUUUUAGCUGCCUCAGUCAAGUAACAAAUUGUCUGGCUGUUUGUGGCAGACUCAUCUGGGACCCCGGUUCUUAAAAUGCUCACUGAGAGAGUAGAUAAUUAUUCUGCAGUCCUUGUCGCAUGCUAUCAUACUAAUAAGCCCAUAUUUGUAACCUUAUUGUAGACUGGAUCAACAUACAUACGAGAACAGAGUUCUUGAUAGAAUACUUAACCUCUUGUGUGCCAGAGGUUUGCACACCAUAUUGCAAAGCAGUUGCUUUGUACUUCCCUAUGGUAUCUAAAGAGUUACAGAGCUUUCAAAAUGAAAAUUCUACAGACAGAGACAAACAGUACAAAGACUUUACAUGGAAAGUAAGGCUCUCUCUAUAAAUUGGAUGGAGGGAGGUCAGCAGAACAUUUUGCACUUGAGAGCCAUUUAUUACCAGUUAUGCCCUGCCUGGGGAUGUUAAAGUUAGUAUAAUGCUUGUAUUUUACCUCAAUGUGACACCUAGUAAAGAGGACAGAAUGCAGCUUUGUGUACCUGUCACUUUGGCUGUCUCGACUCCUGAAAUGAUGGAACACCGUAGUUCUUGCUACUGCCUGCAUCCACUGGGGCCCUCCGCUGAUCUGUUCAAAGUGCCGGCUUCUACCCCGUGAAGGAUUCAUUCAUUACAUCUGACUCCUGGAUGUAGACGUCUGCUGGAUGGAGCUGAGCUGGACCAAUUAAUCCGUUUUCUUUGUGUGUCCUCGUUCGGUUUAAAGUAAAGGCUCACAGGCAGAAAUGCAUACUCUGCCUUAUCACUUCGCUUAGUGAAUUCAAAGAUACUACAUUACAAAUCUGUAUGGAACAGACAGUUCUAAAUAAACUCCAGAGGUGUUGGCAGGGAAGAUGAAUAGCUGAAAGCUCACAAAUUAUUCCCCAAAUAACCCCAAAUGGACAAAACGCAAGCAAGUCAGCACGGCAUGACAAGGCCAGCUGAUUAAAUAUGGUCUCCUUACAGACAUUAAAACAAAAGAAAAUGUUCAACUACGUAUUUAUAUACACAUAUGCAGUAUAUUUUUUUUAUUUUAAUGUGCUAUAUUAGUCCUAUACAAGGUCUAUACCAGGGGUAGACAUUCUUUGGCACUCCAGAUGUUGUAGACUACAUCUCCCAAUAUGCUCUUAUAGCCAUAGGGCUGGCAAAGCAUCAUGGGAGAUGUAGUCCAAAACAAGUGCCAAAUGGUGCCCAUCUCUGUCCUAAACAGAGCAGAUUCCUCCAUAGGAAGGGCUACUUUAUACCUCCCAUCACCACCAGUGGGUAGAAAAGUAAGAGAUAUAUUACAAUCUAAUGACUCAAAAACAAAAUGCAUGACACAUUUGUUACCAAAGUACCAAUCCACAUUUCACAAACCAUUUAACUGUCAGCAAUGCUGUCAAAAUGUGCAAAUGUCAUAUCCCUGGUGAUAUUAUUGUGAUGGCAAUUCUGUGCCAUUUAGUUAAAUCACUUUGUUUAUACCCUAGGCACACCUUCUUUCACGUGACUUACACAGUCUUCCUAAACACUUCCUGUAAAGAGUUAUCUAAUGUUCACACUUCCUUUAUUGCAAAUUCUAUUUACUUUAGAAUUUAUCACCAUUAUAAUAAAACAUGUUAAUAAAAAGUACUGGAGUUGUGGGACUGUGGUUGCAUCAACAUAGUUAAUGGCCUAUCGGCAGCCAUUAUCGCGUUAAUUACUAUGGUCUCGAUUUAAUAUUCUUCUAUAAGCAUCCCAAAUAAUGUUCUACUUCUGAAUAAACUUUUAAAAUAUUUUUUUUCACCAUAUUAACAUUUAAAAAAUAUAUAUCAUACAUUAAAAAUAUCUAAAUAUUAAAAAAAUUUCAAUAUUUUUCAUAACAUUCAAUCAUUUUAAAAGUUUAUCCAAAAAUAAGAACUAAUUUGGAAAGCUUAUCGAACAAUAUUAAAUAAAGGCCUUUAUCAGAUUUUAUCAAAGCGCUGCAGAACCUGUUGGCGCUAUAUACAUAGCAAUAAUAAUAAUAAUUAAUAUGAAAUAGGAAACAUGGUCCACGGGAAGAAGAACUUAAGAAAUUGCUUACUCCUGAUAUGAGGAUGUCUUUGAAAUAGAUAAGCUCUCAGCAAAGGUGACCUAAUACCUAAAAUUCCCUAAACUGUCUGUGCCGGAGUAUACCUCAUUAGACGACAGUCAUAUUGCGAAUUUCAUUAGUUUAGGCUCAAUAAUGAGGGUCCCUGGAUAUAGGAGUCAGCGAUUUGUUGCCUUUUUCAGGUGCUAUUUGCAGCAAAUGUAAACCUCAGCAAUAAGAAAGCUUCAAAAUGCAGAAUGGAAAAUUAACUGGCUUAAGAUCCAGAUUGCAUUUUUUUAACUCUUGGCGAGUGAAAAUUGAGCCAAGGCAAUUGAAAACUCAACCCUUGCAAGUGGGCUAUAGAUCCUCUCUGCCUUUGAGGAUCAUGUUUUAAACGGCUGUUUAAAAGAAACAGUUAGCAAUGGCUACAUGGCUGAUAUCUGCUUUAAUCAACAGUGGCAUUAAACAAUACAUUGUGCGUCAUUGGCGGUUUAAAUCUCUGUAGAAAUUGUAGAAAUCUACCCAUCAUCCACUAUCUCACACCCACAUCAGGUAUUGUGUGUUUGAAAUGCAGAACAAGCAACUUGUUUCUCCCAGAAAAGUGAUCAGAUUUCCAAGGGGGAGAGAUCACAAAUAAGUUCCUCUUUAUUCCUCAUAAAGGUAGAUGCACAGGGACACUUGAAAAAUAGAAAAAUAUUAUCACCGCAAAUUUCACAACAAUUUGAUCCUGUAACUUAUAUGUGAUUAACUUUUCAAUGAAAGGUCAUGUAGUAGAAGGUUUGUGGUGGCGAAUAACUUUAAGCCAUCACCAAUAGCACAGGAUUUGGCAUGUCGAGCCUUGAGUGGAUUGUGAUGGUGGGUGGUACUUUUCUGUGUCAAUCAGAAAAAACAUUUAGAUAUUAUCCAUCAUAUGUGACUUGGCUGUAGGCUCCAUUGUGAUCUAAAACAAUUGACCAGUUGCUAUUCUUCGCCCAGGUCCUGUCUGGCCACUCCACAGAAAGGAACCAGCAGAUUUGUAUGGCAAAUAGUCAUUUGAUUGUUACAAUCACACAUUGACACAUGUAUAGAAAUUAAGUAGCCAUUGUUACUUUUGUUUAAUAUGUUUGCAAGAUAGCUUUUGAAGACUGCAGGGUGCAUGUGUUUUGUAAGACCAUACUGGCGGAGAGUAUAAUGAAGCCCAAUUUGCUAGUGAUUGAUUAAUGCACCAUUCCCGAUUGAUUACACCUUGGAAUGUAGGGUGAUUCUAAGUCUUAUCUUCAACAAACUAUAGCUCUUCUGGAACACAUAGAGUUGCAAUGCUAUAGGUUUGUACCUUACCCUGGUUUGUAUGUAGAGAGCACUAUUUAAAGGGACAGUAAAGCCCUUUCAAUUUUAAGCUGUGGACAUUGUUUCCGAGUGGAAUUACUGCCAGUGUACUUAAUACACAGCUUUUGGUGAAAUCACAGAUUCACUUGGUGUAUCACAUAUGUUGCUGUUUUUACAUGCAUGUGCUUUACUGUGUAUACAUGGGCAAUACACCCUAAUGCAUGCAAGAGCAGUGGUUGCUACAUAACUGCUUUAGAACCAGAAAACCCAUAUUCGAAUCUCCACUAGACCACCUCGCCAAUAAAUGCCAUUUCGCAAGACACCUAACAAUAUUUUUCUGCCUCAUAGACUGUAAGCUCGUUUUAGCAAAGCCUUCUUCAUCUUUAAAUCUACAUUUUUUCUAACUAAAAAGCUAAAUAUGCUGGCACUAUAUAAACGCCAUUAAUAGAGGUAUAAAACCAGUUGGCAUCGUGUCUGUGCAUCAUGAGAGUUUGUUGUUGAAGGAGAGAGGGGCCACGUGACAUUUCUUUGUUCAUUAUUUUUAAGGUAUAUGUAGUUUUUUCAUUAAAAUGGACACUCUGGGCACCAAUACUAGCUUAAUACAUUUAAUAGGUUUUGGCCUCAUUAAUAUGCAAUAUGUUUGCAUAUUUAGAUAAAUGUUUUUCAGAAUGCAGCACUAUAAGCCUGCCUCUUUAGCCACACCCCCUCAUGCCAGAAAGAGACUUCCUUAUAAAAUGUAUGUACACAGCUCACUCACUGGCAGUACUGAAUGAUCUGAAUAACAAAGGCAGUCAGGCAUUAGAAGGAGAGGCCACACAUGGAGGCAUGUAGUAUGACUAUCACUACUUUUUUGCAGUUUCUCUGACUGUCUGCAACCUGGUUGUGAAUGAAAAACAAAUCAUUCAGUGCUGUCAGUGGCUGAGCUGUGUGCAUACCUUUGAUAAGGAAGUCUUUCAGACAUGGCGGGUAAGGCUAAGGAAGUAGGCUUAUGGUGCAACAUUCUGCAAAACAUUUAUUUAUUUUGUGCAAAAACUAUAAAGAAUUGAACAUACAAAAAUACAGCAUUUUUAUGAGGCCAAAACGAAAGUGGCAUUAGUGCCUGGUGUGUCCCUUUAAAUAAACCUAUUUUGCCUUGACUGUUCCUUUAAUGCUAAACUAGGUCCGCCCCAAGAGCUACAGAGCAACUGGUUUCUACCUUUUUUGAGCAUUUUAUAAAAUACUCUUAAGUGGUGUAUAUAUACUCAUUUGCAUACCAAUAACCAGAAUCCUUAUCAGCAGUACUAUCACUUCACUACAAGAAGCAUAUUGCUAAUUGACAAUAGGACUGUCAUAUCAGCUUUUUAAUUACAGAGCCAUAUAAAGUUAGCCUUACUGAUAAUAGACAUCUAAUAUGUCAUCCUCACCUGUCACAACAGUCGACAAAGUGAAGGUUGUGGGUGCCCAAAAGAUUUAUUUAAUCUGCUGUGCAACUACAAAGCAUUGUGAGAGUUGUUAAACUCUCUAACUCUCUCUCUCUCUCUCUCUUUAUUUAUAUUGCAGCCCAUUUGUGAAUAGAACACGCCACAUUAAAACUAGAUUUCUAAUUAUUAGUUCCAGGUGUACAUGUAAUUCCCAGUGUUUCCUCAGUGUCAAUAUUUAUCUAUAAUCCUGGGAGCAGUAAAUAUUUAUUGUGACCUCACGGCUGUCUUGUCUCACUACAUGGGAACAUCAGCAAUUAUACCAAUUAGCAUAUUCAGAGUAAGGCAGAUGUACAGGUGUCACAAUGUGUUUAUGCUUUAAACCCUUUAACGCUAAGAAGCACUACAUCCGUUUAUAAAAUGUUGUUUUUGUUUUUUUUAAACUAAAACUUUUUUUAAAAAAAAUCUUUUUUUCUUUCCAGUUUAUAGAAAAUAAAAACAUAUAUUGUAAAAAAUAUAAUGGAAUUAAAUAAGAGUUAAAAGAGCAGUUCUGGAACAGAAUUCUACAAAGUGGAUCAAAUAUCCUGAAUAUUCCAUUUGUCACAUGGUGAUACAAAAUCGCUAAAUCUUGAAAGCAUGGUGUGCCCAAAAUGUAGAUCCCUAGAUGUUGUAGAAUUGCAGAUCCCAUGAUGCUUUGCAUGUCUUUGGAAUGCCUUUAUAAUGGCAAAGCAUCAUGGAAGCUGUAGUUUUAAAACAUCUGGGCACCCCUGCUCUAAAGGCAUUGCAGAUUGUUUAAUUCUUUAAGAAUGUGACAUCAUGGAAGCUUGUAUUUAUUUCUGUGUCAGUUUAUUUUCUCAUACCUCAAGUGACAAAGAAAUGAUUGUCAGCUUAUUAGACCUGUUUUUUUUUGUGCUUGUAAAAUACUGUUUGUAGUGCUUAGUAAACAAUAUUAUUUCUGGCAAAAUAUACUAUGUGACAGCAGAGUUUUAUACCCAUACAGUGUGAAAGGCAUUUAGUAAAUUCAAUGCUCAAUCUGUACCAAUGCAGAGUCUAGCUUGUACAUUCUAUCGAGCAGGGAGGUAUUUACUGUUGGGAGACUGUUGAUGUUACUUAUUUAAAAAUAUAAGUGAGUUUAUCAAAGAAUCAUUGUAUCAUAGUAAUAUUGAUAACAAAUGCAAGUGCCGUGCAAAGCUUUGAAAUGUGUUAAUUUGACAUUUGAAAUGCACAGGAGUGGGGUGAAGUUUGACAGUAUAUUCUGUCGGAGAAGCUGAUUGGCUGAGCCCUGGGGGGAUACUUGGAAAUGAAAAUAGUUUGUUUUGGUAUAUGAAUAACUGCCCUUAUACACUCUCUCUAGGUUCAAGUUCAUUCCCUCCCCUUCCCUAAACCUUCUCGAGAAAUGAGCAGCUAAAUCACGGAAACCUUUUGCACCGUCUCUUUAGAAUUCAGGCAGCCAUUUUUACGCUUAAAAAGCAAGUAAACAAAGAAUGCUGAAAAUCCCUGAAGUGUUGCAGCGUAAAAUAAAAAGGCAGCCGAUUAUGGUAGCUUGAGAGAGCAGAAUUCGAUUCAAAGAUUUUGUUGUGUGGAAUCUCACUGUCCUUGUACGUUUACAAAUCUGCAUUUGAUGAAAAAUGUAUUUAGCUUGGGAUGUAAUCGGCGAGUCCUUUGCCUGUAGAAUUUGACACUUUGUAUAUUGGCGACAUCUUUCUUCUUCUAACCUUCUGUAAGCUAUGUGUUUAGCCCGACCUCUCUCUCGCUGUAUUUUUUUUUUUCACUAUCCUGCGUUCUCAGUUAACGCAUCCUUGAUAUCAAUGUUGCCAUAAGCAUUUGCAUUUAUAUAGGGUGCUAUCUGCACCUUCGCCAAACGGUUGUGCGAUCAUAACAGUAUUGAAGCCCGCUUGGAGAGGAUGGCUCCCGACCUGAUUAAUAGGUGACAGCUCCAGGAAGAGAAAUUAUAUUUGUUGGCGUAACCACAUCAGGAACAGGGCUGUGGGGGAGAGAUGGAGGAGGAGGUCACAGCAGAUUGAGCCCUAUAAUAAUCAUCAUUCUUUCUCAUAUACUGCUGGCUUCAAAGGUCCUUGUCACGGCCACCUAGAUAGUACUGGAAUAAUCAGCAUUAUUAUGCAGCGUGGCUGCAAUAUACACGCGAAGCUAAGGGUGAAGAGGAAAUUCAGGAGCACCGUUCAGCAUAAUCAAUUUCGGGAGGCUUGAAGUGUAGGAUCAUAAAGGGUUAUUAGUUACCCAAGAAAAUGUAGAGUGGGCUCCCAGGUUUCAGGGCAAGAUAACUAUCCCUGUAUAAACGACACUAUAAAUUUCUCCAGCGCUGCUAGCUUCGUAUGGCUUUUUAGAACUGGCCAAUGAAGGUACUAAUGCAUCCAGAAUCCAAACAACACGGUAAUACUAUCGUUUAUCUAUAAAGCAACAGCAUAGCCUGCAGUUCUUUGUUGUCUUGCUCAGAACUGUUUUUUUUCCCUGUCUCAAUAGUCCGCACUAUGUUCGUAUGGAUAUCCACUAAAACAAAGUCUUCUCUGUUAAAACCAGGGGGAUGACCAGCUAAGAAUAAUAUUUUUAGGUGUCAGACUUCAAUUUUAGCGGAGAGACAACUUCCACAGAUUUCUGUAGAGCAUGACUCUUGUGAUGCUUAGCCAUAUUCGGGACACCUACCUUAUUUUAGCCGUUGUAUAAGAAAUGUGCAUGAGGCAGUGCGCAUACUAUUAGAGAACUCUAUUUGCAAAAUAUCCUAUUUUUGGCUGGCUGAGCGUAUUGCAGUGGUAGUUCAUAGCAGCUGAGGUAAUGGGUUGUUUAGAGAUUUUAGUCCAGUAGUGAUUCCUUUUGAAAAUUGUAUACAUUUUAGAGCUUCACUGUAAGGUAGUAACAGCUUUUCAGCCAGGGCAGGUAUACUCAAAUCCCAAUUUUUCAAAUAUAGUACACACAAGGUUGGGCAUGCAUGCAGCGAACACACUUAUAUUUUUAAAGGGGCAUAUUCUCUAAACUGGGGAAUGUGAAGAUUUGGCAAGACAAUCCAAAUUUUAGGCCAAAUAGAGCAACUAAAAUUAGGAUUUUUCUAAUUUAGUUUUUUUUUUUCAGGUCUGAAAGUUACAAUUCCUUUUCCAGUUCUCCACAAUUACCAGUUUAGGGAAUAAACUCCAAAGUAAGACAUAUAGAGAGAAGUGAGUGACACAUUGACCAUCUAAUAGAAGAUAUUCUCAGACGUAUGCUCAGGUACAUAGUCACUAUAUCUGGCAAGGCAUUCCUUUGUGCUUCACAUGCUUGUAUGUAUCAGAUAGUUUUUUGUGUGUAAAUGCCUGAUACAGUCAUAUUGAAUAUUAAGAAACCAUAUGUACUGUGCAAUGAUGGAUUAUUUUUCAAAGCAGGAUUGUAGGGUAAUGGGCAGCAUUGAGACUUUAAUUCACAGCAUCCUCUUGUUAUCUAUCUAUCUGUCUGUCCGUCCAUCCACCCUCUCUCUCUGUCCAUCCACCCCGUCUUUCUCUGUCUCUCUCUCUAUCCAUCCACCCCCCACCCCCUCUCUCUCUAUCUCUCUAUCUAUCCAGCGGCAUUACCUCCCCCCACCCCCCACUCUCUCUAUCUAUCUUGGUAAAUGUAGAUCACAAAUCUCAGAUGUGCCAAUCAACCAUUAGAAGUUGAGGACACUGGUUGCCAAACUACACAAAGUUGUGUUACAAGUGGUACAGUAACGUUGCCAUAUGAUAAUGUUUGAUAUGACUGUGUACCAUGCCAUGUUGAUUUGCUAUUUGAAUCUUAGACUUAGCGUUCACACAUGAAAACAUAUUUUAUUUGGCCGUUCUUGCAGAGCGUUCCAUUCCAGGGCUACCUUGUAUGCUGUCUGAUCAGCAAUGCAUUUCUGGAUGUGCAUCCAGGUUUGGCAGGACCAGAGUCCAUGAGCUGUGACAGGCAAUGAGAUACUGCGGUCACCUGAGAGCCUGGGAGUCUCACUACUGUCAUUAAAACCUGUAUUCUGCCAGAGCUGCAUGCAAAGCGGCCUCUACAAUGGCUCUCUGGCCACUGAGAGUAUUCGGCUUUAGUGGUAUUAAUUAAAUCAUUCUGAUCCCUCAUCACAGACAUUUAGAAUCAAUUUAGACUUGCAUUGUGAUAAAUGCAUAUAGUAUGUUAAAGGAAUAGUCAUGCAUAAUGCUCUUCUUACUUAAUAAAUAAAAAACAGCUUCUCAUUGAUUUAUAUUAUGUCUAUUAAUUUUUAUGGGCUAUAUGAGGUUUCUGUAGGAACACUAUAGAGUCAAGUUAUGUGUCUAUAUUUCCGAUGUCUGUAUUCCAUGUCAUCUAAGAGAGAGGAUGUAAUUUUGGUUAAAUUCAAUUGGAUGGGGUCAGUGGACUUUGCCUACGUGCCCUUUUAAGUAGCUUUUACUUCUAUAAAGGAAACAAAUAUUAAUUCAAAAUGUAUUGCUUCUUUAGUAAUUCAAUAAUAAAAUACAAAUAUGUAUAAACAAACAUCUUUUUAGAAAUUCUUUAUUUUUGGAUCAAUCCAUAGACAUGGGAUAAAAUAAAAGUAAGCAUUGCUGUAAAUGCAAGUAAUGCGCAGAACUAAGGACAUAGACAUUGUUUGAAUGCAGCAAAAUAUUCCAUGGAAUAAACACAAUAUACAACAAUUGAGUUAGCUUAGCCAUGGCGUACUCUGCCUUCCACAUCCUAGGGAAAAACAUGAGCAUGGGACUUUAGCUCUGACCUCCCAGAAUUCCAAUAGGGUGGAAUAAGAUAAUAGAACAUAUGUAUGAAAAAACCCUAAAAAUAAGAAACCAAAAGAAAUUUGCAGUAGAGUAGACUGAGUGAGUAAAAUAUGCGGUAUCUCUAGCCUAAUGUGCGGACAUACUGCAGAACCGAAGUACCAUGAGGAGGGAAUAUUUGGUAUUGAAACCAAUCAGUCUGAUAGAAAAACAAGCAUCUUUUUUUUUAUUUUUUUUUAUUUAUGCAUAUGUUCUGAUCCCAGCACAGCUAUUUGUAAUUACUAUGUUACUACUGAUCACAGAUUAAACUGCAGGGUUAUUGGGAAGUGCCCAAGACAUGUGUCCUAUUGUACUAUCCGAAUAGUUUGUCUGAAAGGUGAGGCAGUAAGGAGGAAAGAAUGCAUCCUUUUAAAAAGCAUCUGCACUACAUGGCGUGAUUAGAGAUCUCUGAAGAACUGUUCCGUAGGUAGAGAACACUAUUACAAAAGCUCAUAAUGUCUGCUUUCAAAUAAGCCACACCUAAAUGAACAUAGGACUGGAAUAGCAUUAGACAAAGGGGCACAGGGAAGGUUUUUCGGUGUAGAGAAAUUUCGUAAAUAGUAAAUCAAAAGCUUGCAAACUUUUCCCCUCUUUAGGUGUGAGCGUAACGAGGUAGAAAUAAUAAACCCUCUCAUUGAUUCUGCACUGCAACUUUUAUCAUUCUCAGCCAUUCACGUGUCUGGACGCAGCUCCCAUAAUGCUCAGUUUGGCUUUGCAUUAUGGGAGCUCUAGUCCUCCAGCUGUGAACGGGACAGUUUGCUUAGCCUCAUUGUAGUCAGGGCUGGAUUAACAUAGGGGCUGAUGGAGUUGCAGCUCCAGGCUCAGGCCCAUGGAAUAGGCCCAUUGAUUUUAAAAAAUAAAAAACAUUUUUAUUUUUUUUCACACACUACUCUUAGGGAUUCCACCUGGCUUUUAUUUUAUUGGCACAGCCAGUAUUUGAGGCUGCCUGGCUGGUGCCAAUAUUACAGUGAUACUGGCAAUACAAAUGCUGGUAUUUUUCUCAGUAUAAACAAGAGAUUACUGUGCAAUACCAGCACUGGCCAGUAGGGGUCACUGUGUGUGGAGACAGGCAGGGAUAGGAAGUUCCAGCAUAUCCCUCCCUGCCUAUCUAUACUCACUGAUCUGCAGGGGUGCAGCUACAGAGUCCAGACAGCAACUCCCACCCUGCAGAGACAGCCUACAGCUCAGGGAAGUAAGGGAUGGGGAAAGGCUGCAAGGAGACAUACACUGAGACACUAAGGGGCAUUGGGAGACAUUAUGGCAGACACUGAGACACUAAGGGACAUUGGGAGACAUUAUGGCAGACACUGAGACACUGGGAGACAUUAUGGCAGACACUGAGACACUAAGGGACACUGGGAGACAUUAUGGCAGACACAGACACUAAGGGACAUUGGGAGACAUUAUGGCAGACACUGAGACACUAAGGGACACUGGGAGACAUUAUGGCAGACACUGAGACACUAAGGGACACUGGGAGACAUGGCAGACACUGGGACACUAAAGGACACUGGGAGACAUUAUGGCAGACACUGAGACACAAAGGGACACUGGGAGACAUUAUGGCAGACACUGGGACACUAAGGGACACUGGGAGACAUUAUGGCAGACACUGAGACACUAAGGGACACUGGGAGACAUUAUGGCAGACACUGAGACACUAAGGGACACUGGGAGACAUUAUGGCAGACACUGGGACACUAAGGGACACUGGGAGACAUUAUGGCAGACACUGAGACACUAAGGGACACUGGGAGACAUUAUGGCAGACACUGAGACACUAAGGGAUAACUUCACUGGCCACCACUCAGAUGGCUGUUAGAGAUCUUUCCUGGGUCAUGGCUGCCUAAAAUCCAUCCAAACAUUCAGUGUCUCCUCCCUCUGCAUGCAGACACUGAACUUUCCUCAUAGAGAUUCAUUGAUUCAAUUCAUUUCUAUGAGGAGAUGCUGAUUGGCCAGGGCUGUGUUUGAAUCAUGCUGGCUCUGCCCCUAAUCUCCCUCUUUCUCAGUCUCAGCCAAUCCUAUGGGGAUGCAUUGUAAUUGGAUCAGGCUACCACUUCUGAUGAUGUCAGCAGACAGCUUGUUUUUCGGAGUCUAACAGCAUGCAGAGUUACAGCUUCAGGCUUGAAUACAGUAAGAUUUUGCUAUAUUUAUGGAGGCAUGAGGGGCUCAGGGGGGCUAGAUGGUGUUGUUAACACUCUAGGGUCAGGAAUUCAUGUUUGUGUUUCUGACCCUUUAGUGAUCCUUUAAGGUAAUGCUGACUUUGGUCUCUCUAAAACUGUGGCAUGUUCCCUUUCUUCUACACUCACUACAUACAGCUUUUCUCUUUCCCUAUAUACCAGAAGCUUCUGCCUGCUAGUAAGAAGGUAAGGAGACAAGUGGACCAGCGAGUGCUAGGGGACAGUCCUUAGAAAGCGUUGAGCGAGCGCAUCAUUAGACGCAUUAAUGCCAAGCUCAGGGUGCUGUCUGCAUAGUAUACCCUUAGUUGGACAGGUGCAUGAUUGGUAGGCAGCCUGGCAUGCAUUCUUGCCAGGCUGGCCUUCUAAUUCUUUGGGCAAACAUGUCCUCUUUUGGGGCAUGUUCGCCCCUUUUGGCAGGUUACGUGAUUUGUGUCAGUGGCACACCCUUUUGAAAACAUAAAUUAGAGUGAGAUUAGCAUAGGGUAUGUGUUUUCUUAUAGCUGCUGUUUUCUUUCUCUCCAGCACCAUCUCCAUCAGAUACAUGACGCUUGGGAGUGUUUUAGUGUUCUGGGUCGAUAUGAUUCUGUAAUUAGGCCCGUCAUAAUUGUCAGCACCAGGACCACUGGGCUGUUAAUCUGGCCCUGACUGUAGGGCAAUUAGCCGUACAUACGUAAUGUGCAUUAAAUGCACAGGCGCACUGUAGAAUUUGUGGCUAAGAAGCUAGCAAUCUACUUUGUGUCCUCAGAUCUUUUCUUGCAGCUCUUUAUAUUAUUAAUUUUUUUUUUUUACAACAAACAUAAGCGCAGAGAGGUAACAGCAGUUACAUUAAGUGGGAUUUGUUACUGUAAAUAUAUGCUAUUAAAUUAUUCACUAUACCACUUUAGCUGAUGUGCUGUAUGAAUACACACUGCCUUUUUACCAGUCUUAUUACUAAAAAGGAUGCAUUUACUGCUUGUCGCAGGAACCUAGAUUAUACGAUCGCUGCCGUUUGUGUGCUCUAGAAGGCCUCUAUCGGUUUUCUUCUUCUUUUGUUAACCUCGUUGCUGUCGGCUGUACCUCCUUCAUGGAGAUGAUUCAGAUGAGUCAUGUUUUAUUUUUAAUAUACUUAUAAAGUUCAAACAAGUCACCAACUAUAUGGCAACCUCUGAAAUGGCUGCUGCAGUGCAGUGCUGCUCACAUCAGGCUCAGCCAGUCAUGAGUCAUGGCAGUUGUAGUAGGCAGCAGCAAUUCCAAUGCUCCGAUGUAGGUUCGUCUAACACAGCAUACUCUGCAUAGCUGUUUAAAUGCGCGUUAAUAUUGUGCGAGCCCUGAGACGGAUCCCUCGUUCUGUCUGCAAAGCUUUGUAACUAUAUAAGUUACUCAAUUGAUAUUUAUGAUGUACUCUUAAUACCUGAUUGCACUUAAUUUCAUCCUUUGUAUACCAAUGAUAGCUACGAUGCAUCGAGCGUAUCACAGAAAAGCACUUUAAAUGAACAUAAAGAGUUGUUUAUGAACACGGAAAUUGUCUCACUGCUUCUCGUUAAUUGACUGUUUUACACAUUAACGCUUUUCCAGUUUCACUCUUUUAUAUGUUACUUUUUCACUUUGAAAAUAGAUUAGUGCAGCAUGGCUUUAAAAAAAACCCAGUAAUUAAUAAAACAAUUCUUACAAUUGAGGGAGAUAGAGGAACAAAAUCAGGGGGCAAAUUCACUAGAAAGUGAAUUGGGAUGAGUUGACGGUGAGCUAGGAGCCUCAAGGUCAAAAUAUCCCAAAUGACGUCACGGUAACUUUACGUUCUCCACUUGGCUAGUCUGUGCUAAAUUGGCAAGUACAUUGUCAGCUCACAUCAUCUCACAGUAAUGUAUACACUAAUAUAGCCAAGCUGAAUUUGUAGUUCCCUUGUGGAUUUUCAAUUACUGGUUUAGUAAAUAACUCUAGCAGUUUGCAACCUGGACAGAGCAAACCCUUUAUGUACUUGUCAAAAUACAUGCCUUUCUUACACUCUCUGAACUGAUCAGGUUGGAAGAGCGACUUGACAGCAUUAACAACAGCCUUGGGCAAUCGGCACCGAUGGUCCGUGCAGUGACUGUUAGUGGGUCACAUACUCUGACUCUGAGUGCCCAGAGAGGUCCAUACUUUAGGACAUCAUAGAAGCCAUACAAAAACAAGGGGUUCUCGCAGCAGUAACUUUUGAGAUUCAAGGUGACUGCCAUUUACGGGGUGUUAGAAUACCAAAGAGUGAAAUAAUAUUAUUCUGUACCUAAAAUAGAACACAUAAAGCAUUUCUGCAAAUUGAGUGUAACGUUGUCGUUUGUGAUUGUGAUCGUUUUAUAAAAAUAAAUGUCUCUUUCAAAGUGCCUCAAAACCUUAGUGUAAAGUGUAUCCAAGCAUUUUUUGGGGGAUAAUGGCUUUGUUGUUACUUGCCAUAUAGUGUUUGAAAGUUACUGCUGUCAAUAUUCCCUUUUUUUUCUUAUUCAAAUCGCCAUUUAUUUUUACCAGAGCUGAACAAAAGCAAUUCAGGGUUAUUUACCAAAGUGAACAUUGUCACAUUGACCCAACGCAGAUAACAGGUUGUCGCAGUGCUGACGCAUUAUUUAUUGGGUCAUUACUUUAGGUAAGCAGUAUAAAAUGUGGAGUAUGACGGUGUACCAUAAAUCUAACCUGUAGGUGCUACUACAGUAUUACGUAUAGUAUAAAUCUCUUGAAUUUACUGUAGUAUUGUGUGUUAUUAUGAUAGGGCACAAUAAACCUCUAGUCUAGACUUUAUAUAGUUAUACAGUCAUACUUUUUAUUAUACAGAUCUUAACUAUAAGGUGAAAGACUGUGAUUUCAUAUGCUGCAAUACAUGAGAGACAAAUGGGGUGCACGUGCCAGCUGUGCAGUAUUGCUAUAAAUCAGGAAUGAUCUCACAAUGGUUGGACCAAACACCUAUAUAAUGACAAAGGAAGCUGUCAAAUUGUGGUAUUUUAAGAAGUACUUAUUCUGGCUUAUUUGCCAUGGCACCAAGGGCACUGUGACAUGUGGCAUGUCCGUAGCCUGACUGUCGCUUAGCAUACCUUCCAAUAUUUUAAAUUGACAGAGGGACACUUUAAUUUUAAGGGAGUGACUGGGGCUGUGGGAAGGGCUUUUUUGAGACAUUUUAUGGGAUUUAAAGACACUUAACUGGGAGUAUUAUUGCAGCGGAGUUCUGUCAUACACUAAGACACACUAAAGAUAUGGAGAUCCUAAGAAAAAGGGACAUUAUAAUAGAAAAGAGAGACGGAGGAAUUUGGGCCCAAAAUAGGGACUGUCAAUACUAACUAGGGACACUUGGGAGGUAUGUUAAUACAACCAGCUCUCUACUUAAAGUCACCUGUUUAAUAACAUACAUUUUAAGAACAAUAGUAUGAUUUGAACUCAUGAUAUUCUUGACACAGAUGGGCCGCUCACAUCAACAGUGCUGUCCAGAUGGAAAGAAAUUUAAAUUGAAGUUUCAAACUAGCUGAGAUGGGGGGGGAUGGGGGGGGAGGGGAGAGGGCAACAGAAAGACCCUGGGUUUCUAUCAAACCAUUCUUAAAUGAUUUGACAUUAAAUCAGGAUGCCCUAGGCAACGUAUCCAACAUAGCAAGCUGCAGUGAUAAGGUUACUUUCAGUGUUCUUUAAUAAAAUCUCUGUAAGCUGAAUAUAACAAAUACACUUUCAGUUACAUUAAUAUUCAUUAUAUUGAGUAGAUCGUUAUGAGGCCACUUACCAACGACAAACCAUAUAUACUCAUAAGGGUGCAUUGAUCUCCAUGAGAAUAUUCCAAAAUGAAUAUUCAUUGGAUAUUUAUUGCUUUAGUAAUGAUGGUCCCAAGAUAUUUGAAAAUUAAGUUUUAGAAGGCGUUAACCCGGCUGCCGUUACAGUUUUGACUUCCUAGAUGAUGCUCAGUCAACCUUUAGAGCAACCAUCACUCCUAUAUAAAAUUCAGUACCUAUAAAGCUGCAGGUCUACAAGAGCCUGGACAGACAUUAUUACUUAGAAUAGAUAAAUAUAUUUAGGUGUAGUGUACAGGAAUGCCCAUGCCUCUCAUUGUCAUUUUGUGUCUGUGUUUGCUUGGUUUUUUUUUUUCCCCGUCUCUGUCUUGCUGUCUCUGUCUUUAUAAACUAUUGUCACAGCCUUUCUGUUUCUCCUGUAUUGCAAAAGCAGCAGUCCCUUAAUCAAAGCUGGAGAGACAUUCAGAGGGAUAUGUCUCAUUGAAUUAGCCAUUGAAAAGGUCGUUCUUCCGCGGGGACCUUCGUAUUAAUGCGGUGUCAUGAAGUCGUCCAGAUCCAUCGCCACUUUAGCAACUCUGGGAAUGAAAGAGCAUAAUUAAUCCUAAUUGCUUCUGCUAAGGACUUGUAAUCGGAAUAAAACACCUGGCCUUCUGGUGGCAGAAGCAUGUAAGAAGGUACGAAGAAGGAAGGUGACUGCAUUUAAUAAGGAUGCCGGGCUGGCGCGGAUUAUAUGGGCGGAGAAAUUCAAAACAUUCUUUUGGGAGUCCUUGGUAAUUGAAGGGAAAUGUUUAACUUAAUUCAUUCUCCAUAGCUACUGGAACAUUCAAAAGUCUUUAAGCCUGGCACGUAUCUUUGAUGCGAGGCUUCCUGGAAAUUGGAAUACAUUCUGUGUGACUUUAUGAACACUGUAUAAUCCAAUAUAUUUUCAAAAUGUUACAGUGGCGAGGAACUAUUGCAGUAAACAGGCUGGCAAAGCAUCAUGGGUAUUGGAGUUUUACCUUUUUCUCAUCCCUGCAUUACUAUAUUAAAUAUAAACAGCCUAUGGUGUGCGCAUACAUGGACAAUAUUAUGUUAUAUUGUUUUGGUGGAGUGUAUUCAUUCUGUAUGUGUCUGUAUUGAUUUUGGAGACCAGCAGUCAGGGCUUGAAAAUGCUAUCAACACUAUGUAGAAAUUCCUUCCUCCCAAGUGUCCCUUUUUAGGAAGGACAGUCUCUAGUUUGAGCUUAAUAUCUGAACAACUACAGCUUUAUGUAGUUGUUCAGGUGAGAUCUAUAGCUCCCUGCAGGCAAUCUAAUGUAAACACUGUAUUUUCAGAGAAAAUACAGUGUUUACAUUGAUUGAUAUGAACACCUCCAGUGGCCGUCACUCAGACGGCCAUCAGAGAGACUUCCUAUCAUGCAGGGCCAUAAAAGGCCAUAAAAUCCGUCUGACGUGUGCAGGAGAGAGAAGGCACUGUGUGCGCCUUCUCUCUCCUGCCUGUAAGCAGAGGAGAGGGGGCGGGCAAAGACUGCGAGCUGAGCUGUCAGUCAUCUCAGCUAGUGGCUGCGCACACCGCGCGCAUGCGCGGUAGUGCGCUCAGGACUUCAAAGAGCGGCAUGAAUGCCGCCCUAUGAAGUAUGUGCGUAUGUGUGGCGAAGCCGCGCAUGCACACAAGGGAGCAAUGAUGCUUUCGUUGUAUCCUACAUAAAUCAUCUAGUCAACACCAUCAUCCCUAUAGAGCAGAUUGUUGAUGUUCUAGUAUCCAUUUAGUAUUUGACUUCAAGUUAUCCCGCAUUGGCUGUCUAUUAGUUAAUGGACCUGCAGUCCAACAGUAGCUCUGGAAGUAAGCAGAACCGUCUGGAAGACGGUUGAGCGAACUUGAUGGCUCUGUGUGGAAUACAUUUCCAAAGGCCAGUUCAGUUCACCUUGAUUGACUAAAGAUGACAAAAGUUGUAUUGAAAGCAAAAUAAAAACAGUGAAAUUAACCGUGCGUCUAAACUUCCACUACUCAUGGGCAGCACCAGUGGUUAUAGCAUUCUUUAGCCCAGAUAUAUAAACCAAAUAAAAACAAUAAAAAGCUACCUAUCCCAAAUCCCUAUCUCUGUUUACAUAAUUGUUUGUUAAUUCAAAAAAUUAAUUUCGAUUGAUGUUGGCAUAUGAGCUUACACUUUAAUAGCGAUUGCAAGGGUACCAAACAUUAGGGAUAUUGAUUUUGAAUUAGAAGAAGAUAUAGAAAGCUGCGUGCUGUAUAUCUGUUUGGGUUUAUUUAUUAAAGACAGAAAUAAAGUGGACUAAAAAUGAAACUGUAAAAUUGUGAUUUAAAAAGCCAAGCUGUAAAUAUAUAUGCGGAAUGGGGGAAUGUUUCCAAAUCAUCUGAUUUUGACUACAUUUUGCAAUUUGGUUUUCAGUUCAUGACAGUUCGGAAUUUAGUGAAUAAACCCCUUUUGUGUGUGCCUGUGCCUGAUGGGAUUGGAAGUCUAAGAGAUGGAAAGCUUCUGGUCUCAGUAGUGGAAGCUUGCUUCAGGAUUCUUUGCUACAUGGCUCUGUAAUUGCAAUCCUGGGCUUUAUUUAAAAGGAUUUGAAGUUCUAAGCACUGGCGGCAAUUUAAGACGCAGCGCUCACCAGUAGUUUCAUGCCUCUUCAAGCUGCUCAUUUUUUUUUCCUGUUCUGUUUAAAUUACACUAUUCAAUUAUAAAAGAAAAAAACAUUUGCUUUGUUAUUUACUAUUUUUUUUUACAUUUUAUUAUUGUAAACCUGCAUUAUCCUGCAGGAAGAGAAUCUGCCUUUUCGUUAUCAAUGCAAAUAGCCUCGGAAGACAUUUAAAAAGCAUUGAAUUUUUUUAUCCUAACAAAAUAAUGAAAAACAGGAGAUUAAAUGGCUGAGAAAAUUGUCGAUAAUGUAUAACACACUAAAUUAUUCAUCACUAUUCAUUAACUGUUUAUAAUGCGGCUGUACCACCUUUGUGGGUUUUUGCCAAUUUUGCCAAGACCGCAAAGGUUAUUCCCGCUUACUGUGUGGUCGUCCAGGCGGCAACUGAAGGUAGGUAUACUUACCGGAAGCUGUCAUCCUGGGGGUGCCACCAUCUUCUUUAUCCAGCUCCUGGUGCUUCAUCUGCCAGGAGAUGCAUCACUGCGGUACUUCUCUUAAAUACAACACUGAAGUCUAUGCAGGAUCUACUGUUGUCCAACGGCUGGGAGAAUCAACAAAAUUUCACGGCACAACCUGCGCCUUUUGUCACUGUGCGAUUUGGCUAUAAGACAGUUAUCUCUAUUUUGUUUUAUGAUAUAUUUUGAUUGCGUUGCCAUUUCAAUGACAUUUUAUAGAGAUUAUUUCUUUACGAAAUAUUCCAAAUAAAUAUCGCCUAACUGCUUUUAGAUACUUAAAAGAGCUGAGUUUCUCUUUAGGAUGAGACUAAAUAAGAGCUGAUUUUAAUUAGUGUUAUCUGCUCUUCUCUUUGCUUUCUUAUUUUCAAGAUGAACAUGGCACGUAUUUAUACCUCCCCCGUUCCUAUUAAAGUUACCACUCUGUAACCGUUUUAACUUUUUCACUGUGUGUUCUCUCUCCUGGUGUUCUGUUUCAAGAGUCAACUACACUUUUUAUAAAGUACCAAAAUUAUCGCAUGAGUCUCGCAUGUUGAAUUGUUUAUUUGAAUUUCUUUCUUUUUUUUUAAAUUAAUUUUAUCUUUUUUUUUUGUGUGUGUUACCACAAGCACAGGUCAGCCAAAGAAUUAAAGGUUGACAGUCUUGACGUUGAUUUAGGUAAUACUGCUCUGUUAAGCUCCAUAGUACAGGCUGCUCCAAUCUGAGGUCCUGGGGAUUUGUACGUGGAGACGCUGCAGGAUUCUGGCAAAAGACAGCACAGCUGAGCGACUACAGCAGCCCUUGCGAAAGGUCUCAUUCACAGGCUGAGCACGAAACCAGGACGCUUAGAAAAUGCCACCAAUAAUGUCACAACAGUUUCAAUUAGUUUAUUUACUUUGCUUCGUUGCAAACAAAAGCAGCCUGUUGUGUAUUUAUUUAUUUUUAUAUUCAGUUUGCCAGUGUUGUGUUGCGUGCCCUCCAUGCAGGAUAGGCUGUGACACUGUUAUAAUCCUUUAAUGUUUCCGAUCAACAUAGAAGGUAUUUUUUUUUAAAUGGGGUGAAGCUAUUUUGAGAGUACAGAAAAUAAUCAUGGAACCAGCGUUCUAGAGACUGUGACUUAAACAUAAAUGCAGUACCAUCUGCUUAAAAUGUUCGGUACCUAAAUGAAUCAAUGCGUCUGUGUGUUGGGUAAAUGGCACCAAUGCUGGAACCGUACAUUUUAAUAUUUCAUGUUAUGCCAAUUUUAUAAAGAAGAAUUUGUUCAAAUUAGUGAAGUUUAGCCACAAAAAAUGCGGACAUACUUUAAACCGGAAUUGCAGAGAAGUGACGGUUCGUAGUUCCUUUAUCCUGGUAAACACUACUUCUGUAUUUACUGGGGUAAGUACCAGAGCAGAGGUAAGUAAAGUACCACCACUGCACUUCAUGAUUGCAGCGACUUCACCACGCCAUGAUGUCUUGGGCAUUGAAAUGUUCUAUUGCCAUACAUGUGCAUGGAGUUUUCUUCCAGCAGUGCCAAAUGUAAAGCAUGUAAAUAAAAAUACAGUGAACUAAACCAUUUAAAAAUAAUUUUAGCACAACCUUUAGCCAACUUUUAAUUGAGAACGAGAUAAAUUGCCUUUACAGUGUCUAGAUCUUUAAAUUUUUAAAGAAACACUCUAAGCACCAGAACAACUUUUGCUUAAAGGGACACUGUAGGCACCCAGACCACUUCAGCUCAUUGAAGUGGUCUGGGUGCCGUGUCCCAGGUCCCUUAACCCUGCAGUGGUAAUUAUUGCAGUGUUUGAUAAACUGUAAUAAUUGCCUUGGUGGGUUAACUCCACCUCUAAUGGCUGCCUACCAGAUAACCACUAGAGGCACUUCCGAGUGGUUAGGUGACUUUUGGUCGCCUAACUGACGCUGGACAUCCUCACGUUAUGCAUGAGGAUAUCCAGCGUCACCCAAAACCCUAUAGGAAAGCAUUUAACAAUACUUUCCUAUUGGGGGAAGUCCUAAUGUGAGCGGGGCGGAGCCUGAACCAGUGCAGAAUAAGGUAAGUGACAGAAGGGGUUUAGUCCCUUCAGUACCAUGAGUUGGACCAUGAUGGAGGGAGUCGCACUAGGGAUCUAUAGUGCCAGGAAAACAACUUUUUUUUUCCCUAGCACUAUAGUUCUAUUUUUUAAAGUGUUUUGAUAGGUACCCGCAAACUUGCAAAAGAGGUAAAAAACUAAUAGCUUCAUGUGUUUUUAUUUUAACUGCCUUGUUCAAAACCAUUACAGAUAUAUGUAUAUUUUAACAGACAAGAAAAUUACUAAUGUUAGACCAUGUUAAAUCCCAACUUUAUUAUGAUUACAUGAACACAGCAAGCAUCUAAUCAAAAUACUACAGUACUUUAAUUUUAAAUCGGUCUGAGCUGGGUUGGUCGAUUUUUAAUAGUUUUUCCCGGCAAUAUUUCUCUGAAACAUCGGGUGUCAAGCAGUAAUGAACUUCAUAACAUAGGAAUCCCAUGAGGAAAAAUAAGAUAUCAGCUGGUAUUGAGUGUUUAGCUAAUAUUGCCUCACAAGGUCUGUUCUUAUUUGUUUAUUUAUUUUUCAAAAAUGUCAUCCAUAAAAGCAGGAGGAAAAUGCUAGUUUUUUGUGAGCUGGAUAUAAACGGUAAAUGGAGGCCAAGUAAGGAUACGCUUACAGGAAAAGUAUAGCAUUACAAAUACAAAUGUGUAUUCCUAUCGCUAUAGUGCCCUGGUGGCUGUUUAGGUACUUGUACUUAUAGGGGGUAAAAAAAGGUAGAUUAGUUACCUUUUUUCACUACCAAGUGCUUGUCUCCGGACUGCCUUCCCACUUCCUUAACUAUGACCGUCGAGAUCGAUGAUCUCAGCCAAUCCAAUACUUUCCCAUAGUAAGGCAUUGGGAAGCAGGUGGGCAUGCCACUUUUACUGGCAGCCAAGUUUUACUUGGUUAUUUCAGCGGAAGUGCCUCUAAUGGCAGCCGGUGUGUUUGUUCACGGGGAACGGACAUGUUUUUACUUGCAGAGUUAAAACUGGAGCGCAGGGAAUUUGGGGGGGGGGAGGGGGGGGGGGGAGGGGGCAUGGCAACAAGAACAAUUUAUUAAGAUUCAGCUGCUGUUAAAUUCAAUAUAGAUGGUGUGAUCUCCACAGAAGUGAUGGUUCCCAUUUAAAAUAUCUUCUACACAGUAGCGGUGGGCUGUCACACAGGUUUCUCAUCACAAAGUUAGUCCUGUGGUCUCCUCACCACCUCUUUUCUAAAUGUCCUCUUUUGUGACUUCACAUAGUACAUCUCCUUUCACUUAUAUUUACAGAUUCGUAAUAUGCAUCUCUUCCAAUGACUAUAUUUGGAAUCAGCUUAUAACAUAAGCAAGAAUGAGUGCACAUUUCUAUGUGUGUUUGUGUGUGUAUGUGCAGGAUGUUUGUGUGUGUAUAAACAUAUGUGGAUUAACCUCUUUCUAUCCUGCACUAAGUAAAGACUUACUUAGAUGUGCUUUCCAGGGACCGUUUGUAGUAAACAGUGUUACUGCAAGGCAUUUUGUUUGGCUGCUCUGCGAAACCUAUUGAUCCAACUAAAUACCUGGAAGCAAAGCUUUGGGUCUCCACAGAGUAUAUUAUACCGCAGCUCAAAUUAGCCUUACAGAUGCAGAAUCAUUUCAAUUGGAAUUCUAAGUCUGAAAGCAGUGUGGUUGCAUGUAAACAAGUUGUGUACUUAUAGCCUGCAUUUCUUGAUUUUACAGAAUUGGUGUUUUGAAAGUAAAAUAACAUUUGAUUGCAUGAUGUCUUCUCUUUCAGGUUUCUAAACAUUGUACUGUAUCUUUAAUUGGUAGCCGAGAGUCUCUGUCACAUCCAUUUUUGUAUGCUUUCUGCCAGACUGCCCCUAGAUAAACGAUGAUAAUAUUAAUAAUGCACAUUUUUGCACAUGGAUGCAUGGGUAAACUGAUAUAUAUAUCAGAAUACUGAUGCGUACAUGGAUCCAGUGACAGAUUGUUACAGCUUUGCGCACACAGGCAAACCUAUAUCAGAACCGACAUGCUGAUGCACACACACAUACAGAAAUAUAAAAUUUAUUGUCUGAUACAAAAAAAAAUUCUAUUUAAUCUGUCUAUUUCCCAGAUUCUUUAAAACCACAGACUUAUUUAAUCCUUGGCCUUAUUUCAUGCUUCGCAAAGCCUUCUUUCUACCACGAGAGUUUUCAAAUUCCCGUACUGCAUUAGUCUUCACUAGUUUACUGAGUCCACCAACCCUUCUGUAAACUGGAACGUCCCAAUAUCACGCUUGCUAAAAUUGCUCAACUUGGGGCUUAUCCACUAAAUAGAGUGUCAUGGAGACUCGGGAACGGAUUCACAAAAUUUUAAAUACAGUAGCAAAGGUGGAAAAAAUAUGAACUGAAAUGAACAUGGCUCGUUUCUACUAAAGUUUUCUAGCCAUUUCACAAAUCACUGUAACUCACUCUUUAAUGAAUAAUGCCCUUGGUGAUUCACACAAGUAACUGUACAGUUACAGUAAGCCGAGCAAAUGCCCUAGGAUUGCAUACCAGAUGAGCACAUUAUUCAUCAAUGAUACCGAGAAGAUGAACAUUCUAAAUUGCAGCUGUUCCUUCCAACUGUCGAUAUGAUCAGAAGGAAUUGGUGUGUAAAAUUACGAAAUUCUUUGUCCUCCUAAAUGUGAGCAGUUGUACGCACAGACUGAUAAUUAAAAAUAAUAAAAACUUUCAUGUAUACUGGUAAUGUUUGCAGCCGAUGGUAAUCAUCAGAUAAGCAGCAACAACAGCAACGAGCUGUGCCCAAACCAGGAAUUGGUUCCACCAAUCAAGUGUCUCUCAUUCAUCUUCUGUGAUUUUAGACAGCCCUUUAGUUUGCCUAUUUGAGCCUUAUCUUGUGUUAUACUCUCAUAGAAGCACAAGUCAAUCCUGUUAGGUUUAGGCUCGUAUGUUCUUAUUACAAUAGAUAAAACAAAGGAUAGUGUCUGUUCAGCCUGGGUUUGUCCCUUACCAGGAUUUUAUCACCUUUUAAUACUAGUUAUUUGUAAAGCUUAGAGAUUUUAUUUUAUUUUUUUGAAGAGUUUUCACCAGCUAGACUUUGAGUUUCUUAAAAGUAAAACAUAAGUUUUGUUCUUAAUAUUUGGUUUUAUCAUUAAAAAAUUAUCUCGUGGCUGGACAAUACGCAAACAUAUUCUUGUACAUUCCAAUGCUUGACAUUUGUGUCCCAAUGUUUGACAUUUGAGUUCCCAUAAUCCCCAAGGAUGGUUAAAGGGAUAGGUAGGUUAAAAAAAAAAAAAAAAAGAGCAGAGUCAAUCAUAGAGUGUCCAUCACUGGAAUGCAAGAGAAAAGGACACUCCAAGGUCAAUUCACACAUUUAUGGGGGAAACAUUUUUUUUAUCAUAGUCAUCGUAGCCACAUCUGUUAAUAAUCAUGAUGAAAUCUAAUAUGAAUAAUGUAUUUUAAUGUUUUUUUUUAUGAGUGAUUGGUAGUGUAAUGACAUUUAAAUUCUCACUAAUAAGAAUAUGGAUCUUGUUGUUUGUAUAAAUCAACCUGUGUUGCAUUUGUUAAAUUUUGAGGACCAGUCUAAAUAACAUUGCACAAUUGCAAAGCUUAUGGUAAGAGAGAGGGCACUGCACCCACUCUCACUGCAAAAAACAGCAAUUUGUAAAAACAAUCACUGCAGCUAUAAACUAGACCACUUUACACAGCAAAAAAAAAGAGUUUUCCCAUCAUCCUUAGCUAUGUCAGUUUUGUCCAACGUGUGAAUGCAGAAUCCAUACGCCGUGCACACAAGUGGGUGUAACACCUGUUGCCACCCUGGUGAGAGCCGAGCCAUAGGUGAGCGCGCAUGUGGUCAGUGGCUGUGAAAUUAACUGUGUAUUAACUUAUAGCAGCCAUGGUAUAUGAUAAAGCUGGUGGAUAAACAACGUAUCACAUGCCAGUUCUUGACACAGACAGAAUUACAGGCUCCUGAUUGGCUAAGUUUCUGGUGUGGAAGGAGUCUGUUUGCAGUUGAAUAUUGCAGCUGCAGGUGAAUAUAUAAUUUUUGCAUAUGCUAAUGCAUUAUCUAAGUAACAUAUUAAACAAGUCAUUAUUGUCAAUACUUCCUACUGUCGUUUGGAUGUAGCGUCUCUCCAGGGCAGUUGCAAUGCUACGUUUCCCAAAAAUCCCUUGUAGUUUUUGUUUGACGAUUGACUAAAAGAAGUUAAUUUGCUAUGAAUGGCUUUAUUCAAGCUUAAUUACAGAACUAGCAAAGUGCAGGAUAGAAGAUGUUCUGUGUAGGGCCCAGAAUAUGCAUACCAAAAAGACCAUUGUCCUGUGAAAACAUUACAUAAAGCUUAGUGGGUGAACGGAAUUUCCUUCCAGUGAAAGUGAUAAAAGCUGAUUCAGUAGGGAAAUUGCGGUGCAGUCUGGAUGAGCCACAUCUGCUGUCAACUUGUAUUUUUAUUGGUUAAUCUUAAAAUGCAAAUUUUUGCAUGCUGACAUUUUUUUUCUUUGUGACGAUUAGACCAGCUAGAAACUAGAAAACUAGAAAAUUUAGACUCCUUUAGUUCAAAAGAGAUUACUUUUGAGAUUUUGUCCAACUUAAACUUAUAGUGCUAGCUAUACAAAGUUUUAAGGGUUUUAAAACCCUUACUGUAUUUAACCCAUUCCAGCAUCGAUGUCCCUUGGUGCUGGGUUUGCACCCUUAAUCCGAAGGGAGGGUUAGGCUAAUGCGCAUUGCUGCAAUGCUUUCCUAUUGGGUUUCUCUGAUUCUGGAUGUCCUCAUACAGAGUGUAAGAACGUUAGGCAGCCAAAAGUCGCCAUAUCACCAGGAAGUGCCUUUAGUGGCUGUCUGACAGCCAUAAUCACCAGGGAGUGCCUUUAGUGGCUGUCUGAUAGCUUCUAGAUUCAGUCUUAACCUUGCAAUCUAAUUAUUGCGGUUUCUCAGAAGCUACAAUAAUUAGCAUUUCAGGAUUAAGGGGACAGGGACAUUGCACCCAGACCACUUCAAUGAGGUGAAGUGGUGUGGGUGCCUAUAGUGUCUCUUUAAAGAAUUUCUUGCCUAACCCUACACUACCACAGGGCAUCUGACUGCUGAAAAAAAUUGUUUCAAUGUACUGCAUAGUAUAUGAUUAUUUUUUUUUGUUUCCUAAAGAUACUAAAGUGUGAAUUGUGAAGAAAGGGAAAUUAGUUUCCAAUCUGAGGACAAAAUGGCUGAAUUGGAAACAUUUUCUUGUCAGUUACAUUUUCUGUUUGGCCAUUUCAGACAUCCCAACACGCAAAAACUAAUUUCAGGGAGGUGGCUGCACCUCUCCCCCAUGCGCUCCCCCACACACGGGCCCCCACAUACAGUCACACACAACUAUUUACACACUAUUAACACACGGACACAUGCGCACACCUUGACACACAGAUACACACACCGACACACACUGGCACAUAUACACACAGAUACCCACACUGGCACAUCGACAAAAUACACACAGAUAUGCACAAAGACACAGAUACUCAGAUACACACACUGACACAUAUACAUAGAUAAACACACUGACACAUAUACAUAGAUACACACACAGAUAUACACAUUGACACAUACACAGACACAGAGAUACUCAGAUACACACACUGGCACAUAUACAUAGAUACACACACACACACACGCAUGCAUUGUAUGUCAGGUUGUGUGUGUGAUUUCCAGGAUAUGACACAUGGUGUGCGGGUGUCCGUGUACCUCAUUAGAUAUGCGGGAGUCUCCCUGACCUACCAGGAGACUUGGGAUGUCUGCCAUUUUGCAAGGUUACAAUAUCUGCCAGGUUAGCCAAGAUACAUUUCAAGUCUUCAUGUUUAAGAGCAACACAUGAAAAGGGCUGCCCUGUUAUAUGUAUAAUUUGCACCAAAGUCUUCAAAUCACAAGGAAAUGCAUUUUAUAUGAUUAUAUGAUUCUCAGUCAUACAGGUGAUGUAUGAAAUAAAUGAACUUUUGCACAAUAUUCUAAUUUUUCGAGUAUCACCUGUACGUAUAAACCACAGUAGUGUAAUACCUAAAAUCAACUACCUCAAAACACCCUGUAAAACUCUGUAAAAACCAUGAAAAAUAUACAUAUGUAACAAACAUUAAUAGUGUUAAAGGGUUUAUUAAAAUAGUGAAUGGUGUUUAUAAAAUAACACUGUGUGUCUCAAAUCUCAUGCACAGCAAGAAAUAAGUACUAAUCACAUAUAAUCCCAAAGGAUCUGACAAUAAUGAAUAUGUACUGCAGAAUCUUCAAUACAUAUUAAACAGAGAAAAAUAUAUAUAGUGGGAAACCACACAAAAAAAAACAGGUAAGUAUUGUAUAUACAAUACACUUACAAACAUUAAAUGCUGACACAUGGAGCAGCACUAAAAUCGCUUUGAUGUCACUCUGGAUCCACACCAAUAUAACUGCACAGGAGUCCCAAUGAUCUAAUCUGUAAUAGGUCCAGAGCCUGCUCCAGAUAGGUUCCUCAGAGAUAUCGCUAGUGUCUAAGAAUCAUCUAAAGGUCUAAUGUAAGAAAUGCAGCUUGUUACUUUGAUCGGUUUUGUCCCCAAAAGGAUGUUGUCAAGGAGAGCUGCGUGUUGGUUUGCGUAACAGAUAUGUUUCCAGCAAAAUGUGAUAGGGUAGGAUAUGGCAACUUUAAUAUGUCGGCCUAAAAACAUGUAUGUAUAAUCGGAAAUUUUAACAUGUCUUUUGUUAUAGGGUUGAAAUGUGCCAGCCAAACUUCAUAAUUAUAUUAUAUUUAUAUAUGUUUAUAUUUUCCAUUCUCGUUUGUAACAUCUGUAGAGGUGCAUUUGCUUGUGAUGAAUUGACUCUGUUGAUGCCCCGUUAUACCUGUUUAAAGGUAAGGGACACUAUAGACACUUCAUCUCAUUAAACUGGUCUGGGUGCAGUGUCCCAGUCAAAUUUCACCCUGGGGCUGCAAACAUCGCAAUUUCAGAGAAACUGCAAUGUUUAUAUUACAGGGUUAAAAAUGGAUCUAGUGGCUGUCUACCAGAUAGCCACUAGAGGUGCUUCUGCAGUUUCGCGGUGUUUGACUCCGUAAAACAAUGCUGGACGUCAUCAUGCUUUGCAUAUGGAUGUCCAGCAUUUUCAAAUCACCACUCGGUGAUAUGCACAUUAGAUCGCACCAUUGGCUGUUGUUGGUGGAGGAGGAGCCCUACCCAGCGCUGAUAACCCAUGGCGCUGGUGUCAGAUCAGUGUAUAAAGGUUUAUUUUUUAACCCAUUACUUGCUGCUGGGAGGUGGGGUUGGUGAGGAGGGGGAAGGGACACUAUAGUUUUAGGAAGUUUUGUAUUAAUUUAUGAUUGCAAACCUUGGACACGGUCAACUUAGUCUUUUGUCUAUUUGACUUUCAGCCAUUAAGGUAGAUAACAGUAAUAUGUGUUAAUCUCCUACUUUGAGUAAGUUAAAAUCCAAGAGUUUAUGUUGUAUUACUGCGAGAAUAAAAAAAAUUUAAAAAUGUAGUGACAAAUCUGUACUAUAGAAAUAAAAAUUUUUUGAAAAAUAAAGACAGCUGAAGCAUACUCUACUGAUAUUAACUGGUAAUUGAUAAAAAAUAUAUAUAUAUAUUUAUGUUUGUUAACACGUUUACUAAACUUUUCUUUUCAGAAAUCAGUACUUUCUAAACUAUCUACAGCAAACAUGUCAAACUCAAAGGCUAUCACGGGUCAAAUAAACAAGGUUUAAAGGACCACUAUAGUGCCAGGAAAACAUACUCGUUUUCCUGGCACUAUAGUGCCCUGAGGGUGCCCCCACCCUCAGGGUCCCCCUCCUGCCCGGCUCUGGAAAGGGGAAAAGUGUUAAAACGUACCUUUUUCCUGCGCUGGGCGGGGAGCUCUCCUCCUCCGAACCUCCUCCGUUCCUCCCCGCCGGCUGAAUGCGCAUGCGCGGCAAGAGCUGCGCGCGCAUACAGCCGGUCGCAUAGGAAAGCAUUAUCAAUGCUUUCCUAUGGACGCUUGCGUGCUCUCACUGUGAAAAUCACAGUGAGAAGCACGCAAGCGCCUCUAUUGGCUGUCAAUGAGACAGCCACUAGAGGCUUUGGGGGAAGGCUUAACCUAUUUAUAAACAUAGCAGUUUCUCUGAAACUGCUAUGUUUAUUAAAAAAAAAAGGGUUAACCCUAGCUGGACCUGGCACCCAGACCACUUCAUUAAGCUGAAGUGGUCUGGGUGCCUAGAGUGGUCCUUUAAGUUUAUGUGGGCUGCAAAAAAACUAAAACUUCAGUUUUCAUAGAAAUGUAGGUUUAUUUAGAAAAGUACAGUAUAAAUAAAGUGGCCUAACUGACACUGGAUGUCCUCACGCUCGUAGGGCUUCAAAGUAAACAAAAGAGCGAAUUUAUUUUAAGGAGAUGUGCAUUUGCGUAUAACCAGUGUUUCAGUCCAACUACCUUGACAUAUUAAUAAAGGUUUGGUAAUAGGACUGAAAUGGUGAAUGUAUGCUUUUGCACAGCUCUAAACAAUGAGUGUGUUCUUCAUUGGGAGUCUAUUGUGCAUGUGUGGCCAAAGGCUGCGCGGCCAAUCAGCGCCUCCAAGCAGACCCAAUCUAAUACACUGCCCCCACUCCCACCACUCUAAUUUAAUACUCCCCCCCAAUUUAAUACACUACCCCCACCCUCCACUAAUUUAAUACACUGCCCUUCCCAAUUUAGCACACUGCCCCCUCAUAUCACUCUAACACACUGCCCCCUCCCCAAUUUAACACACUGCUCCACCUCCCACAAUUUAACACACUGCCCUCUCCCACCUCUUUAAUACACUGCCCCCCAUGACCACUCUAAUACACUGCAUCCUCCUUGCCCCAAUUUAAUACACUGCCCCCUCACUCCCCAAAUUAAUACACUGCUCUCCUUCCUACCACUCUAAUACACUACCCCACUCCCUCCCCAAUUUCAUAUAUUAACCCCUCCCUCAAAUUAAUACACUGCCCCACUCCCUCACCCAUUUUAAUACACUGGCCCCCUACCUCCCUCAGGGAGGGAAUACAAGAAUCAGACAGGAAAGAUAUAUCGUCGCAGCCAUGGCACAAAGCGGCCCCAGGGUAGACGGGCCGCAAAUAUAUUCACUGUGAGCCGCAUGCGGCCCACAAGUUUGACAUGCUUGAUCUACAGUAAAUUUAGCUGUCAUUCCCUCUUGAAUACUGACAUUUGUUUUACUGUAGUUGUGGCCAUCCAGUAGCUCCUAAGGUCCCACUGGACAGGGAAGAGGAAACGUUUCUUGGAACUCUUCAAAUAACCAUCACCCAAGGUCAAUUAGAAAUUUUUUAUUAACUUUUAUUCAAAUUGCUGAACAAAGUUAAAUAUUUUAAGUGCAAGGUAUGGGCUGUUUUAAACCACUGUAUGAUUAUUUGUAUUAUAGUUUUGAUAAUAGAACCACUUUGAUUAGAGGGAGAUACAUUUUUGGUGUUUUUGGCAAAAAAAAAAAAAAAAUGUUUUUGAUUCUUACAAGUUACUAACAUUAAAUUUUUUUUUUGCUGAACUAUCACAAUUUAAAAGAAACAAAGAAAAAAAAAACGAUAAUUCCUUUAACUUUUGUAGUGUUGAUUUCACUUGAUCUCCUUGAAAUCCCAUUUGUUUACGGACGGUAUCAACUGUACACUUUGAAACUGUAAACUUUAUUGCAUGAGGUUAUUCCAAAGAUAUCUUCUUGUCCUAAUUGCAAUUCACACGCAGAACACAGAGCUGUGUAUUGCUGCAAUUUGUUUGCAUGGAUACAGCCCCCUGGUUAAAAGAUUAGGAAAUGAACAAGUUACAAAUUGUAGUAGCGCAUUGUCCCUGUAGGACCUCAACUGCAGAGUUGUGUUAGAAGGUAGAGCAUUUAACCAAUUCCUAUUUCUCUCUUUAAUUCUUAUAGAACUGGGAGCCUCUGGCAGGAUAUUAUUAUUCCAAUCGCUUUUCAGACGGGGAAGAAAAACAAACGCAGGAGUGUAUAAUUACACUGUUCUCCUGCAGAUCCACGCAGUGUCCUCGCUUGCUAAUUAGAGAGGCUUUGCUUAAUGUAAUACAAAAUUUAUCAUCAGAAGAAAGAAAAAUCCACUAAAACCAGUUAGUUUGUACCCACACUGACAGGUCUGUCUCUCUGAAUUACAGUGUGGGUAUCUUACUGGUCAGCGGGGGUACAAUUUGAAUUUAAGAUCUUACGCCCUGUCCCUUUUAUGAUAGACCUGGCCUGAUUAGCUAUGCAAACUCACAGUAAGGGGUUGCUUUCUGAUGAGAGGAGAUCACAGGGGACCUUAGGAGAAGAGGACGUCUUCAGUAUUAUUAAUAUCAGUAGUACCCUUUCAAAAUCUCCCUACACCAAAUAAAUAAAUCAACUAAAUCAAAACAGAAAGCAAUAUAUUUUAGUGAGAUAUAGAUAAACUUAACCCAUGUGUUGUUAGCCUUUGUUCUGCUUAUGUUAUUUUCCCCCCUGAGUGUUUGCUAAUGAUCCCCUAAUUGGCUGACCAGGCUAAUUCUAGGGCACGCUGUGUUGUAGUCUCAUUAUGUAACACUGCCAAUGCCAAAUGACUUUUAAUUAUCAUUACAGGCACAACAGCUGGUUAAUAAUAAACCCCUUGAAGCAGAGGCUCGGAGAAACUGCAGCACACAGGUGAAUGGGUGAAGAGGCAGAAGCCAUAUUUUGUAAUAAUUAGGAAUUUUGAGCCAUUUUAGCACACGGAUCAAGCCUUCUUGAGCGAUCAGCUGUACAAGCAUCUUGAAACUGUGAUUGACAAGCAAUCUGGCCUAUCCAUAGGACCAUAUGGUUUACCUCCCUUAAUUAGCCAGUCCGUACUGUGCUGGUGGGAGAACAGAUGCAGGAAAAAGCAAAUUACGUUCAUCUUGAGUGAAAUAAAAAUGGCACUCCAUUUUAUAAUCGGGUUUUAUCUCAGGCUGUUUAAAGUAAUGUUUAACAUCUUCCUUGCUGAUGAUACCAAGAUUCCAUCAUUGCUGCCGAUGAAACAAUAGCUUUACAAUAGAAUGAAUACUCUGUAGGUGGGGGCCAGAUGGUCAAAGUAGUCCUUAAGAUGUUGUUAAUGACUAGUCUGCCAGACAACUCAAGGGCAGCGCUCUACAGCUGGAGGCCUGGAGUGGCCCCUGAGGUCUUUUCAGUAGCCCUGAGCUAGCGUAUGUGCGUUAAAUAGGCUUCAUUAUAAUACAUGAAAUUUUUGAUAGGGUCUGGCCCUCCAGAAUAUAAGGCUACCUCUAGUUAUGACACUCUGUGCUAUAUGUUUAUACCAGCUGUGGAUAGCUGAUAGAAUUUUUAUAAUUAGCCAAUUAAAAGGAAUGAGUGAGCCUGCAGCAUUCUUUUUUGCAUAUGCACAUGGUCUAAAAUGAUAGAUUCGGCAAAGUUUACUAAACAUAAAUAUAAAAGUGCUGCUAAAAUGAAAGAAGGACAUAGCUCAGCUGGUAACAGCAUUGACUUUUACAGUUAUUGUAUCAUAUAUAUGGUAAGUCUCCAAGUAUAUAUGGCAAUGAUAGUUAGGCGGUUUAGCAAAAAACUGUGGCUCGUCAUGACACAUACUUUGCCCUCUUCAACUUGAUCUUGAAAUAACCAUUGCCAGUCAUAGUGUUUGCAGAUGACACAAAUCUCUGUAAAGUAAUACAAUGUGAGCAAGAUAUUACUUUGUUACAGUUUGUUGCAUUUAAAUAGAUUGGGGGACUGGGCACUCAAAUGGCAGCUGAAAUUUAUUGCAGAAAAAUGUUUGUGGUAAAGAAUGCACAAGCCCUUUUCACCCUAAAUGGUAGUGAAUUAGGGAUAAUAAAACACGAGAAGGAUUUGGGAAUUGUUAUAGACAACAAACUAGGCAACUGUGCAAUGUCAAGCAGCGGUGGCUAAGGCCAGUAAGGUUUUGUCAUGUAUAAAACGAGGCAUUGAUUCUCAGGAUGAGAAUAUCAUUUUGCCUCUUUAUAAUUACUGGUAAGACCACAUCUUGAAUAUGCUGUGCAGUUUGGGGCACCUGUUCUAAAGAAGGAUAUUAUGACACUAGAAAAAGUGGAGAAGCCGGCUACAAAAUUAAUAAAAGAAUGGAACAUUUCAGUUAUAAAGAAAGGUUAACAAAUUUAAACCUCUUUACUUUAGAAAAACCUAAAUGUGGAUCUGAGAGCAUUAUACACAUAUAUUUUGGGCCAAUAAAAACCAUUGUCUGGAAAUCAAUUCUUAAACAGAAUUAUACAUAGGACACAAGGUCAUGCAUUUAGACUUGAAAAAAAGGAGAUUUAGUCCAAGGCAAAGGGGAAAAAAAUUAUACAAGUGGUUUUAUCAGAGUCUGUACAGAUGUUUAAACAGCAACUGGAUGCAUACUUGCAAAAACAUAAUAUUCUGGGAUAUAUAGUUACAUAGCUACAUAGCUGAAAAGAGGCUUGCGUCCAUCAAGUUCAGCCUUCCUCACAUAUGUUUUUGCUGUUGAUCCAAAAGAAGGCAAAAAAAAAAACAGUCUGAAGCACUUCCAACUUUGCAACACACUAGGAAAAAAAAUCCUUCUUGACCCCAAAAUAGCAGUCAGAUGUUUCCUUGGAUCAAGCAGCUAUUACCCCACUAGUUAGAAAUGAUAUCCCUGUAUGUUAUGUUUUUGCAAGUAUUUAUCCAAUUGCAGUUUAAACAUCUGUAUAGACUCUGACAAAACCACCUCUUCAGGCAGAGAAUUCCAUAUCCUUAUUGCUCUGUAAAAUAUGUAUAAUUUGUGGGGUAAUAGCUUCUUAAUGCAAGGAAAAAUCUGACUUCCAUUUUAGGAUUUUUUUUCUUGUUUGUUGCAAAAUUGGAAGUGCUUCCAACUGGGCUUUUUGCCUAACCUUGCAUCAACAGAAAACAUGAGAAAGGCUGAACUUGAUGGACACAUGUCUCUUUUCAGCCUAUGUAACUAUGUAACUGUACUGUGGACACUACACUUCCAUAUACUAAGUGCAAUUCAAUUUAAACGGGAUUACGAUAGGCUGAAAACUCUGAGGUGUGUUAGAAAGUCAUACCAUUCGGUACAGAAGUAUAUUUGGGCCAAAAGGGGAAACACUACAGUGUUAAAGAGAAGGGAAGAGAGGGUUCGAAAACUAACUAAAAAAACAGAUAAAAUUAAAAAAACAAAAAACACUUUUCGUAACUAACUGUAUACCUGACAUAUAUAUUACACCUAAUGUGUGGGUGCCUCGCAUAUAUUUGUUUCAACCUUGCUGCAAAAUUCACAAGAACAUGUAAUGGUGCACACGAGGUGUGCUUACAUAAGGGAACAAAGCAGGGACAUUUGAACAGGAACCCUAAAUGUGGAAUGCCCUGCUAAGACUGGAACUAUUGGGAGGUAUGCUUAGGUAGUUUCAAUGUUAAAAAGUACAAAAACCAUUUUUUUGCAAGUGAUAUUUUUCAUGUGCCUUUUUCUUCUCUAUUUAUCACAGUACUGCAACUAUAUUUGCUGUAUUGAUUUUUGACGGUCAGGUUGCAAAUAAGAAAAAUUAGACAGAACAAUCGAUAUUGUGACUUUUUCACACACCAUUCAUUUUUAUGAUAUUUUAAAAAUUACGGCUGGUUAGUACCUGCCCACUAAGCAUUUAUUACAAAAAGAAAAAAAGUUUUAAAAGCUACAUUCAGAAGAUGACAGGGUGCUCCCCACAAAUCCCUGAGUUCCAGUUAAACCCGAUAGGAGAACCUUCAUAAAGACCUAGUUGAUGUCCUGCACAGUGCUACCCCAUUAUAAUCAAUGGGGACUACUUGCACAUGUGUAUAACUGCAGUGAUGGACUCUAUUCAUGUGAACAGAAGUCUCUCCAAGUACAGAAUGUAUUUAUCAUGCACAGGUAGCUCCAAUUGAUUUUGACUGGAAAACACCACUGGUAGUGUAUGGGCAACUGUUAGUUCUCUGCUGCCCAUCUGACAACAGAAAACAAUGAUGUCAGGUUAGCUGCCUAAGCAUCAUGGGAGAUUGAAUUCAGAGAUAUCUGCAGAGCCAAGAUUAGCAUUCACUACUCUAAGGAAAACAUAAAGUAAUACUAGAGCUCAAAUUGUUGACUUAAUUAAGUAAUUAAAGUUAAUUGUAAUCAUAAAAUACAAUCAUAAAUAUGACAUUAACAUUAUACAGCAAUGAUAGGAUUUCCACAAUGAGAGAAGAGGAGACAAAAAAACUCUAAAAGACCUACUCCAUAUUAAGCGUAAAAGACACAGUCUGGUGGAUACUUGGGUGCAGUGACCAUUGAAUUGUCAGUGCACCAUAAAUGGGAAAAUGAUCAAAUACAGCGUUACAGCUUUUCUUCUUUGCCCUAUAUUUUGCUACUCCCUUUUCUGCUGUCCAAAAUGUAUAUGUUGAUGAUGUUACGGGAUUAGAAGUAGUACAAGUGGCGGGCGCACUGUGCUAAUGUGUGUCUGAAUGUCUGUGUCAGGGAAAGAGCGGAGGGCUUGCAAAUACUGCACACAGCAGAUCUGCCGCUUUUGCAAGCUGUUUUUUCAUAUGACCCUAAAGAAAAGAUGUAGAAAAGAAAACACAUGUAUCUUUUCUAGGUGGAUAUAUCUACUUAAUUGUUAAAAUAAUUACAUUUUCCGUGGAGUGUUCCUUUUAGUCAUUUGGUCUAUCGGUUUUAGGGGUGAUGCAUUAUGAACAUCAGCUAAAAAGUAUUGAUAUCAGCAAUAUUAACUAUUUAAGUACCAAUCCUUUGCAUGUCUGCCUAUAUACUGCAAUCUCUGCAAUUAUAUACACUGGGGUUUUUUUUUCUGAGCAAUUCUAGAUUCCUAGUAGCAGGAAUGGGGUAGAUAAGUAAAUGAGGUCUCAUUAGAGAAGUCCAUCUGAUGUAGAACAGCUAGUUCAGUGGUGCGCAGGAUAAGUGUGUGCCAAUUUGGUUAAGUAGCUCAAAUCAUGUGUGUAGGUAGCGGUUAUCGUGUGGUGUGAACCAUAACAAUCCCCAAAAUCGCUCAAUUCCCCCCCAAUCAAACUAGGAAACGUAUAUAUGUGGUAUAAAAAAGGCCACAGCUUUAUUUAUAAAUUAACAAACAACUGUAAAUAAACCAACCAUAAAUAAUUUAGGUGUAAGUAUGCUUAUCUUCAAACUAGUCCUUGCCAACCGUACCACCAAAACUCUAGGGUACACCCCCCACCAAGGCAUCGGCCCUCCCCCCUCGUCCAAGAUACCUGGCCUUCACUUUGGCCUUCAAACUCCACAUGCCAACCCCUGGCCACCUUUCCUGGCACGGAGGGCACGCCCAAAUACCCCAAACAUUUUCGAGGUCAGGGGAGGGACCCGACCCAGCAUCUUUCUUUUUCUUUACUCCUCUUCCCAAUAGGUUCGGCAAGGACCAUACCCGCCGGCUGUGACAAGAAAAAAUUGUUAAUGACAAACAGACAAACAACGCAAAACAAACAGGGGAGGGAGGGAGGGGACUAGUUACCUUGCCGUUAAAUUUAAGAUGGCUGAGGUAGCAGACAAAAUGUCACCUAUUUAUAUGACCCCACCCUACUCCUUAGCUAAAUCACACACCCAUACUUCCACCACACCCACACAUGCCUCCUAUCCGGCUAGCUUUCAGCCCGCCUCCUCUGGGCCUUGUGUGUAGGUAGCGGUUAUCGUGUGGUGUGAACCAUAACAAUCCCCCAAAUCGCUCAAUUCCCCCCCAAUCAAACUAGGAAACGUAUAUGUGGUAUAAAAAAGGCCACAGCUUUAUUUAUAAAUUAACAAACAACUGUAAAUAAACCAACCAUAAAUAAUUUAGGUGUAAGUAUGCUUAUCUUCAAACUAGUCCUUGCCAACCGUACCACCAAAACUCUAGGGUACACCCCCCACCAAGGCAUCGGCCCUCCCCCCUCGUCCAAGAUACCUGGCCUUCACUUUGGCCUUCAAACUCCACAUGCCAACCCCUGGCCACCUUUCCUGGCACGGAGGGCACGCCCAAAUACCCAAAACAUUUUCGAGGUCAGGGGAGGGACCCGACCCAGCAUCUUUCUUUUUCUUUACUCCUCUUCCCAAUAGGUUCGGCAAGGACCAUACCCGCCACUAGCCCCAGCUGCAUUUACGCCUAAAUCAGCGGGCGCGACCCCCAAGCAACGCCAUGGCCUGUUCCAACGCGUCCUGUAGCGCUAAAUUAAAUAAGUCCAAGCCUACGUCAGUUAGAUGGACCCCGUCCGGGCGAAAAUAGAUUGCUGCCUCGCGCUCAAAAAUACGGUGUCGCACUGUUAAGCCCCCGACGCCUAGGACAAAUUUGGAAACCCGCUUAUUAAUCUUGACCCUGCAGCGCUCAAUAGCACCCUGAUCGCGUGCGCACUUCCAAUAGUUCCUAGAAACGAUAUCCGACCAUAUUAAACAAAGUCGUGGAAAAAGCACACGCAAGCGCGCCAAAUCUCGCCUGAUGAGUUCCCCCAGCCCCCACGCAGGCAGGGACCCCAGAUCGUUCCCCCCCAGAUGCACCACCAAGAUGUCCGGGGCUCCUAAUAAAGUGGAUAACUGCACGACCUCCGGUAAUAGCUGACCCCAUCUCAUGCCCCGGAACCCGAACCACCGGACUUCCGCCAGCUCCCGAGGUAUUCCGAGCCGUGUCCCACCCGGGCGUACCCCAGCCCGCAGGUGAGCCCAGUAGAUGUACGAAUGACCGAUCAACCAGAUCCGUCGGCCAGGCCCUGUGGAGAAAACACAAGGGGGACACCGAUCAGACGUGUGGGCCGUACAUAAGACCGAAACCUCCCCGAUUCCCAUCUGCCAAUCCUCUGAAUGGCCUGGUCCGAAAAACCUAAACGGGAGGCUUCAGUUGCGGCCCCAAUUCGAAAAGAAUGUCCCCCAAAGUCUGCACUCGAAAUACCCAGUUGGUCGAGUGCCAACCGAAAGACCCGAAGAAAUUGGAACCGAGAAAGGAAGGAACCGUCCCCAUGAAUUAGUAGAGGGCCCUCAACGUCCGGGCGACCAAGACAAUAAGACUGAAAAGAUGCGACAGGGCAGACAGCCGAACCCGGAAUAGCGCGGAGGGUAACCCAUGCCCCUUUGCCGAAGAUGUCGGUUUUGGACCUUCGUACCAAAAAACGCACUGAAUCCGACACCACAGACACAUCGUUGAACAACAAGCCCCCCGGGAUCCGUUUGCUAGGGCUCACAAGCUCACCGAUUCGAAGGGCGCCGAAAAAGGCGAAAGUAAAAGCCAACUGGAACAAACGUGCCUCCGAAUCUGAAAAACAAACCCUGGGUAAGACCGACGCAAUGCCUACUAGCAGAGCGCCAGAAACCGGCCUCCGAGAAUCCCGCAGGUGUGGGCCCUUGCGCCAGCCGCGCAUCGCAAGUCGAACCAUGCAGUCCUUGGUAACGUCAGGCACCUUAGUCAAGUUGAACCAGAAACUAAGACCGGAUAGCUUCCCUGAAACCGUAGCCGGAGAACACCCGCUAGCCUCCCAGAACCAGAGCAACCGUAAGAUCCCCUGAACCCUUGCAGAGGUCGAAUCAAACCCACCUAGGUCUUGUUCCAAAGCAACCCAGUCCCCCCAUGCCUUACCGUACCGAACCCAAGUUGCCUCAGACACCGAAGACCGAAUCCAUUCCCUUAUCCGCUCAGGCCAAGGGACCAUAAGUCUCUGGGACAGGGGAGGCCUUCCGUGUCCGCUUCCGGCGCGGCCAAACGAAACACCUGCCAGUGGAAACGAGAAAGAGCAUCAGCCGUGGUAUUCUCCACACCAGGGAUAUGCACAGCGCGGCAAGUCACAUUAAAAGACAGACAUUGUAAAACCAAGCGCCGCAAGAGCCGAACUACAGGAGGGGAGGAGGCCGUUAGCCUAUUAAUGGCUUGUACAACGCCCAUGUUGUCACAGUGGAACACAACACGCCUGUUCUUGAUCUCUGGCCCCCAAAGAUGGAUAGCCACCACAAUGGGGAAGAGUUCCAAGAAAGCCAUGUUCUUGGUCAGGCCAGAGGUGAACCACGAUUCGGGCCAGGGCUCCGCACACCAUUGCCUUCCCAUGAUAGCCCCAAAUCCCGAAGACCCCGCGGCAUCCGUAAACAGGUGCAGCACCGAGUUCGUCACCUCGGGCUGCUGCCAGUAGGACCUGCCGUUGUACCCAUCCAAAAAGACUGCCCAUACUGCCAAGUCCUCCCUGAGCGCCUUGGUCAAGCGGACGAAGUGAGACGGUUUCAAAAUCCCAGCCGUAGCGGCCGCCAGGCGCCGGUUGAACACCCUGCCCAUCGGCAUAAUCCGACAGGCAAAGUUCAAUUUGCCCAAUAGGGAUUGAAGUCGCUGCAACGUAAUUUUUCGCAAAGUGGUCGCCACUCGCACCACCUCCCGAAGAUCAGCCAAUUUAUCCAAUGGGAGCCGACAUUCACCAACAACGGAAUCAAUCUCGAUCCCGAGAAAGCACAGGCACGUAGAAGGGCCAAUUGUUUUUUCUGGUGCCAGCGGCACUCCGAACUCGCAAGCAACAUCCGCUACUGCUUGCAGGAGGUGCGCGCAUAUCGGGGAGCGCGCAGGGCCAACACAGAAAAAAUCAUCCAGGUAGUGAAGCAAGGAAUCGUAACCGGAUUCCGCUCUAACUACCCAUUCCAUGAAGGAACUAAAACAUUCGAAGUAAAAACAGGAUAUCGCACAACCCAUCGGGAGGCACAUGUCCACGUAAUAAUGACCUUCGAAUAUACAACCCAGGAGGUGGUGGCACUCCGGGUGAACCGGUAGGAGGCGAAAAGCCGACUCAAUGUCCGUUUUUGCCAUAAGUGCCCCGGGGCCAGCAGCCCUGACCAUAUCCACCGCCGCGUCAAAGGACGCGUAGGAAACGCGGCACAAUUCAGCGGCAAUGUCAUCAUUCACCGAGCCCCCUUGAGGAUGCGAUAAAUGGUGAAUCAGCCUAAACUUGCCUGGUUCCCUUUUGGGUACCACACCCAGUGGUGAAACCCUCAAAUCGAGUAGUGGAGGCUCUCGAAAGGGGCCCGCCAUGCGACCCAGCGCUACCUCCUUAGCCAAUUUUUCCCUUACCACCCCCGGGUGAUCGGCAACUGAUCUCAGGUUCCGGCAGAAGCCGGAGACCUGCCGGGCCCGGUGAGGGAUCCAAAACCCUUGUCCAAAACCCUCCAAUAACAAGGCAGCCGCCUUCUUAUUGCUAUAACGCUUUAGCCAAGGGCGCAUCGCGUCUACGUCCACCGGCGUCCUCGCCCUUAGCGCCCAUGGCAUCUCCUUUGUCGCCGGUCCUGCCUCGCUUGAAGCAUUUUGAUGCUGGGUGGGAACCGCCGCACCCGGAACAUUCAUGCUUGAAGCGGCAGGCGGAACCGAACUUACAUUGGCCGUCGUUAUAUUGCCAACAGUACCCAGUCCUCCGCUGAGUGGCCGACGCUGAAGAUGAGGACCCAGCGCCGGCCCCCCCAAGAAAGGACGAAAGGCCCCCUUGAUGCGAAGCUGGGCGGGUCAUGAUGGCCAACCACAAGCCGAUAUCCAUUUGAUCCCAACUCGUGGAAGGGCGAACCGCCAAACGUUGGCGGAACUGUUCAUCAUACCGCCACCACCCUAGCCCGCCAUAAACCCGACAGGCAUUCCAUAUCAUGUCCUGGUAGCAAAAUAGGGAAGAGCAUUUACUGGGAGUCUUUUCACCUAUCACGCUAGCUAGGAUAGAAAAAGCCCUAAUCCAGUUACCAAAAGUUUUCGGAAUCUUCCGAUACCGAAACUUCUCUUUGUCUUUUUCAGACUCUUUUGCAUCUGCAUCCACCCGAGGAAGAUCUUCCAAAGGGAGGAGGGAAAAAAUUUCAACAAAUUCUCCUUUUUCUAUUUUAGCCCUCAAAUCAGGCGUCAGAUGGAGGCCCAAAGGGCCUGACCAGCACAUGUACGCUGCCCCAUGCGCAGCGGGUGCUACCCCUAAACCCGAGACAACCGCGGUGACCCCCGUAGGACUCGCUGAAGAAUCAGCUGUUACUAGCGGAGGCGCCGCAGCCAGAGGGAUGGUGACCUGCGUAGAAGCGUCGGGUAACGCUGCCGCAACCCCCGCAACCUCACAUCCUGCGGAACUAGCCCAGCCCGCCCGAAGCUGGCUAUCCACGGCCGUUGGGGGGGGAGCCCCAGGGCGAGAUCCCCGCUCAAAAGUUACAAGAGCAUUCCUUAUCGCUUGGAGCACCGAACCCCAUUCUUGCGACUCGCGUGCGCCAGCGCCCCCUGAUUCUGAUCCGGCAAAAGCAGAAUACUCACCGGCAGGAGCCGAAUUGGAGGGUAGGAGCGGAACCGCGACUUGCGAGGGAACUGGACCGCAGGAAGCACCGCACCAGACACAGCGUCAGGGACCCGGUUAGCGAGCUGACCUGGAAGAAUCUGCGAAGACAGGACAGGUGAGAAAAAACCCGACCCACCCGUCCCAGGUGCUGGAAGAUGCGCAGUAGGGGGGGGCAACCCUGGCAAAUUAGUAGAUAGGACAGGGGCACCAGAGGGUGGGACAGGGGAACCAGGGAUUGGGAUAGCCAUGCCUGAGGUAGCCCCAGGGGGGUUACCAUGGGCCCUAGGUAAAGGUGGGAGGGGGAGGGGGGAAUACAAGUGGGUAGGCUGGACGGAUGAGGGUAGUGUGAGUGGCUGGACGGAUGAGGGUAGUGGGAGUGCAGGAAAGGCAGGCCCAGGGGAGACAGAGGGGGGAGAAGGAGAAGGGGGGGGGCUGUGACAGUUGAAAGAUGGGCCUGGCGCUGGGCCCCUACCCCCCGAACACCCCAACCCCCUCCCGAAAUCCCCGGUGGCCUGCGGCCCACUUACCGCCCUGGAAGGAGAGGUGGAUGCAGGCCCAACCUGUGCGCGCCCUGCCCGAGAUCCGGAGGGGGCAGAGCGCAAAUCAGGCACCCGGCGCGCCGGCCGGGCUGGAUUAGCCGACCGGGAGCUCGCGGCCGCCCUUCUGAGGGCCCGCGAGCCGAUGGUAAGAGGUCCUGGGCGGCUGUCACCUCCCCGAGCAGCGGCCGCCAGACGGGCACUGCGCGACCGCCUCGGGGAGGAGGAGAGAGGCUGCAGAGAUGUGCCGGCCGCGGCCACAUGAGAGCUGGCGCGCGUGCCGGCACUGGGGAUCCCACUCCCGUCCCUCUCGCGAGGAGCUCGGGGAGGAGACAGGAGGAUGGCUGAUAGCUGCGCCGGCCGCGGCCGCGUGGGAAGCGGCCCGCGGACCGGCAGCCUGACUCCUGCCUCCAGCCCCUACCCGGCCUGCUCGCGAGGGGCUCGGGGAGGAGACAGGAGGAUGACUGAUGGCAGCUCCGGCCGCGGCCGCGUGGGAACCGGCCCGCGGACCGGCAGCUGUGCUCCUGCCUCCAGCCCCCACCCGGCCUUCCUGUGAGGGGCUCGGGGAGGAGGCAGGAGAAUGCCUGGUGUCAGCGCCGGCCGCGGCCGCGUGGGAACCGGCCCGCGGACCGGCAGCUGGGCUCCUACUUCUGGCCCCCACCCGGCCCUCCCGUGAGGGGCUAUAACGGGUGGGGGGACGCGCCCGGCGGCGCGGAGCUCCAUGGCUGCCGGGAGGGGGAGCAGCUACCACAGAGGCACCCUGCAGCCUUGCCAGCUGGGCCUGCAGGUGCCUGCCACCGUCCUGGAGGGCCUCAGCCCUAAGGGCAGCAAGGAUGCCUUCAAUAUCCAUGCUCCUGGCCGUGAGGUAAGCAAAGUAACUACGGGCUAGCACAGGGGACUAGUUACCUUGCCGUUAAAUUUAAGAUGGCUGAGGUAGCAGACAAAAUGUCACCUAUUUAUAUGACCCCACCCUACUCCUUAGCUAAAUCACACACCCAUACUUCCACCACACCCACCACACCCACACAUGCCUCCUAUCCGGCUAGCUUUCAGCCCGCCUCCUCUGGGCCUGGUUUGCUUAUAGCGCAUCAGGAUAGAAUGACUCCACGUUAAACAGUAGUCAGUGCACAGAAGCAUUUGUUUUGUUCUCUCGCAUUUAUAAACACUUGUUUUCCCCUAAUUCAAGUUGUCCAUUCACCUGAAUAAUCAGGGUGAAGUAAUCGUUCUCUGCAAAUGACCUUGUUACCUCCUGUGUAGUGUUGCUCUCCUUUUGAAAUUCUUUAUUCAACCUGCAGGAUUCAGUUUAUCGUGUGUUGAAAAUAUGCAGAGGAAGAUUUUUCUCUUUUUUAUUUUCCUAUGACAAUCUUUAUUUUAUCUUUCAGUUUAUCCAAGACGUAGCAUAUUUAUAAUAGUUUUAAAUCAUUGCUGACAUUGCUGCAUAAUAAAGAAGUAUACAACAUUAUUAACUGUUAGCAGAGUGUCUCGAUGUAAGUGAACAGAGUUUUGAUCUUUUGUCGGUCAUAUCGAUGUAUCACGUUAGUCUGAGGUUAUAUCUCAUGCAAGGCAUCUCAUGCUUGGGUAUUGCCCCAUAUCCAUAGUGAAGGUGAACAUAGUGAUGAGGGCAGGGCCGGACUGGGAAAAAAAUUAGGCCCGGGCAUUUUUCAAUCAGAGCGGCCCCCUAAGAAGGGGGCGGGGCCAGAGAGUGUGUGUUUUGUCAUCACUAAUGACAACACGCCCCUCUCAAAGUGAGCAUGUUGGUUCAAUGCCCAGAGCCCUGCUGAAGAGCUCUGGCAUUAGAAAAAAGCCCUGAAUUUGUUCUGCGCAGUGCAAGCAAAUUUAAUAACAUGCUUGCGCUGUGUUUGCUUUUAAAUUGUCUCUGGUGUCUCCACAAGUGGGAUACCAGAGGACAAAAGGGCCAGGAAAGUGCAUGGUGCAUAUGUUUGGAGCCUGCUUGUGGGAUUGCGUGUGUGUAGAGUGUAGUGUGGUAUUGUAUAAAUAGGUCAAUUUAAUUUGUGUUUGUGGUGUAAUAUGUGUGGCUAGGGGCUGUAGAGAGUGUGUGUAUAGGGGGCAUAGUUUUAUAGGGGAUGCAGCGAUUGUGUGCAUACGGGCUGAAGUGUGUGUGUAUAGGUGACGUAGUGUGUGUAGGGGUUGCAGAGAGGGUGUGUUUAGAGAAUGUUGUAUGUGUUUGCUGACAAGGAAUGUAGUGUGUGUGUGUAGGAGAUCUACUGUGUAAAGGACCCAGUGUGUGUGUGUGUGUGUGUGUGUGUAUAGAGGAUAAAGAAUGCAUAUAGAGUAAGGGAUCUAGUGUGUAUCUGGAGCGUAAUGUGUGUAGUGGUACAGUGUGAGGGGUGCUGUAGUGUGUGUGUGUGUGUGUGUAUGUAUAUAUAUAUUUGGACUUAUUGUAUGUGUGAGGGGCGCAGUGUGUGUAUGUAAGAGGGGUGCUGUGUGUGAGUGUGUUUUUAUCUGCUGUCACAUUCUAGGUUUCUAAUUUUCUUUAGAACAAAAAGGUAAUGGUUCAGCGCUAAACAAUCUAAGAGAAACUAAAAACAAAAAGUAAAAGCAGCAACCUAUAGGAAUGAGGUCCCUCAAAUAACCUCACAUGGAAUGGAACAAACAGAAAAAGGUAUAUAGGUCGCGCUAAGGGGACAAGAAGGUAAAAUAAAUAGAAUAAAUAAAAGUAAUAAAAAAGUCCCAAAUAUAAAUAAACCUGUGUGGUUCUAGGAGAGUAUACAGUCCAAAUGGGUAUCUGAGUCUUCUUAUGUUGAGGAUGUCUUGAAAUGCUUGUCAAUACGUAGAUACAUAAAAAGAAAAGAAGAGGAACUCCAAUAGUGUAGAAUGUCGAUAUAGUUUCCAGGUAUAGGUCUGUAAGUAGGUAAAUGACUCACCUUGGCGUGAGCAAAGAAACCUUGCUCAAGUGUUCUUAGCGUUCAGUGGCGUCAAUCCCCCACUGGUAGGAUAUAGGUGAUGGGGUCCUGGACAAUUCCUCUGUAUAUAAAAAAUGAGAGACGUAUAUAGUGCUCACUGAUGUUUGUAAAAACAAAUAAAAUAAGUAAAAUACUCACAUGUACAUGAGCAGGAAAUACUGCUCAGUAUGAUGGCGCAGGUGGUACAAUCCCCACCUUAGGAUUCUUGGAAGUUGACGUACUUCAAUCCAAAUUGAUGACCAGGUAAUUCAAAUUAAAAAUAACAAUAAAAAAUAAAAGGAAUUAAAAGUAUAUAGGCAAAAAAUAAGGGCCAAUAUUCCUUUAUUAAAAUAUAAAUUAUCAAUAUAUAUAACAGACUUUGUAAUAGCCAAUUGGCUAUUACAAAGUCUGUUAUAUAUAUUGAUAAUUUAUAUUUUAAUAAAGGAAUAUUGGCCCUUAUUUUUUGCCUAUAUACUUUUAAUUCCUUUUAUUUUUUUAUUGCUAUUUUCAAUUUGAAUUACCUGGUCAUCAAUUUGGAUUGAAGUACGUCAACUUCCAAGAAUCCUAAGGGGGGUGCUGUGUGUGUCGGGGUGCUGUGUGUGUCUGGGGGUGCAGUGUGUGUCUGGGGGUGCAGUGUGAGUUUGGGUGCUGUGUGUGUGUCGGGGUGCGCUGUGUGUGUCGGGGUGUGCUGUGUGUGUCUGGGGUGCGCGUGUGUCUGGGGGUGCUGUGUGUCUGGGGGUGCUGUUUCGGGGGUGCUGUGUGUGCCUGGGGGGGUGCUGUGUGUCUGGGGGUGCUGUGUCUGGGGUGCUGUGUGUGCCCGGGUGUUGCUGUGUCUGGGGGUGCUGUGUCUGGGGUUCUGUGUGUGUCUGGGUGCUGUGUGUGUCUGGGGGGUGCUGUGUCUGGAGGUGCUGUGUCUUGGGGGUGCUGUGUGUGUCUGGGGGGUGCUGUGUGUGUCUGAUUUUUUUGACCCUUUAAUUUGCAGGCUUAAUAGCAAAGAGGGUGCAUUGCUACCUUCAUCCGGGACUGGUUAAUAAAAGGUUCUAUAGACUAAAACUAUCAAUAAUGCACCCAGUGUGUCUCUAAUAACCUUAUAGGCUGCCAGAUUCAUUAAUUAUUGCACUCUACAGCAGAGGGAAAGGUGCCGAUUUACAACUAUUAUGUUUAUCGUAACCGGACUUAGAAAGCACUGCAACUUUGCUGAGAUCCUUAAAAGGACUCUCCAGUGCCAGGAAAACAUAUUCACAGGACCCUGCAGUGCCCCUCUCCCUCCCACCCCCCUUCCCAAGUUGCUGAAGGAGUUAAAACCCCUUCAGUGACUUACCGGAGUCCAGCUCCGAUGUCCCUUGGCGCUGGGUCAGGCUCCGCCCACUCUCCUCCCCCCGCCGACGUCAGCAGGCGGGGGAGACCUAAUGUGCAUGCUUUCCUAUGGGGAUGCUUUCUUAUGGGGAUUUUGGCGACGCUGGAGGUCCUCACAUAGCGUAAGAAGUUCUAAGAACAUGGAAGUCCCUCUAGUGGCUGUCGGAUAGACAGCCACUAGAGGAGGAAUUAACCCUGCAAGGUAAUUAUUGCAGUUUAUGAAAACUGCAAUAAAUACCCUUGCAGGGUUAUGGGUAGUGGGAGUUGGCACCCAGACCACUCCAAUGGGCAGAAGUGAUCUGGGUGCCUGGAGUGUCCCUUUAAAUCCUUACUUUCAGGUGCAUUUGCAUUAAUUUCCCAGCACCCUAUCAUGCACUGUUAUGUUGCCUCGAGCUGGGAUAUAACUACACCCCAACCACGGGAUCAGUACAAAGUUGCAUGGAGUUAAGCAAUCAGUAAAAAGGCCAGCUUUUUGCUGCUGGACACCAAGGAUGAAUGUGUAUAUAUGAAUGUCAGUAGUCUGUGUAUGCGUGUAAUCUCCUUAACAGAAGGGGGUUGCGGGUCGUGCAGUAGGAGACAUUAUUAAUAUUAUUAUUUUUCAGUUGGAGGGGACCAAAAAUACAUUUCUGUCCUGGGUGCCAUGUAACCUAGGUACACCUCUGUGCGUGUGAGUCUAUAAUGCUCCUCCAGUCUGGAAACUGGGUUGGUUACCUGCUUGUGAAAGCAAAGUUAGUAGAUGUUUUAUUUACAGAUAGUAAUAGACACUUGACAUAGCAUUACAGCAGAUGCAGUAAAGAUUUUACAGUAAAAUAAUUUAAAAUUGGGAUGAGUAUCGGUUUAGCGUGAAGAACACCUACGGGAAAUCAAAAGACUGAAGAUUUGUAAUAGGCAACUGAUUCUUUUUCUUGUUUGUUGUCACAAAACUUUUCUAUGUCACAUGCAUUGAUAAAAUGCCACCUAUUCAGUAUUUGGUUAUUUAGUUCCUGCAUGCCAUGGGUCAGAAAGGAUAUCUAUUGUCUUUCUCUAUUUCUUUCUCUAUCCAUACCUCCCAGCAGUCCCAAAUCUGGUAGACAGUCCCAUUUGAGACCUCCAUUCCACGUUGUUUCCUACCAGUAAAAUAUAGUAUGUCAUAAAACUAUUUUUUAUUUAAUAUUUAUAAAUAUCCACAAUUAACCUUUUUGGAGAUUUCUAUCUAAAACACACAGAUGAUAAAGGAUAAAUCUAAUGAAAGCUUGGAAUUUCUCACAAAAAAACCCCCACAAUCACGAAUUAUGAAGAAUUUACAUAAGAAUUGGAAAUUUUAGACCAAAAUAGAAGACCUGUAAAAUUGCUGAGUUGGGAGAAAUUGUCCAAUUUGGUUACCUUGGCCUUACAUUUGCUAUUUCUUUGCCUGUCAGUUCUCUACAAUUACAACUAUAGCAAAAAACAAAAAAACCAUAGACAUGGGUGUAUUCACCCUUUGUUACCUGUGUUAGGUAGUCUUUGACGCAAGUUCUUUUGGACAAGCAUUACAAAAUAAAUAUUUCGUCGACACCAACAGCGUCCUGCAAGUUUGCUGGAAUAAAAAGAGAAUGGGGGAAAAAAAAGAAAUUUAUAUCUCUUCUUCAAUAAACCUGAAAGUGAUAAUUAAACAUUACCGAACCUUUCUAAAAUGAGUCCUCUGGCAAGAAUGAAAUGGUUAUUAUUUUGAGAUUUCCAGAGGUUAGUGGUGCUUCAUCAUGCAUAACUAAUCUACAGAGCAUCACAACUUAUCUGAACCUCCAAGUCAUUUUAACAUUCUAUAUUGCCUUAGGUGUCGAAGGCUGAUAGACAAGUAUUUAUGUGCAUUGAGCAGCGCUGGGGUCAUUGCAGAGUGAAGAAUUAAUUGUUUUAGCUCUAACAAACUUUGCAUGCCAAUUGCCCUUUUUCAACUGCCUUCCUUUCUUUAAUAUUUCGAGAAGGCAAUAGACUUUAUAUUUCAGUCACCUGCAGCAGCACUCCUGCACAACGGUGGAAGGGUUCCACUAAAUCACCUUUUGAACUGAAUCUCUCAGCUAAUUGAGAGUAGCUUGCUCAGAAAUGCACAGAAGUAGAUUGUGUGUCAGCGAUUGACAGGAGCUGGCUGGGUGCAAUUUUCUCCACUACAUUUUUUUUAUGCUAUGAUAUAAUGGUAAAUGGCAGUGAGCGUUUAUUUGAUUAUUAAUCUAAUGACACAGAUUUUUUUAUAUUUUUUUUAACCCUUUUCGGACGUGGUCAGUAAUGUACUAGCAUUCCAUUCAGCGAAAACAAGCAAUGCAUUUAAUUCAUUUUUGUUAAAUGCUAUAAAUGGAUGGAAAUAAUAUAACAUCAAUACCGCAUAAUAAUUCACUUUAAUUUGUAAUUACAAAUUAUUUAUUUGCUUAAAAAUAUCUAAGGUGUUAUUUACUAAAGCUAUGAAAUUAAUGCCAUUUUCAAGUGUGUUAGGGUUUUCAGGUCAAAAUACAAAAACUGGAAACAUAACUGAUCUGAAUAUUUUUUCCAAAGGCUUGCUUGGCCCUGCUCAGCUCAGUGCUGUAAGUAGAAAAACAUAGUAAGCAGGGCUGCAGCAACAUGUUAUUCGGGUUCUAGUACUUAAAGUAUCCAUUUAAUACAUAUGUUAGUGCUAUAUAAAUUUAAUACAUAGAAUUUACCCUGUGGACCAUAACAAUGCCGAUGAGUCCCAGAAGGAUGACAUUGUGUCAUUCCUCCCAACUAUCUGGGCGGGCGAAGACCAGAUGGGAGGGCAGAGCCACGAGGGGGCAUUGCCAGAAACUCAAUGCACAUCAUUAGCAGCCCAUCCAGUGACAGACACCUGGCAUGGUCCUAGUGCCCGCUGCACAGUGCAAGCACGUUUAAGGAUGCGCUUUCGCUGUACGGGGACAGUUCUCUUGGGUCUCCAAAUGCGGUACACCAGGGAAGUAAAGCAAGAUGGUGGUACAGGACCUUGAAAUUGUGACUGAGUUGGAAGGCCUGUUGUGUGGUCGAAAUGGUUGGCUUUUGGAGCAUAGCUUAUGCUUUAGUUUAUAAAGCUGUGUUUUUUUAAAGACAGGACUCCAUUGCUAAAUGGUGCCUGCAGAAAUGGGAGAUGCAGUCUCAAACAUGAUCCUUGUCUGUUCCCAUCUGCAUAAUCUAGAGGCAUUCUGGGAGAAUUAUGCAAACAUCAUUGCUCAGACCUGCUGUGCCCAACACAUUUUGAAAUUUGUCUAUAUAUACAUGUGCGUGUGAGUGUGUGUAUGUAUAUAUUAAGAGAGAAUUUUACCAGGAUCAAUCCACUAGCAUUUGUCUAGUUUUCAAGCACGGUAUUGCUAAUAUAUACAUAUUUAUAAUCUGUCUGUCAGUCUCUCUACUUGUCUCCCUCAGUCUAAAACAUUAGCAAAGAUGAUACAUUGCAGACUUAACUGGAGCUUUAAUUAGAGGCUGUACAUAUCCAUAAACUGUGAACUGUGUAGGAAUUAUAUCUGUUGUUAUUUAUAAAUUGGACAGAUUAGCAUAAUCUUAAAGUUAAGGAAUGUGGCUUCAAAUCCUUAUGUUUCCAUACAUCUAAAAAAUAUGCACUUGUGAAGUCUAAAAAGUAAAAUGAAAUGGGAAAACCACAUAUUUGUAUCCUGCAACUGGGCAUGCCAGUGGGAGGGUUAAAUGAGAGCAGGCCAGUGAAGCAAUUUGCGUCAAUGGCUCUUUCCAAAAGGGAUGUACCCACUCGGAAAGUGGACAGGUCCACCCAUAGAAUCCACAGGUCAACCUGACAUGUAUGUAGGGAACAAAGAUGGGUAGGACACAGGACUUGAAAAUCAGGACUGUCCCACCAAAAUUGGGAGGCCUGAUCUUAGCUCCAUGUCAAUCUUUGUUAUAAGCUCUGCCCGUUACACCUGGCCGUACGCAUAGAGAAAGCAUAAAGAGAAGAGGAGAAUGAAACAAUUGUUUCUAUUUCUCAUUUACAAUUGCAAUGCCUGCCCUGGUUGUUCCUUAUCUGAGCUGUUUGGUUUGUUUGUGUGUUUUUCAUGUAAUUUGCUAAAUUUUUUAUAUAAAAGAUUAAAUAAACACGGAAUCUGAUAAAAAAAAACAAAUGUUAACAAAAGUUAAAAUUCAUUUUCAUUUGUUUAAAUCAAGUGUACAUUCCAAGGAAGUGACAGUUCUCCUUAAAAUACGUCACCCACAGUCAUCACCAAAACGUUGGGUGAGAUUCUGCCAGUUCUAUGCUGCUGUUUGGUCAGAUGAUUAACUUGACUGAGAACAUUCCACCUUGUUACCCUGGUAACACGUUGGCAGCUGGAGCUGUAUGUCAUCGCCAUUGUCCCGCACAUUGGUGAAGAAGCUUGUAAUAUAUUUUGAAGCAUUUGGUUUGAUUUUAUAUAGUGUUUUUAUACACCCCUAAAGUCAUCCUGCUUAUGGUCAAAAAAUACUUGGUGGCCUUUGAAUAUUAUUUGAAAGUACUUGAGAUUCUUUCUAUGUUAAUGUAGGUUUUAAUGAAAGUUUCAAAUGACCUUGUCCUCUUCUGCAGUUUAAUUGUAGAUUGCACUGUUUCCCUCUGGGAGAGGACUGCAGAAAUAUCAGCCGUUAACGGGACACUCCACUGCCCAAAUAAAAAUCACUGUUUACGAGAUACACCCCAAGUGAAACCAUUGGGGGUAUAUCUAAAACUAGCCUGCAAGUAUUUAGAUCACAGGACAUUCCCCCUAACCUUCAAUGAUCCUCAAUCCCUUAGUUGUUUGUUGUCCAACGAUAUAAUUACAAUUAUACUAAUUAUAUAAAGGGAGUAGCCAAUCUAUGUAUUGGUCUGAAUUGUUUUUUGUCCUUCUCCCCACGCCAUAUAAAUGUUUGUUUUAGUUACUAUCUUGUAUAUUGUUUGUAGUUUGUAUUGUACUAUGCAAUGAAAUAUAUAUAAAAUAUUUGUAAGAAGUGUAUUAUUGAAUGUUUUAUGUAUAAAACUUUUUUUCCACAUUAUGAACCUUUUUCUCUCCUUUCUGUAACGUUAUAUCACUACCUCAAUAAAAAAAGAGAUUGAAAAAAAAAAUUAAAAAAUAACAUUUUUUUCUCCAAUAAAAAAAUAUAUUCAAGCAAAAAAAUAAAUUAAAUAAAACUAGCUUGCAAAAGCUGCAGAUCUUUUGGCUGCAGCCUUUGCAAGCCCUCCCCUUCUUCCCUAACCAAGACUGUCUGUUGCUGUCCAAUCAGGCUUACCAAUGCUCAGAAAAGUCUGAUUGACAGGCAGGGGUGUGGAAAUGGUUAAUUUGAUAAAAGUGCCAAUUUGUAUUGAAAUUUGCACUUUUUGUAAAAUGAGAAAUGAGGACAACUGUUUAAACAUAUAGCACUAAAGAAGUGCUUUAUAGGUCCGGAGUAUCUCAUUAAAUAUUUAUUUUCCCUUACACUGUAAAAAAAAAAAAAGGAUGUACGUUUCAUGGUAUAGCUAGUUUUUCUCUUCUUUGUCACAAUAGCUCUCCUAUACAAUAUAUAAAUCUCUAUCAGAUCAAGCUGGCUUUCAAAGUCUGAAGCAUUCUAGAAGGUAGAAAUUGGCAAAUUGCAAAUCUAUGUAAAAAUUAAAAUCCCAGUAUACAAUCCCUAGGAAAUAAUACAGCCUACAUGUUGAUUUUUUUUUAGAUAUAGUUGGGAAAUUGACUGACAAUGAGGGUGUCAUUCCCCAAGUGCUAAAUUUGCAGUGAACGGACAAAAUAAUUGCAACAAAAUUACAAAAUGUGUUCCCAAAUUUCCAUUUUGGAAAAACAAUAUUGUGAAUAGUGAAUUUAACAUUCUAGGCCAAAGUAAUCAAACUGGAAGCAUAGCAGACGCUACAAGGAUUUUUUUCAAUUUGGCUUAAUGGAGACAACGUUGGCCUAAUGAAGUGGUUUUGUUGUGCAGAUAUACUCCUGCAGUCUAACUGCUUAAUUAUCUGCUAUUGAGGAGUUAUAUUAUUUUGUUUAUGCAGCUCAGUCACAUUUGCAUGUGACCUACACAGUCUGCCUUUAAUUUCCUGUAAGGAAAGAUCUGGUGUUUAAAUUUCCUUUAUUGCACAGUCUGUUUAAUGUAGAAUUUCUUAUAUCUUUAACUUUUAACAAUCAACUAGAGCCUGCAGGGAACUCCUGUCUGUGAUUGAAGUAAAAUUUAUUAGGGCGAGAGAUAAAAACUUCGAAAUUAAAUACACUGUGCUACCACAUCUGAUAGAAAACUGAACACUUUUUUUUCAAGGAGGCUGUGUGAGUCACUGACAGCCCAAUUCAUGGAAUGGUGAUAUUGGGUGGUAUGAAAGCACAAAAUGAAAAAAUAAUCCUCUAGUAAUGAGCUGGCGGAGAUGGGCUGUCUUCGGAUGACAUAUACUGACGUCAAGCCCUUGCACAGAGUGCUGUUGAAUCGCUCUAAGAUGGGUUUGUUGCCCUGGAUGCAUAUUGUACAUCAGGGCAUGGCAAAUUCGCUAGGAAUCUAGGAUCCAGCUAAACAAGUUAGAUGUCAGGUUUUUUUUUAAACUAACAAAGUUUAAUUUUUAAUGACAAAUAAAAUUCUUAAAGGGGCACUAUAGCCACUAGAAGCUUAAUGUAGUUGUUAUGGUGAGUAUAGUCAGUCUUUGCAGGCUUUUUAAUGCCUAGUAAUACCUCUAAUGACAGUCACUCAGACAGCUAUUAGAGGUGAUUCCUAGACCAGUGCUGCAUUAUGUGCAGAACCUAUGUGCAGCGUCUCCACACUCUGCAUCGAGGUCCUGAAUGUUCUCAUGUUCCAUUUGGGUUACGGGAGAGUCCAAUAGAUAGACCACAAACUACUCUUCCUCUCUCAACAUCACCUGCUAAUGUAACUGAAGUACAGGGAACUCUAAUGCUACACUGAGGCAAUGUUUGCAGCCUCUUUCAAUGUUGUCACAAGAUUUAUAUCCCUGUUUUGAUUCUUAUCACAGCACAGUUUGGUUCUUGGUAAAUGUUUAUUUGUGUGAACACUUGGAGAGCCCAGGCCAGACUUAAAUCACACAAUGGUACAUAAUAUGUUUAGGUAGGAAUUUCUUAUUUUCUAAACAAUUGUCUGUCUGUUGAACAUGCAUGCAUUAUAAAGGUGCUGCUGGGGCCAAUUCAUUCAACAUACAAGAUCCAGCACACUCGCUCAUUCACUAAACAGCAAUUGGAAGUCUCACAUAAUGUAAUAGUUUUUUUUUGAAAACACCUUACCUAGGCAAAAAAAUAAUGGGUGUUUAAUUACAGUAUAUGAUCAUACAUUGCAUAAGCAUGCUACAACAGCAAUGUACCCAGUUUUUGGCAUGCCCUAUCCAGGGUAAUAUUUAACCUUACCCUGCAAAGCGUCCCAAGAGGAAGGAUUUCCCAAGUAAGAGGUUUUAUCUCAUAAAAGCAGGAAUUAGAUUCUUAGGGUAGGACCAUCCAAAAAUGGGCCCCGAUUAAGCCGCAUCGGUAGGGACAGAUUUACCAACCAGUUGGGACACUGGGACAGCGCUUUGAAACAGGAACAAUCCCAGUCAAACCGGGAUCUUUGGCAACCCUAAAAAUAGAUCCAUAUAUAAGCAUUGUGAUUUGCUUCACUGUUCCAAGCGUAAAACAUUAGAUUUACUGGUCCUUUAAGUAAAUUUCUGCUUAAAGUACCACUAUAGGCACCCAGACCACUUCAGCUUAAUGAGGUGGUCUGGGUGCCUGGUCCAGCUAGGAUUAACCCUUUUUUCUAUAAACAUAGCAGUUUCAGAGAAACCCCUUCCUUCCCCUAGAGCCCGGCGGGAGGGGGACCCUGAGGGUGGGGGCACCCUCAGGGCACUAUAGUGCCAGGAAAACAAGUAUGUUUUCCUGGCACUAUAGUGGUCCUUUAAACAUCGUAAAUAAGGGUUGCUACCUUUCUUGGAAAAAAAUACCGGCCAUGCUAAUUUGCAUAAUUAAUUAUAUAUGCGGCUGUGCAUCAAAUGCCUUUCUACAUUGUACACAAUAUAUCUAAAUACACAUAAAUAUUCACCAAAAACCAAAUUGUAAUGAAUUACAAUCAGAAUUGUAAAAUGUAGGUAAGUUGUGCGUAGGCAAAACUGGGGAAUUUGAUCAAAUACAUAUUUUUGUCUAUAACUUACAAUUAAUAUAUAAAUUCACUGCAUUUCACAAUUUAAUGAAUUUGUAAAAAUGAAUGGAUUUGGUAAAGUUCUCUGGGUCUACUCUAGUCCCGAUAAGGCUAUGUAUGUUCUGGAACUUGCAAUUUAUUUGUUUUUGAUGUUAUUUUGUGUGAAUGCAUUCCUGUAUUUAAACAUGUAGGGGUGAAUUGUAUAAGGAAUGUUAUAGGCCCACUACGGACACAUAAAGUAAUCCGGCUUACUAAGGUGCUUCAUGUGUCUGGAGUUUGUCAUUUUGCCAAGGCAACUGGAGUUUGUAUUUUUUUUAAAAAGUACAGAUUUCAAUGAUAAUUGGCACUUUUACAAGUGGAUGGCAAACGCCUGGCUGUAACUCACACAGCCGGGAAGUUUUCUACUGCUUCCGUUAGCUCAACAGUGCAUGACAUUAUUGCACAGUCGUUAUUCGGCAUGUGCCAACCAUACUUUAAUAACACGCAGACACCGAAAAUUCUGUUGGAGUAUAAAGUCCACAGCUUUAUUAAUUAAUAUCAAUAUAUAAAUUAACAAUUUAGGGUCAUUGUCAACAGUACUCCUUCGUUAGGCUCUUUUCCUAUAUCAUACCCCCGACAAUGACCCUACCAAAACAAACAUUAGCAUAACCAAUAAUACAUACACAUAACUCAACGGCCUACCAAGAGGCCCCACCUCCAUUUGUCUAACUGCAGGGGUGUACCCAGACACCCCUACACCCCUUGGUUCGUAGCCACCGACGGGCUCGAACCUACCUCCAUACUUUUGACUUCCGGCCUACUCCAGCCUAGACCUUGGCCUACCAAUUUCUUAACCCACCAAAAUUCCAGUUUAACCAAGACCUUUUCCCGCCGCUGUGACCAAGCGGGAACUACUACUAACUCAUAGGGUGGGUGGGAGGGACAAUUUACAGGUAAGAAAGGCUCAAGUUAGAAUGAACUUACCCUAAAAUGGCCGCUAUUUAAACUUCCCUUCUAACCCACGCCCCCCAGCACAAUCACAGGACAGCCUCUUGACCUGAACUUCACCCUGCCUACUCCUGGCUCUGUCAAGGCCCACUCCUCCCUGCGUUGCUCCGUGGUUUCAUGACAUUAUUGCACAGUCGUUAUUCGGCAUGUGCCAACCAUACUUUAAUAACACGCAGACACCGAAAAUUCUGUUGGAGUAUAAAGUCCACAGCUUUAUUAAUUAAUAUCAAUAUAUAAAUUAACAAUUUAGGGUCAUUGUCAACAGUACUCCUUCGUUAGGCUCUUUUCCUAUAUCAUACCCCCGACAAUGACCCUACCAAAACAAACAUUAGCAUAACCAAUAAUACAUACACAUAACUCAACGGCCUACCAAGAGGCCCCACCUCCAUUUGUCUAACUGCAGGGGUGUACCCAGACACCCCUACACCCCUUGGUUCGUAGCCACCGACGGGCUCGAACCUACCUCCAUACUUUUGACUUCCGGCCUACUCCAGCCUAGACCUUGGCCUACCAAUUUCUUAACCCACCAAAAUUCCAGUUUAACCAAGACCUUUUCCGCCACAGCACUUGCCUUUACCCCUUAAGGACAUGUGCGACCCCCACCACACAAAAACAGGGCUUGCGCUAUCCCGUCUUGCAAACCUAAAUUAAAAAGGUCAUAACCAACAUCCGAUAAGUGCACCCCGUCAUCACGAAAGUAACCUGGUAAUCUCUCCUCCAACUCCCGAUGCCUCACCACCACGCCUCCUAACCUUCGAAUGAACACCGCCAUGGUCCUGUUCACUUUACCCCGACAUCGAGAAACUGCCUUCUCAUCCCUGGCGUAUCUCCAGCAUAAGCGAGGUACCAUCUCCGACCAUACCACUUUCACGCCAGGGACAAGCCCCCUUAGUCUGUCAACGUCCUGCUUCAUACACUUAACCAGUUCACGUUGGGGGACCAGACCCAAGUCGUUUCCCCCCCCGUGAAUUACCACCACGUUCGGCAAGGGCUCCUCCGCUACCUUCCGAAACAAUACCGUAAUAAUGUGCUGCCAGUCAAACCCCCGAUAACCGAACCAGAAUAACGCCACCCGAUCCUCAGGAAAGCCCAGCUGUGUUCCAUGUCUUCUAACUGCGGCCCUCCUCCUUGCCCAAUGGAUAUACGAAUGGCCAAUUAUCCACACCGUCCAACCUAAAAUAAAACAUAACAUUGAGAAAACAUCACCAGCACAUCCCAAACACCCACAAUCAACCACCCCUUCACACCAGCCUAUCUGGCCGUACAUAAGAGCGAAACCUGAGAGAUUCCCAUCUCCCAAUUCGUCUAAUCCGUUCAUCCCCUAAACCCAAGAGAGCCGCUUCUGUCGCCGCGCCUAUUCGGAAUGAAUGUGUUCCAAACUGCAUGGGCUCCAGACCCAACUUCUGUAAUCCCAAACGGAAAACCCGCACAAAUUGGAAGCGUGACAGUGCCGUGCCGUCGGCAUGUAUGAAGAAACAACCGCUCCCUAUCGGGCGUAGUUCCAAAAACCCGGCCCCACUCGCCACCGGACACAACCCCGACCCUGGUAAACCAAACAACGUGACCAUGGCACCUUUACCAAAUACAUCCGUCUUUGAUUGAAUCAGGUGAAUCAAUACCCUGUCCCUACUAACCGUCACAUCUUCCAACCUAAGCCCACCAACCCCUUUCUUGUUGGCACUAAGCAACUCACCAAUCCGAAACGCCCCAAAAAAGGCCCACGAAAAGCCACUGUAAAUAACGCCACUUCAAACACAGAAAAACAUAUCUCCGGUAGUUUGUUCACUAACCCCUGUAACACUGUGAAGGAGACUGGUCUUCUCGUAUCCUUCGUUUUCUUACCUUUCCUGUAUCCCCGAACCGUUUGCCUCACUAUAAAAUGCUUCGUCACAUCCUCCCAUCCAUUAAACUUAAACAAAAACGCCAACGCUGACAUGUACCUAUCAACCAUUGAUGGCGACGCUUGCUUUGCGAACAACCGGCAUAGGAUCCAUAACAGUAUGUCCAGCCGAUUGCUCCCAGGGCCCGUCACCCCUACCUGCUGUAUCGUGUCUUCCCACACUUGCCAGACCUUAACAUAGGAGAACCAAGUUCCAGGCGCCAGAGACUUCUUUAUGUACUCCCCAAGCAAGACAUCCCGAGCUCCCACAUCUCCGCCGGACAGGCUUGACCCUCUUCUUCCGCCUCCGGCGCCGCCUCCCGAAAACGCUCCCACUGUAGGCGAGACAGCGCGUCAGCGACAACAUUGGUAAGCCCCGGUAUAUGCCGAGCGCGAAACACAAUAUUAAAAGACAUGCACAAGAGAACCAAUUGCCUCAACAACCGUACCACUGGCCAUGAAGAAGCCGAUAAUCCGUUGAUAGCCUGCACCACUGCCAUGUUAUCCGAAUUGAACACCACCCUCUUAUUGGCUAACUCCGGACCCCAUAACGCCACUGCCACAACAACCGGGAAAAACUCCAAAAAGGCCAAGUUCCUAAUCAAGGGGCUCGCUUUCCAUGCCUCCGGCCACCCCUCCGCGCACCAUUUACCCGCUAGGUACGCCCCAAAACCGAUGCUGCCUGAUGCAUCCGUAAACAAACCCACGGCCGUGGAGGUUCCCAACGGCUCCCGAAAAAACACCUUCCCGUUAAACUCCCUCAAAAACCUAGCCCAUACCUCCAAGUCCUCUCUCAUGUCCACAGACACCCUAAUAUAAUGCGACGGUUUUCUCACCCCGCUUGUCGCCCGCGCCAGUCGUCUGCAAAAGACCCUCCCCAUAGGGAUCACUCGGCACGCAAAAUUCAGGCUCCCUAUCAACGAUUGAAGUUCACGCAAAGUGACCUUCCUCGCCCUACCAACCGUGUCCACUAGCCGCUGAAGGGCCUGUAAUUUGUCCCCGGGCAACCUGCACUCCCUCCGUACCGAGUCGAUCUCCAAACCCAGGAAGCUGAGGCACGUAGUGGGCCCCACCGUUUUGUCCUCUGCUAACGGCACCCCAAAUGUGUGCGCCACCCACUGGAAGGUCCUCAACACCUGGCUACAGCGCUCCGUGCGUGGUGGGCCAACGCAUAAGAAAUCGUCAAGGUAGUGCACCACAGCACCCCCAGCCGAUUCCCGUCGUACGACCCACUCCAAAAAGGUGCUAAACCUCUCGAAGUAAGCACACGAGAUGGCACAACCCAUAGGCAAGCAUAAGUCCACAAAAUACCCCCCAUCGAAAUAGCACCCCAAUAAGUGAUGACAAUCCGGGUGUAUGGGAAGCAGCCGGAAAGCUGCCUCCACAUCCAAUUUCGCCAUUAGAGCCCCUUGUCCCGCUCUCCUAACCAACUCGACAGCCUUGUCAAAUGAUGUGUAGGAAACAGAACACAGGGCCUCGUCGAUAUCAUCAUUAACCGAUGUACCUUGUGGGUACGAUAAAUGAUGGAUCAUACGAAAUUUACCCGCCUCCUUCUUGGGGACUACCCCAAGUGGAGACACCCGCAAACCAACCAACGGCGGGGAAGCGAAUGGUCCCGCCAUCCUCCCUAAUUGCACUUCCUUACAUAACUUUUCCCGAGCUAUGCUCGGAUGUUCCCCCACUGACCGAAGGUUUUUACAUAACCCACCCGCAGCCCUUUCUUGAAACGGAAUCCUGAAACCCUCUGUAAAACCCAGCCGUAAAAACUUUGCCACCUCCUGAUUAUCGUAUAGUUUUAACCACGGCAGCAUCGCGCUUACCUUCACCGGCGACGCUCCCAGCUGCAGCCGCAGCUGUUGAUGUGCCGACAACCCCUCCUCCCAAGUUCGGCUUACCUUUUCGGAAGCACCUGGAAACUCCGUGAUUACCCCCGCAACCGGAGCACUCGUGCUUAAAUCUGCAAGAUGCACCCCACUUGCAUUGGCCCUCAUUGUAGAGCCAGCAGAAACCUUUCUUCUGACCUGCCGACACGGUACCUGAGCCCGUGCCGGCCGCUCCGAGAAAGGGGGCACUUUUCUGUGCCAUCAUCAGCCUCAUCCACAAAGGCAAGUCCAUCUGGUCCCACCGCAUGGACGGAUUUGCCGCCAAUCGCUGACGAAAUUGUUCGUCAUAUUUCCACCAUGCUAAACCCCCAUAGGUCCGAUAUGCGUCCCCUAUCCCGUCUAAAUAACAAAAAAGCUGCGAACAUCGAUCCGGGUAUUUUUCCCCGAUCACGCUCGCCAAAAUACAAAAGGCCCUCAACCAGUUCCCAAAAGACUUGGGUAUUUUCCGAUACCUCCGCCUCUUUUCCUCCUCUUCCUUUUUCGCAUCCUUUUUAUCCUCUUCUUUCAAGUCUAAAAAUUCCUCCAGGGGAAGCAGGGAAAAUAUUUCCACGAACUCCCCUUUCCAAAUUUUCUCCUUAACCUCCACCUUUAAGUGGCACCCUAGCGGUCCCGCAAAAGACACAUGCACAUUUUGCCGUGCUGCAUCUGUUACUUCCCCGCAGAGAACGACAUGCUCACCCACGUCACCCGUCGCUCCUUGACCCGUCCCCGCGGCGCCCUCACCCCCUUUCGGCUCCGCUGACGCUGCGGCCUUAACCCCUGCUGCCCGACCGCCGUCCGCAACCCACACUUUCUCAAACUGUGUCGGAGACCCCCCGUCCCCAGACCAUGAAUCUAACAGAGAUCUUAAACAUCCAAGUAAGCUUCCUGUGUGUGAUGCAGUUGGAGACUCACCGCUCAAGCCCCCGGCCGCUGCUGGCCGCGGGGGCGCCACUUUUUCCACCACGACAGCCGACCCAGAAGGAACCAGGGGACGCCGACUCCUGCCCGCCUGUUCGUGUGUUGCUCUCGUGGGCGUCCUACUCAACGACCUGCAAGGAGAAUACAGCCUGGGUGAUCUGUCCGACUGCAGCCUCACCCGCCCUUCAUUCCCGUGAUCAGACCCGUCCUCACCACUUCCCUGCCUGCAUCGUCCCUCCCGCUCGCUACUUCUCCUCCUCCGUGCCGUGUGGUUCCUCUCAGACGACCUUGACUCACUGCGCCGGCGCCGUAGCCACCUGUCCCGAGAAGCUGACCUCCUCCUAUUGCUCCGGUUCCCUGCUGGGCUCCCGUUCCCAUGUCUCCUACUGCCUGCAGACCCUGACCUGCUGUCCCGCCAUUCUGCCCUUCCGCGCUGCCAUCCUCCGCCAUUCCCUCUGCUGGCGCUCCUCCUAUCGAGCCGCUCCUGGGAUCGACCCCUAAAGGCCUCCCGCCCACUGCUGUCCUGGGUGCCGCCGUCCUCCUGGCCAGUCACCCGCCUGCUGCCACUCCGCUCCAUACUGCCACUCCUCCUGUCUCCUGGGUCCCCAGACUUGCCGAUGCUGUGCCCGUCUCCCCUUCUUCCCAAGCUCCUGGCCAUGCUCCUCUGAUCCCUAGGAUCCGCAGCGCUAUCCUUCCUGCCUCCAACUCCAGCCGCCUCCUGCUGUGCCCUGCUGACCUGGUCCCUCUCCCCAACCUGUGAGACCGCUGUCCUGCCACUGCCAGCCCCUCUCAAUCCCUCCUGCCCCACAGUGCUGCCCCCACCGGGACUCCACUCCUGGGUCUUGCAGCCGACUCCCCUCCGUCCUGCUCCAUUCCGGCACCAGCUGUCAGCUCCGCCUGCCCGCCCGCCGCCAUCCGGCAGGGGGCGCCCUUCAAGGGAGGCCUCCUCCUGGCCUGCAACCUCACCGCCCCGGCAUUGCGCCUAGCUGGCGGUCCCGGCCGACGACCCGCUCCACGUCCCUGCUUUCCGGCCGCCGCACUGCUUCCCGCCGAGCUCCUCCUCCGUCUGGCUGCAGGACCCGCUCCAGGACUAAGCCGCUGGGGCGGCCUAGCUCUCCUCUCCGGCCUCCGAUCCGGCACCGCAUGGGGGGGAGCAGACGUGCUCGGAACCCCCAGCUGCUCCUGUAGCCACGCCAUUCCCUUCUCCUUCACCACGGACCGCAGACCCGACAGAAGUUCUUCCAAUGACGCCAUGCUGCACCUGGAAAAGAAGAAAAGAGGAGCCCAACCGACCUGCAACAAUUUACAGGUAAGAAAGGCUCAAGUUAGAAUGAACUUACCCUAAAAUGGCCGCUAUUUAACCUUCCCUUCUAACCCACGCCCCCCAGCACAAUCACAGGACAGCCUCUUGACCUGAACUUCACCCUGCCUACUCCUGGCUCUGUCAAGGCCCACUCCUCCCUGCGUUGCUCCGUGGUUUCAUGUCUGCCUUCCCCCCUUUCUCAAAGUACUACUGUUCAUUGAGAAACAUUGGAAAGUCGCAAUUAUGUAUUUUAAAGAACGUCAUUGUUCGACUCCUCUUAUUUUAUGUCUCCUACCCUCCUCAUUCUCUCUAUAUUUCAUUUUUUCUAUACUCAACUCCCAUCUGUAUCUCUCCUCCUUUGUUAACCCCUUUCCGUCUCUCUCAUUCUGUGCAAAACCCCAUUUGUGUCUCUCCACCUGUCCAAACUCCCAUCUGUGUCUUUCUUGAUCACAACCCCAGCUAUAUCUCUCUUUUCCUGUUAACUCCAUCUGUGUCUCUCUCCCUUUCAACCCCUAUCUGUGUCUCUCCUCCUCGUUACCCCAUCUGUGUCUCUCCACAUGUUAACCCAGAUCUGUGUCUCUACACCUGUUAACCCCUAUCUGUGUCUCUCCACCUGUUAAACCCCACCUGUGUCUCUCCACUUGUUAAACUCCAAUGUUGGUGUCUAUCUCCGCCUGUUAACACCUAUGACCUGUUUCUCUCUUCACCUGUUAAUUCCUAUGAUCUGUUUCUCUCCACCUUUAACCCUCACACUUCUCGCCACCCAUCCCUCACUUACCUAAUCUGCAAUGUGCUGCUGGCUGAAGUUGCUGUGCAGUGUUGCUCCCCCAUGUAUUCAGUCAGUAGAAAGUGGCAGGGAGAUGAUGUGACUUCAUAUCCCUGCCCCUCUCCACACACUGCGACCUCUACUGUCCGGUGACUAUAUUGCAGUCUAAUCUUAGUCUUAGAGAAAAAUACCGACAUUUUAUUGCCGGUAUAUUUGUGAUACUUGCUUACAUUCAAAGUGAAUUUCAAAUUCAAGUCCAAAAUAACCAAACUGGAAGCAUAAUUGACUUGGAGAAUGUUUCCAGUUUGGCUGUAUUGGCCUGGAAUUUAAAAUUCACUUUGAAUUCAUAAUGAAUUACAACCAAUUCUCACAUUAGUGGAUAAUACCCUGACUGAGUGGAGUACAGUACUGGCGUAUGAUAAGCCUUGUAGAAAAUGUAUUCAGCCCAUUAACAACUCCAAUAGGAUCGUUCUCUCACUCAGGUUAUAACAAUGCAUUUUCAAACCGUUAAAUGUGUAUCAUUUAACAUUUUUAUUCACUCAGCAAUAAUCAAUUUAAUAUAUUCAUCUGCUGCAGAGAAUAGGUCUUGGUUUGGUGCACAGAAUAUAUUUUCAUUACUGAAAGAGGUAUUUUAACAAUCUCAUUUGCUGUUUUGCAUUAACUUUUGGCGCAUUGAGAGAUGUACAUGUUUAACAGUUGUUGUAUUUGCGGGAUUUUUUGUGCUGAAGUUACACGUGUAACCUUCAGCUCAUACAACAUAUUCUUGAACGGUAGUACUAUUAUACACAUUAGCACAGCAUGCCUCCCGACUGUCCUGAUAUAGGUGGGACCGUCAUGAUUUUGGGCCUUGUGCCGUCAAGACAGCUGUCCUGCUUUUAACUCCUUAAAAAAAAAAUCAUUUUUUGUUAAAAACCAAGCUUGCCUGGAGCCACGACCAGUGCUGCAAUAAGUGGAUCGUGUUACACUAUGCCUGAUCCUGACAACGCUCCUCAGGGGAGGGGGAUGAGUGAUGACAUCACUGCUCUGUGGGCGUACAGAGGGCAGCAUGGCUCAAAAAGGAAGCAGCCUGGACAUAGUCUGCUCUGGAGGCAGUGCUAAACUAGCAGCCUAGGUUAAUCAUACACACGACCUGGGACCAGAACAGAACCUCAGAGUAGGCAAUAUCAAUGUAUACCACUGCAGUCACCUACUUGGCACACACAAAACUAUUAAAUUGUCCAAAAGCUCAGUUACAAAUACAUUAUGCAGUUUACACACACUGUUUCUUUCACACAUACACACACACUGUUUCCAUCUCACAAACACUACGUUCCUUUUGCUAUUUCACACACAUGUUCCCUGUGUCACACACUGCCAUUACACAGCGGUACAGUGUCCACUGACAAUGUCCUAAAAUUGGCACUGUACAGGAGACUGAUGGCAGGAAGACCCAGGGCUGAUAGUGGGAGGAUAAAUAUGCUAAAUUAAAUGUCAUCUAAUCUGCAGGCAACAAAAUGGUUAAAUGAAUACUCCGUUUCAUUUUUUCUAACUAUGUAGUAAAUAUACCCCCAAAUAAAGCAUACUUUUUUUUUCUGCAUGCUUUCUUUUUUGGUAUAUGAAUAAACAACUUUCUAUGAAAAUGAAGCUUUCUGGUCCAUUUAAGAUUGUUGGGCCCCCUUUAUAAGUUAAUUAUUAUAUAUUUUUUUUUUAAUCAAUACUUAUUAUACACCCCUUUUCUGGGCAUUUCGCUCUCUUUCCAAACAAGACCAUUUUGAAUUUCACUAGUGAUGUCAUGGACAAGCCCCUUUAGCCCCCGUCCAAUCAUGUCCCUAUGUCCCUAUGUAACUGUCUGUAUUAUUUUGGCGACAUUUUUUGUUACUUGGUAUUUGCCUCGACAGUCUAUUGAGGUAGAAGAAUAUAAGUAUACCUUAGGGUGGAUUUCAUUAGAAGCUUUUGAUUAAGUUUGACUCACCAUUGUCACCACCACAGCUUCCAGACCUAUAUAAACAGGGAACUUUAAAGAAAACUUCUCAUUUCCAGGAUUUUUAAGAUUAUAUUUACUUAUAUUUAACAAAUAUAUAUUUGCGAGGAUUGAAAAAUAAAAUCACUGGGGUUUAUGCUCUAAACUCCAACUUAUACCAAAUUUAAAUUUGAUUGAUAGAGUUUAGGCAAAAUUAGCAGAUUUGAAAAGAAAGACAAAUUCUGCAACUUGGCCUAAGUCGCAGAUUGGCUAUACAAGCCUUCCUUUGCCACAUGGAUUUAUUUAGAGUUUAGUAAAUAAUCCCCACUGAUUGCUUGGAAAAAGAAAUGACAGUUUCUGCCUUGUAUUUCAGUUUAAAUUAUUUAUAGCUUAUUUUAUGUCAUGGAGGAAGAGAAAUUAAAUUCAUUUACACACCUGGCAUUAACGAACAUGUUAUGGUAUAAGAUUGAAGCACCUGGGCAUGUCAUGCGCAUUUCGUUACAUGCAAUGUAUCUGAGUGAAUUUAUUACUUGGCUCGUGAACUUUUGCUGACACUCCUAGUCCCGUAGACCAUCACAGUUAAUCAGAUACACAUUGUUCUCCAAUCCCGCGGCAGAGCUAAUGUGAAAAGCAAUGAAUUUCAAGCACUGGAAAAAAAGCUGUCUGCAAAGGAGAACAAUUAAGUGGAGGUUAAUUGUUUAUCGGUUAAUUAGUGCUGGCAAUAUCAUGAGUUCCUGCCUCUUUCUUGGAAUACAAAAAUACAUAUAUAUUUUUGACACAUGUAACUUUUGUCCUACUGUGUUGUUAUCUCAGAUAGUCGUUAAACUUAAAAAAUAAAGAAGUUCAUAUAAAUGUCUUUGUCAUCAUCACAUGCAGAAAUUUAGAUCCCCACUAAAGGUGGCACCGACCUAUAUUAUAUAUAAAUGAGCAUUUAAUUGGUUGCAGUAUUUAUGACACAUGAUAGAGAUUUUGGUAUAAUAUUAUAGGCAUGUCAAAAGGCAACCAAUGGAUUGGUGCCCUGGGUUUAAUACCCUUUUUUUAUUCUAUAGGCACAAGAAAAGAGUGAAUUAUGGCUGAAAGUGGUUGGACCCCAUGUCAGCUAGGUGGAAAAACAAGUCAAUAGUGGAUUGGAUUUGUAGGAAUGGG